AUGCUUCACGGAGGCAAGAAAGGACCCCAGGGGCAUUUUGCGACCUGCUGCCGGUCCUGGUGCUUUUACUGAACAAAAUGAGCACCUUGGGUCUAAUACAUUGAAAGAAUUUGAGUCAAAGCCUGGCAUCCAUUCUCCACGCAGAUGAGCCUAGAUCCAUUCUCCCUUACCAUGGUCGUGAUGCUAAUUCAAAGGAGGAGAAACCGCAAUGAAAGAUUUUGAGUCAAAGCCUGAAUCCUUUUUUAAUCCUUUACCGUGGUGACAAAGCUAACUUGCAGGAGGGAAAACCGCAUAUGAAAGAUUUCGAGUCAAAGCCUGAAUCCCUUUUAUUCUUUUACGGUGGUGACAAAGCUAACUUGCAGGAGGGAAAACCGUAUAUGAAAGAUUUCGAGUCAAAGCCUGAAUCCCUUUUAUUCUUUUACGGUGUGACAAAGCUAACUUGCAGGAGGGAAAACCGUAUAUGAAAGAUUUCGAGUCAAAGCCUUGAAUCCUUUUUGAUCCUUUACAAUCGGUGACAAAGCUAAUUCGCAGGAGGGAAAGCUACAUAUCUAAGAUUUCGAAUCAAAGCUUGGAUGAAUGCUCCUUUACCAUAAGGGAACCGCCGAUGAUGCUAAGCAAAAUUAGGAUAAAUCAAACAUGAAAGAAUCAAAAGUGAAGUGAAGCGUCUGUAUCGCUGCUUUUGUAGCAUAGUCUUGAUGUUGCUUCCAAACAAGAGAAAUUCAAUUCGCUUGAGACUGGAUUUCUGCUCUGUCAAGAAUAAGUGUAGUUGUCUUAAUUUCUUAGUGUUGGAGUGAAAAUGUCUCGCUUGUAAUGCAAUUCCUCUAAUUAAAUAAAUGCUGUUUGAUUUACUAUGGUGAAACUUUUAGUUGUGUUUAGUGCAUCUUUGUUUCUCUCUUUUUUUCCUGUUUCUUUUUUUUUUUUCCCAAAAAUCUGGAAUAGUCUUGGUCAGUUGGGCUUCGCCAUUAUAUUUUGUGAUCAGUAUCCACUGGAAAACAAAAAUACUUUUGACUUCUUAAGCUUUCGAUCUAUUCGGUAUAUGGGAGAGGCAUAGCAGAAAAUUACUCGAUGAAUUUCUCAUAUGCAGCAUCUAUGGGAAGGAAAAGCAGACAAGAUCUGGAAGGGAUAUUCUGAAAUUCCACUGCAUCUUUUGAAUAAUGUUAAAGAACUGUGACUAUAAAGGAUAUUGUUCCGGUACUAGGUAGUAGGCCCAUGGUUCAAACACUAGGGAGAGUCGGAGACUGACGACUCGACUGUUCCACCUAACAUUGGAGAUCAAAGAAUCCGAGAACUCGGAGAAAAACUCGAUCGACUCAGACCUAGUUGUCUCUAAGACGAAGUGAAACGGGCGAUUCGACCAAGUCAUCCCCAAUUUUUUGCCAGCUUUUGUUUCUUUUUGCCCUUUCCUAUUUUGCUGCUUUUUUGUAAGAAUUUCAGUGUGUGUGUGUUGUGUGUUUGUGCAUGGGGGAGAGAGGGAAAAUUCCAGCCGGUCUAACGCUGGCCAGAGUUGAUGAUUUCCAGCUUCCGGCAACUUCGUUAGUGAAGAAGGAACCAGUGCUGCAGCGGGCAGGAGUUUCCCGUGGGGAAGAUGACUCAGUUUUUGAAAUUCCAGCAAUAGCCCCUUAGUUUCUUUUACUUUUAAUUUCUGCCCCCGAUUUUUUGUACUUUCUAAUUCGACCCCAAGACUUUACCUUAAUGUUUUCAAUUAGGUCCUUAGCAGUUAACUAGUUGGCUGUUAGUUUAAUUAGUUUGUCAUUUGUCAAGUUAAGCUGUAAUUAAUUUUAUUUUCCUUUUUGGAAAUGAUGUCACCCGUAUAGGGCAUAGGUGCAUUUAAUUAUUGUAUUUUUAUUUUUAUAUUUUCUUUCAUUUUUUUUCUUUUAAUUACUUUUGAUUGUUAUCGAAUGUGAUAUAAUGGGACGCCAAAGCAUUGGUUGGUGGCUUUUCCAGUAGAAGCUUUGGAACUAAUUAUCUCAUUCUUAUUGGUUUUUUCUAUUUAUCAUGCUAUGUUUAGAUGUUUUAUUCUACUUUAAUUAAUUAAAAUGCACGUUAUGUGUUUAGCUUAAAUUAAUUUUUUUGCCUUAAAAUUAGAAGAAUAAAGUUAAACUUGCAAUCGGUUUUUAUCGGGUGUAGAGGAGUAUUUGAGGAUACAAUCUUGACCUUACCCUCACAAAUGUAGCUCAUGAACUCAUUUUUUUAACUUGUUUUUUUGUUAUUUUUGUUUAGCAUAGUUUUUUUUUUCCUAUUUUUAAUAUUUUUUUUCACAAUUUUUAGAAUACUAGAUGCUUCAAAAUUUACUUUUCAUCGAUACUACGACCAAUGAGUGUCAAACUAUCCUACACAAUUUAACUUGAUGCUUCAAAAUUUUUAACUUGACAAACUAUCCCACACAAAUGAGUGUCAGAUCAUAGGCCAAAGCAUCUCAGACAAAUCAAAUUUUAGAGGCAGGCUCUUUAGAAAAUCAAAAUGUAGAGUUUGCUAAGAUUGUGACCAAGUCUUCUAUUGUUCAGUCUCUUCCUAGAUUUUCUUUAUUCAAUGUAAAUUCAAAUAGUAUACAAACUGGUAUGGAUGCGUCAUUUGAGUUUACGAAUAGCCAAAGCGUAACUUUGAUACAUCAUCAGAAAGAGAAAGCUCUUACAUUGAAAGUUCAAAGAUCUUAGAAAAAACAUUCAAUUCAGCAAGAAUGUAUGAGAUCACAGAUUAUAGGGCCUCUUCCAAAUGUUUCUAAAUCUAUUCAGCCUAUUAAACCGGAUUUUGUUAGCACAUUUUCACUGCCAAAUGCAAAUUUGAAUAGCCUACACUCAUGUAUGUCUACUCCAUCGGAGUUUUCAGUAGGUGAAUCUUCCACCUAUAGAAAUCGGCAGAAAGAGAAAGCGCUUAAGAUGACAGUGAAAAAAGCUAAACAAAAUUAGUUGGUUCAAGCACAGAAUAUAGGAUAUAAGAGUUUGCAACCUCUCACAAGUACAAUUGAACAGCAUAAUCCUGAGGUUGUUGAGAUUUUAAAUCAGUCUAAUCAGGUUGUUUGCCAAUUACAAUCAAACGAGUCCCAGUUUUCCGGUAUUUAAUAUAGCACUGCUUAUUAAUAUAGUCCUUCCCAUCAAGUGAAUCAUUUCAUCAAAUUUCAAAACUCAUUUUACCUCUUAGAACAAUCUAACCAGUUUCUUCCUUUUCUUUAAAAUAGAAUUUUUUUUUUCAUUUUUUAAAUAUAACAUUUACUUUUCCUACUAUAAAUUAUUUGUUCUAAAUGCAUUGAAUUUAGACCCAUUUCAUCAAUCAUAUAAUGCCGUUAAUUUUUCUAUUUUUAAAAUGCAUAGACCUUUCACAUUAACAUGAAAGGUAUUGUUUCUAAAAUUUUUUAGUAAUUGUUGUCAAACAAUGACUAUUACCACCUACUUCUCUGACAACAAACAUUUCAGCUUUAAAUUGAAUACUCAAAAGCAUUUUUUUUCAUUUACUCAAUUAAAUGUGUUUAGUUUUAUUUCUACUUUAUAGUUUAUCUAAUUCAAGAGGUUGAUAUUGAACUCUACUUUACAGGAAUAUUUGAACAAAAUCAUGGGAAAACUAAGAGAAACGUGCAGGUCUUUUAACAUUUACAUUUUUAAAUGACUUGAGUAUUUUACAUUCCCUUACUGUUUAUUAAACAAGCAAAGUCAUUUAGAAUCUAUCUUUUAUUGAUGAUAGGAAGAGUUCAAAAAAAAGGUCGAGACCUGUUAGAUUGCAUUCCAGGUGUGGCAAGCAUUCUUCCAAAACAGCCAGAUUACCCACAUUGUGGUGCAAAAAUUUUUUUCCAUGAAACAACCAACUUUUGCUGUUCUAAUGGAGACAUAGUGUUAGCUACCAACCCAAUUCCAGCUCCUUUAAAAGAGCUAUUAACUUCAUCUUUAGAAGAGGCAAAAUUAUUUAGAAUAUGUAUAAGAACAAUUAACAACAUUUUUGCUUUCACUUCUUUUGGAGUUAAAUUUGACAAGAAUCUAGCAAAGAGAAGUAAAGGAGUCUAUACAUUUAGGAUUCAGAGGCAAAUUUAUCACUUCAUCAGUGAUCUAGAGGCCUCAAAAAAUUUGCAGCUGUAUUUUCAUGAUACUGAAAUUGAGUUGACAAAUCAUUUAAAUGCGUGCCCAAGGCUAAUAGAAAGUAUCAUCCAAAAGGUUAUGAAUAUCCUUGAAUACAAUCCAUAAGCUCGAUUUUUCCGUGGUUUAAGAGAGGUUCAUAACCUUAUACUUAUCAUAUUGUCUUGAUAACACUGCCUGGUGUAGACCAAAGGGUAUUUAACAAACCUACGGUCUCCCAAGUUGCUGCAUUGUGGGUUGAAGGAGAAGAAAAUGGGGCAACAAGCCAGAGGAAUACUCAAGUCCAUACUCAUGGUGGUCAUUGUCACAGUAUAGAAUAUUACUAUGGCUGUUAUGACCCUUGCAGUCCCUCUUCUUUUUUCUUUCGGUGAACUUGGCUGGCAUAAGGAAUCCAAAAAAAAAAAAGGAAAAAAGAUCCACAAGAAAAAGACACGAAAUAAGAAUUCUGAAAGUUUGAUUUCUCUAAUGCUUGCUGCAAUUGCUGAAGAACUAUUAUAGAUGGAACAAGAUGGUAAGUACAGACAAUCUUAUUCAUCUAUUUGUAGUUCAAUUCAGCAUAGUAACUUAACUAAUUAUUCUGUAAUUUGUCUACCAACAAUGGCGAGGAUUGAUAAUGAUCCAAAUUUUGUUUUGUUAGUGAGUAUUAUGCUUAUAAGUUACAGAUAAGGGAUAAUGAUGAGUCUUUUUUGCUUCACUUGGGUAGAUUAACUUAGCAAUAUAUAGUGGAUAUGUUUGUUAAGGUUGAAUCUCAAAGACUAGAUUUUUUUAGAUCACAAUAAGAGGAAAUAAGGAAAGAGUUUUUGUAAGAAAUACAAGACUCUGUGGCUGCUGGUGAAACACAUGCAGCAAAUAUUGGUCACAAAAUUUUUUUACUAGUAAGCUUUAUUGGAGGGCCAAGAAAUAUGAGAAGGAAAUAUAUAGAAGCAAUGACCUUAGUUCAAAAUUUUGACAAAUCAGAUAUCUUCUUGACCAUGACUUGCAAUCCUAAUUGGCCAGAAAUAAAAGAACACCUAAUUGAAAAAGAAGAAGCACAAAAUCGGCCUGAUUUAAUUGUAAGAGUCUUUCAUGCUAAACUUGAAGAAUUAAAAAAUGAAAUCCUCAAGAAAAAUAUUUUUGAAGAAGUGGCAGCGUAUACAUAUGUUAUAGAGUUUUAGAAAAGAGGCUUGCCACAUGCACACUUUCUCUAAUUUUGAAAUCUAACAUAAAAUGUUUAGACCUGAAGAGUAUGAUAAAAUUGUGAACGCUGAUAUUCCAAACAAAGUGAAAUACCCAUACUUAUAUAGAAUGGCUAAAAAACACAUGAUGUAUGGUCCAUGCGGUGUUUUAAAUCCAUCAAGUGUGUGUAUGACUAAGAAUGGCAGGUGUAGGCAUUCCUAUCCAAAGGAUUUUGUGAGGAAACAACCCAGACUAUUAAUUCUUAUCCAGUAUAAGCGAAAUAAUAAUGGUGUUAAAGUCAAAGUUAGACAACAUCACUUUGAUAAUAAAUGGGUUGUUCCCUAUAAUGCCUAUUUACUUGCUAAAUUUGAUUGUCACAUUAAUGUUGAGAUUUGUUCAACAAUUCAGGCUGUUAAAUACAUCUACAAAUAGAUUUGUAAAAGGCAUGAUAGAAUCAGUUUUCAUAUUAAUUCUGAUAAUCCAAACAGCCAUAUUGAUGAAAUCUAGCAGUAUCGGGCAGCUUGUUGGGUCUCAUCACCUGAGGCUACGUCGAGACUUUUUCAUUUUGCAAUGGGUGAAAUAAAACCUGUAGUAAUUCAUCUGCAGCUUCAUCUGAAAAUUAUCAGCCUGUAAGUUUCAAAAAGCAUCAAAAUCUCACCAAUGUUGUGAGCAAUCCAAGAAACACAAAGACAAUACUUGCUAAAUUCUUUUAUAUGAAUAGAAUAGAUUAGAAGUUCAGACACUAAAUUGUACAUUUCUGAAUUUCUAAACCAUUUUGUUUGGCUUCCUGAUGAGAGACGUUGGAAAAUGAGAGAUCAAAGGGACUUUGUAGGUAGAACAAAUUCAAUCCAUUCGACUGAAGGAAAGAGGUACUACCUUAGGCUUCUUUUAACAAAAGUUUGUGCUCCUAAGUCCUUCAAAGACCUAAAGACUUAUAACGGAGCACAAGUUAGAACCUUUCGUGAAGCAGCACUUUUAAGAGGGUUGCUUCACGAUGAUAAUAGCCAAGAAUUGUCUUGAAGAGUCUUCUCUCUUUCAUAUGCCUUAUGAAUUGAGAAGACUUUGGUAUAUUCAUGUCGUAACAAUCCCAGACAAUUAUGGUUAAACUUUGAGGCUGUAAUGUCGAAGGAUUGUCUAAGGUGUUCAGAUUUGACUCUUAGAGAGGUCAGGAAAAAGGUACUGCAACAAAUAAGUGGUUUUCUUGAAUCAAUGGGAAAAGGCAUAGGUUUAUUUGGAUUGGUUCCGAAUGAUAGAACCAAACAAGAGAACUGUUGGCAGAAAGAAGUAUAACCAAUCAUGAAGAAGAUCUGAAUGCAAUUACUUUGCUUAAUGAAAAACAAAGGCACGCAUUUGAGGUCAUAUGUCGCAGCAUAUAUGAGAACAUAAGUGGUGCCUUUUUUGUAGACGACCCUGGAGGCACUGGAAAAUCGUUUCUCUAUAGGGCGUUGCUAGCUGAUGUUAGGUCUAAAGGGUUUUAACACUUGAGAUAGCCACUUCAGGAAUUGCUGCUUCUAUACUACCAGGAGGACUGCCCAUUCGUGAUUUGAAAUGCCAAUUGAUCCUUUAGAAGGUAGAACAUGUAAUGUUAGCAAACAAAGUAGCCUGGCAACAAUGAUUAGAGAAUCCAAACUGAUUAUUGGGAUAAGGCUCCUAUGUCAAAAAGAUCUGCAAUUGAAGCAUUGAAUGAUCUAAUGCAAGAUCUUAUGAACUCACUAGAAAUAUUUGGUGGAAAAGUUGUUGUCUUUGGCUGCGACUUUAGGCAAACAUUGCCAGUUGUUCACAGAGGAAAUCAAUCCGAGACUAUUAAUGCUUGCAUAAUAAAUUCUCCUCUAUGGCCUUCUCUCAAAAAAUUGCAAUUAACAGAGAAUAUGAGGGAUUGAUUAGACCCCUCAUUUAUUGAGAGUUGGUAAUGGAACUAAGAAAACCCAAGAUGAUAGCUACAUAAAGAUUCCUUAUUCAAUUUUGCUUGAAAAUAGAGGGGAUGAUUCUGCACUAGAUAAUUUGAUAAAUAUAGUGUACCCCAAUAUCAUGACUGGAUUACCAGAUGCUAACACUCCAGCCAAUUGAAUUCUAUCCACAAAAAAUAAUUUUGUUGAUGAGGUCAACGACAUUCUCGUUAGCAUAUUUCCAGGUGAAGCAAUAGAAUAUCUCAGCUUUGAUGAAACUUUAAAUCCAAAUCAUUGGGGACAGUAUGAGGAUUUUUUGAAUUCUCUUUCCCCAAGUGGACUUCCACUACAUAGGCUCAUCUUGAAGGUUAAUGCACCAAUAAUCUUUGCUUAGAAAUUUAGACCCCAUUGAAGGCCUUUGUAAGGACAAGAUUAGUUUGUAGGAAUUUGAGCUAAAAUGUUAUUCAUGCUCAGAUGGUUGUAGGUGAUUUUGCCAGAAAAGAUCUUUUCAUGCAUAGAAUUCCAUUAGAACCUCCCACUGAUGAGCAAGACUGUGUCCCAUACAAGAAAACUCAGUUUCCAAUCCGUUUGUGCUUUGCAAUGACAAUUAACAAAGCUCAAGAACACACGUUAGAUUUUGUGGGUAUUUAUUUGAGAGAAUCCUGUGUUCUCUCAUGGAUAGCUUUAUGUGGCAUGAUCGUGUGCAAGAACAGCUUCACAAGUCAAGUUACUCAUUAAGCCUCCAUUUUUUCACAAAUCUAGAAUAAAUCAGACCAAAAAUAUUAUAUAUAGAGAAGUUCUUGAAACUUCUCAAUUAGCUGUCAAGUAAAUGAACAUUCUUCUACUAUUUCUUCAACCUUUAAUUGAUCCCAUCACAAUUGUAGUUUAUAUUAGAAUUAAAUUUAUCUAUUUCUACCAUUUACAGAUAAGCAUAGUGAGAUGCUACCUUCCAGUGAAUGAGGUCAUUGAAGGAGUAAAAGGAUGGACAGUAUUGGUUUAGGUUGUUGAGAGAGAACAUGUUCAGUUGAGUUGAGGAGCAAGUCCUAUGAACUACACCGCUUCCUUCUUACAGAUUCUGAGGUAACAAAAAAUAAAGAUAUUCCUUCCAUUUUUGCGAUAUCUUUGACUAUUUUAUAGAUUUUUAGCUAUUCUUCUUUAGGAUGCAAUAGGGAACAAAGGUUUCAGCUGUCAUCUAUGGCAAUGAUAUCUAUUUUUUUGAUGCCAUUCAGGAGAUACUAUAUCUCCAAUGUAGCUCUUCGCAAAGCAGAAUCAAGGUAUAAGGUUAGUGACUACCAUAUUCUUGGAUAAUCCAUAACAGAACAUUGGUUGAGGAGUAUGUGGAGCAGGUUCCACCAGUUAUUCCGUGUCACUUUGACCUUACAGAGUUUGAAAACAUAUUCAAAUUUGUUGACACAGAAAAUUGGCAAAGUAAGUUCAUUUUUUAUCUUAGAUAAUUCAAAUGUAUUCCUUAUGUUAUCUUCAGCUUAUCUUUAAAUUGAAAUAUUCUUUUGAAUAAUAAAUAUCCAGGCUAUUGUCAUGCAUGCUUUUCCUUCAAGGAAACAAGUCUUAAUUCAACGACUAGAGACUUGGUUGUUAUUAAUCAAGAGUAAGCCAACUGGAACAUAAGAAUAUAUUUUCCAUUCGUUAAAUAAACCUAUUACAUUCUUUGAUUUUUAUCAUUUAUUGCUUUUGCAAAAAAAAAGCCAAUGCUCCUUCCUCUAUGGAAUGAAUUUGAAGCAAAUGAAGGAGCACAGCUUGCAAACACUAUUGCAAACAACAACGUCAUCAUAGCUAUGAGAGUCAAAGUAACUACUUUUAACUGUAAGUCACAACUCCCAUUGGUCAAAAAAUUAUUAUUGCUUUGCCUACAACACUUCAAUUUCAAUGAGCUAAUUAUAUACUACUUUCUUAGAUCUGUCUCUGACAACAAGGCUUGAAAGUUGUCUCUUGGUGAAUCCACCAACUCCUCAAACCAUUGCAUUAAGACAAUGGUAAGCAUAUCAUGUUUCAUAAGUAUAGAUAAAGACUGGAAAAUAUAACAUGUCUAUUUAUGUUCACAGGAAUGAUCAGAAUCAAACAGGAAAUUGCACAACUGAUUGAAGAAGCCAGUUACAAAGACUCAACCAAAUUGUUGCCUCUACCUAAAAAUAAUGAUAUCAUUAGUGUUGAGAAUGCUAUGAGGAUUCUGAAAAGUGUAAAUACGAUCAUUUCAGUAACUCACUUAUACUUUUCUUACCUUUUACAUUAGUGAAAGUGAAUUACUUAACUUUGCAUCUAAUACAAUAUUAAUUAUAGGUCAAGACUACUUGGACAUGAGGAAAUACUUCUUUGGCACCUGAGCAGCGAUCCUUUUGGUAUGCUGCGUGUAGUAAUUGUCUAAAGGCUGUAUAUGCUAAUAUGGAAUGGAUCAUUAGAUGCCCAUCUUGCAGAGAAGAAAGUGUUGUUGAGGCCAGGUAAACAAGACAUGCAAAUUUACAAUAGUAUGCUCAAUAAUAAAUCUUUUUUACUGCAUUAUUUAACUAUUAUUCACUGCCAUCAUAUACAAGAUGCCGUAUUGGAAUUAUCAUUGACAAUGGAACAAGCUCAACGUAUGCAGUAGUGUUUGGUAUAGAUGCUAAAAAACUCAUACAGUUCACAGCAGUACAACUAAGUGAAGCCGAUGAACACGUAAGUUUUCCUAUUCUUUUCUCUCAAUUCUCUCUAUUUUGGUACUUCUUUGAAUUUAUUUGACUUAUUUUGCAUAUCCUAUCAUUGAUACGUAUAUUUUUCAAUCCAAACAGUUUAGUCUUCUUUGAUCAAGAUGAAAGACCUAAAUUGGUCAAAAAAUUGUCUAGCUAACGUGGAAGAAAAUUUUUGCAUCAUUAGAUGAUCUAUUAAAUAGAUAAGUGCCUAAUUCAACCAAAAUCUCAUUAGAUAGAUAAGAUUGAUCCUUAGUGUCAGAGGCAAAGAACAGUUUGGAAAAUUUAGUAUCAGAGGCAAAAGGACAAUUUGGAAAAUUCUUUACUAAAUUUAACAUGCUAUAUCACUAUCUUCUUCUAUCUAUGGUUGCAUUGAUUGGCCUGCAAAUUUGGUAAUGCCCUUCUAGUCCUCAUCUUAUUUUGCUGUUCUUUCCAAGGACAAGACUCAGUCGUAGACAAGAAAAAAAAAAUCCUAACUGGAACUAACUAAAAGUUUGCCAGCAUUAAGAUGGCUCCAGGUCACUUUCAAUCUAUGUUACUAUUAAACAUCUGGCCCUGAAAACAUCUGUACCUAAUUAUCAAAUAACAUAUCACUCUCUUUCUAUAAGAAUUCUGGUGUUAGAGGAUUGAAUGUUCAACUACUAACCUUUGUUCACUCAUCAUGUGUAAUGAGCUUUUUGAGCUUUCUUUUGAAAUUGCAUCAUGUUCACAUUUUCUGGUACUCCAUAAAAUUUUUGAAAAUACAGGGUAUUGAGCUCUUUUUUGUUUAUUUGCAAAAUACAGGGUAUUGAGCUUUUUUUGAAAUUGCAUCUGCAAUUGAUAACCAUCAAAUCGUAUGCUUUGUCUGUCAUUUUGACUUGGAUUAUCAAGGACAAAAAGAUGAUAAGUAUAGCAUCGUCAAAGUAUACACUACUGAAGAAUUGGUUGAAAUCAUCCCAGCAAUCGCUUACGAAGCUGCCUUCGAUGCUACAGGAGAGCCUGUUCCAACUGCUCCAACCAUAACUGAGAAGCUAGCCAGCACCAUUGACCAGGUUGACUUAAUGCUCAGUCCACUUCCACUGACCAACCUACCACUAAAGGGCAAUUCUUCAGCCCAACAAAAAACAAUGGUCCUAGAUUCAAUUGGCCGCAAAUAUGAUAUUGCAGACAAGCCAACCUCUUCAAACGUUGCUGCAAAAAGAAGCUUAACUUUUGAAGCUACAAUUCCCAGAACUAAUGCACUUUCUAUUGAGAAGACAACCAUUGAAGUUGUUCCCUUGGUUGCUGCAAAAAACAGCAUUAAAGACAACAAACUAGACUCUCCAAAAUCUGCUCGUAUGAGCCUCCUCAAGAAACCACGUGAAUCUGCAAUGUGAAGCAGGCCAUACAGCUUCAUAUCAUCUUUUGUUCAUCCUUUUGUUCAUCAUAUGUAUUCUUGAAGUUCUCGCAUGCUAUCUUUUGCCAUCAUAUUAGAAUCCAUUAACAUUCCCUCUAUGACUAGAAGUUAAUGGAUCCUAAUAUAUGAUAAUACGUAGCUAAAAUGAACUUUGAAAAAUACUAUUAGCGUGCCAAUGUAUCUCUACUUGGGACCUAAUUGUACUGGAAGGUGUGUAAUUGCUACUGAAAUACUUGACAGCUAUAUAUGAAUGGUAAUUAUGAUAUUAUUACGUUAUCUUUAUAGCCAUUAUGUACCUAUUUUCCAACUAGAAUUUUAUAUGUGUUUUUCCAAUGACCAAUAUUUUUGGUAGGGCCAAGGUUGUGCCUUGCACAACCUAGUUCCUCUAGUUUAUCACCAUAUAACCAAUGUUUUGAAAACCGGACCGGACCGGCCGGUUGAACGCGAACCGGCCAUGGCGCCUGACGGGCUCUUAUUGUAUCAAUGCAAGUUUAAUUCCGAUUUUACACCCGUUGGACUGCAAGUAUACAGGUCGAAAUUUUAGUACAAGAUGUGUAUCGGGUCGAUCCCACGAGGAGCAAUUUAAACAAUUACUAAGCCCCUGUUCUCUCUAUUAUUUAGACUUACCAUUAAUUUUGAGCAGAGAAAAUCUAAUGCUGUAAUCUACAAAUCUGAUGUACAAAUCUAGUUUAACAAAUGCUGAAUGCAAAUAGAGAAAUUUCACUUAAUGAAGAUUCUAGGGAUGUAGAUUCCACUUAUGGCAUAAACUACACAAAUAAAUGGAUUUACUUAUUGCUAUUAUUCUUGCUUAACCAGAGAUUUAUUUCCAAGAUUACCAAGUCUCAUUUCCAUGAUGAAAUGGCUUAGAGCAAUAUAGAUUUCCCUAUUUCCAUGGUGAAAUACUACUACAACUCUGUUUUAGUUCAUGAAAUACUAAGUAAUCCACUUAAGUGUAUUUCUAUUUUCAUGAACAUACAACUCAAGCUCUACUCAUGUGUUUCCAUUGUUAUUACCAAUUCUCAUUGAACAAUAACAACUGUAAACAAGUUAUUGGUGAUCAAACAAUAACAAGAAAUCACAGCUACACAAGUAGACAAGUUAACUCAAGAUAUAACAAGUGUAAAUCACAUUCAAUUAGUAUUAUUUAGCCAUAAGUUUCAUCUACUCCCUAGAUGAAGGAGUUUAGCUACUCAUGAAUGAUUUAACAAUCAAAUUCACAAGUUUAUUAAUACAAAACAUCAUAAAGUACAAGUAUAAGAAAGAUAAAAGAAAGCUUAGCCAAUUGAAGGUGAAGCUCUCCAAUUCCUGCUAUGUUCUUGCACAAUAUGAUUACAAGUGAAAACUCUCCAAAAAAUGCUUCUCCAAGUACUCCUAACUAGAGAGAAAACUUGUUGCAAGAAGGAAAACUAGCUACGUAUGGUUAUCCUUGCUUCUCCCUUGUGUUUCUGCAUAAAAGGUGGUAGAAAUUCCAUUCCUCUCACUUCAUAAUUUCCUCCACUUAGAUUUUGUAAAAAGAAGUCAAAGAUAUGAUGUUCCUUUUGUCCACACUCAUUUGGUCUUCUCUUUUAUUGCAGAAGCAUGUGCCACCGAUUUCUGUCCCUCAAAAUAGCUGUAAAAGUUGUGAGAAAGGUAAAGAAAAACGGCUGUGCCACUUGCUGAGGAGAGAGACAGAUCCGAGCCUCGGAUCCGAGGAGUGAUAAUGGAUCCGAGCUCGGAUUAUAGGAUCCGAGGCCUUCCCAUGAUGGAUCCGAGGUCGGAUCGUCCUGACCUCGGAUAUACUCCGCCAGAAGUACAGACGAGGGGUCGGAUCCCUCUUGUACACACGGAUCCGAGCUCGGAUCCGUGUUGAACAUUUUUCCAGUUUUUCACUUCUUCCCUUUUUCUACAUUUUUGCUCCCACUUUCUUGUGUACUUUGUCCUCUGGAUGACCCUGACAUUUCUUUCAACUUGUGCAUGAAUUUCAUACAUCAAUUACCUUCACAAUUUCACAAAAUUACGCAUUAAUCACUCAUUUAUCAAUUUCUUAACUCUUAAACAAUAUUUAAGCAAUUAUCACCAAAAGAGUUUAAAUAUGGCUUUAAUCUUCUCAAAACAUACCAAAAAUUCAUGCCAAAUUCAUACAAAAUGUACGUUAAAUAUUCACUUAUCAGCACCGGUCCGGUUCUAUGCUCUAGUUCACUUUUGCCAGAGAACCGGUCAAACCCGGUAAAAACCGGGAAAACCGGUGAACCGUGUUGAACCGGAUUGAACAGGUUUUUGAGUUUUUUUUUUUUUUUUUUUUUUUUUUACUUUUUUUUACUUUUUGCAAAAUGCUUCUAUCAAGAUUCGAACUCAAACCUUUGUAAUAGAAGACCAAUGUAGUAACCAUUGCACCAUCACAUUUUAUUUGCUUUUUUUGAUAACUUAUUUAUAUAAAACAAACAUCUAUAUUUCAUUUUUCAUUUUUCUUACAAAAUCUCAUCCUCUCAUGACUCUUUCUUUUUAAUCUUCAACUCUUUCUUUUCUCCUUCAUCUUUUCUUUUGUCACUCCAUUUUUAAUCAAACCUCAUUAGUUUUAAUUUAUUGAUGUUUUCUUCUAUCUUUUAAUUUUGUUUUUGCCCAUUAAAUUGGAAAAAAGUUAAAAAAGAAUUAUUUUUCUUUAACCCAAAUUAUUUAAUGCCACAACCACUCACUUUUAUCUCAUUUUUUGUUUCUUAUCAAGUUUGCAUUUCUAUUUUCAAUUCUCUUAACUUCUUUCGAACUCCAAACUUUCUUUUUUAAAUUACAAUCUUUAAAUCAAAAAGACGUAAAUUAAAAUUUAAGUUCACAAUAUCAAAUUCUCAUAGACGUGAAUUUGUAUAAUUUCAAAAUAUUGUGAUAUUUUUGGGUUGGAUUUAAGAUUUUUUUGGUAGAUAUAAUUGAAAUUGAGAUGAAAUUUAUUUGUUUUAACUUAUAAUUUAAAUAAUUUAUUUUUGAAAAUCCAAAUUAUUCAAAAAUAGUGAACUUUUCAUCAUAUAAAGUUUUAAAUUAGUCCAUUGCAUGUCUUAUUUUGUGCAUAUAUAUAUUUAUAUAAAUUAUUUUAAAAAAAAUUCAUUGAACCGAGGUUGAACCGGUCCGACCGGUUGAACCUCGACCCUUUCACCUCACCGGUUCAAUUGACGGUCCGGGUUUUAAAACAUUGCAUAUAACAGUUUAAACCAAACGGGACCAAUCGAUUCCAAUUGAACUGGGAAUCCGAUGGAUAUUCUGUCCGAGUUAAUCAAUUGAGUUGGACAAAUAUUGAUUAAAUCUGGUCAAAAUUUGGAUUUGGACCAAAAAAAGUGAGUUUUUUUGUUGUUUUAGGUACUAUAUUACUUUUUUGCACAUUUUAAAAUUUAUAUGUGAUUGGUAUGCUAUUUUGAGUUUCGUCAUCAUCAUAAAUUCAUGACAUCAUUGAAUUUUUUGAUAUUUUAGCAUUUCAUCUUUUUUUUGUCGACACAAUAGAUUCUACAUCUACUUCUACUUUACACUAAAGGAAAGGGGUGGACCCAAGAGAGUCAAUAAGGAACUCAAAAUGGAUUGAAUCGCCACUAGACCACAUGGGUAUCUUUGCACCCGUUGGUAAAUUUUUUCAGGAAAUUCUGGAGAAGAAUGCAGACCAAGAGAUUUGAUUCUUUGACCUACAUUAAAGGAAAGCCUUAAGCCUCUCCCUGGUAGCCAACUACUCUAGAGGUAGUUGGUUUUUAGCAUUUGAUCAAGUCCAUUGAACAUGUCACCAUGGCCCUCAACUUGAUUGAAUCGAUGACUCAUUUCAAAUUUCAAAACUCUAUUAUAUAUUAGCCCAAAACAUCGAUACAUAUCAAUUAAGGUAUACACGGAUAUUUGCCAUUCUAUUAUAGUGAAAAGAAAAGGUUUACUUUUAAGAGGAUAUAUAAUUGGAUGAAUCAAUACAUAUUUUACUCAAAAUAACGCCAAUCCACACCGUAAAAUUAAUUCUAAACGGUUUGAAAGAAAAGGACCAAAAUGUAGACCAACCUACAAAUUGAUUUUGUACCAAAUGAACAUGCAUAGAAUUUUCAUUGCAUACAAAUUAUGAAACGUGGAUUUAAAAUUCAUGUGACAACAUCUCGAUUUAAAAAAAAAAUGAACUUUUUAGUUUGCAUUAUUUUACACAUAUUUGAUUUUUUUAAAAAUAACAUAGUUGCGUAUGAUUGAAUAGGCAAGCAUACAUUAUUGAUGUAUAAGUUAAUGUGGACGCCUAUCAAUGUUUAUGUUGUUGCACAACUUGAAUUUGUUCUGGAAAUUUAUAAUAUUUAAAAAUUUUAAUAAUUUCAACCUACUUCAAAACUUUUUUUUAGUAAUAAAUCAUUUCAAGGUGUAGUUGAAUUCAAUAUUCUAUUAGUAAAAUGGCUAAACUGUGUGUUUGUCUAUUUGUUUGAGUUUGCAUAUGGUCUGAGUCUAAAUAUUCUGUAUAGUACGAUUAUAUAAAGCUAGAUGGUAUCUAAAUCUAUGAUUUUCUUACAUGGUCUAUGUUUUGAUAAGGUUUGAAUUUCAAAAAUUAUAUUCGUACCCAUGAAAAACUCUGUGAGACUAUGUUAAUUAGUUAAGAUAAAAUUCGACUUAUUUGCAUUCCCACUCUUAACAUGGAUCAAUUAGCCGCCAUGUUUUAGAAUUGUGCUCUUUUUUUUUUUUUUUUUUGAGGGGGAUGGGGGGUGGCGGAGGUUAAUUUUGAAGUUAAGUCUCCAAUUUAAAUUGGCUUGUGAAAUUCAUCCUUUAAAUGGAAUUAAUUCUUACCUCUCACUGGAGCCAUGGUCACAUUUCCUUCCGAGUGCUAGGAAUCGAACCCGACACAGCACCAGUUUGCCAUUUUUUCCCUGUAGAACACUUUGUAUUGGUUCCAUCUACUUCUUCAAUCUAGCACUUGUUCAGCCUUGUUCACGUAUGGAAGAGCUCAAGUAUUUUCUGUUUUCAAUGGUUCAGCUUAAGCCACCAAAUCUAAAUGUGUAAAAUUGGAAAUCCUGUGAACUCUCGAAUAAAACUCCAAGGAGCAUUAAUGCUACUUUUAAAUAUCAAAGUUUUAUAUGCACUGAUUUCUUUGUGCAUCUCGAACAUUUAUGUCAUAUUGCCACCAAAAGUUCUUUCCCGGAUUUUCUAACGUAUUUCUGGUUUGUUAGGAGAGUGUCAAUUCAAAUAACUUAUUUGGAGGAUUGACUUUUAGGAUCGCCAUUCAAUAUUUCUGCUUAAUUGUUGAGUGAGAUUAUCUCUUCUUGAUGAGUUAUGUUAGGUAGGUAAGUCUUCGUAGGUUUUUGAAAUGAUUGGUAACUCUUUGUUAGGAAACAAUACCGAGUUAACCAGCCUCUAUCCUGUCACAAAUUUUUCGUAUGAUAUCACAUUAUUCUUCUAAAGUUUUAAAAUAUCUAUAUAGCCCCCUAUAAUAUUGUGUAAAGCGGAGAGUGUCAAAAAUCCUCCAAUGACGGAUGCAUUUGGCAAGUUUAAAUAAUUUUUUUUUACUAAUCAAAGACCGAUGUAUUUGGUAAAUGCGUUGGUAUAAUUUGCUGCAUUCCCAACAUGCCUAAUGAAAGGUUGAACCAGAAACUAGUAUUAGUACCAUUGCCCACAACAUCACGUCUAAUGGUUGAACCAGCUCUCUGCUCUUCAUUAUUUUCCUCCAAACCCAAGAAGCAUCAAUUGGGAUCUUAGCUGCCCAUUGGGAUUGACUCCUUAAUGGGAUACUAUGUACCCAUCUUACCCCCAGUGUAUCUUUCUUACGACUGAUAUUCCAUAUCAACUUCAGUAUCAGGCACUUGUUCCACAUUCAAUGUUGUAUAAACCUAAUCCACCAUCUUUUUUUGGAUUACAGAUUUCCUUCCCGCUAACUCGAGCCCCAUAAAAUUGUUUCACCUCACUAGCCCAUAAAAAAGAAGCUAAUAUGCUAUUAAUUUUGCGAGUAACUGAUUUUGGCAAGAUGAAUGUUGUUCACCUGGAACAAAAAAUAAAAACAAAUAUGCAGAAAAAAAAAAGAUUAGACAAUAACAAUAUAUUAGUACUCAAGCGUGGAGGAUUGAGGUACGGAUAUCUCGCUCUCUUUAAGGUGAUUCAAUCCUCUACGGAAGAAUUAACUCCCGUGUAGCAAGUUCUCUAGCUUGUCACCCCCAAGAUACAAUAGCCAAACCACACUUGCUAACACACUCUCUAGACUGCAUAACUAGGAGAGUAUAGCUCUACAAACACCUUUUGUUUCUUGCCUAACUAUGAGAUAAAAAAUAGUAAAUUUAUACUCAAAAGACAUAAGUUGUUGUAGUAGAACUUUUCUAUCUCAACUAUGCAUAUAUAUAGGUGAAUAAAAGUUAGACAAACAUAACUUAUGUUACUAAUAAGACACCAAGUAAAUGUUGAAAUUAUUGGUCAUUCAAAACACAUUCAAAUUUGUAGGUUACAAAAAACUUAUUGUAAUUAAAAAAUCAUAAUAAUUCUUUGGUCAAUACCCAUUCAAAUCCAAAUUUGAAUUGUAAGUUACAAAACUUCAAUGUAAUUGAAAAGCCACAACUUCAUACAAUAAAUCUUUAGUAAAAACCAUUCAAACACCUAUAAUUUCAGAAAAUUUAUUUCCCUUGUAACAUGCACAUGUAAUUGAGAAUUUAAUUAUUUUAUUAAAAUACUACAACAAUGAAUACACUGCACCAAUGCAGAUAAAUUCCAGUCAGAACUGAUUGUAUCAAUUGUAAACGUCCACCAUAACUCAACUUUUUAUUUGCCCAACUCAACUUUAGAUAAAUCCUUUGUAAUGAUAAUCUGGAACUAAUUAAAGGUAGUCCUAGAUAUUUAACAGGCAACAUCCGCCUUGGCAUUUGCAUAAUGUCACGUGAAGAAUCAGCCUCCUGAGCAUCUAAACCAGCUAUAAAGAUCUGACAUUUCUGCAGAUUUGGUGAAAGCCCGAACAUGGAACCAAACUCAAGCAUUGUCUUCUUAAUUACCUCAAAAGAUUUAGUAGUGGCAGCAGAUAUGAGAACAAAUCAUCAGCAAACACAAGAUGUGGUACUUGUAUCUCCUGACAUUUAGGAUGGAAAUCAAAACCCAAGGUUCUGAUAUUCCAUUGAUAAAGUGCAGAAAACAUCUCCAUACUGAUCAGAAACACUAUAUUUUAACUAACCAAUCAAACGUUAUAAUUACACACUCUUUCCUCAACAAGAUUUUAUAGUUUUCACUAUCUUCUAACAAGCUUAUAAAUUAUGUUAAAAAGAGUACAUAAAUCUGAGGAGCUUGACAAAAAGAUAUAAGAUACAGUAGGAAAUUGUUGAAACUUCAUAUUUGUUGGUCAAAUAAAUAACUUUAUAUUUGACAAUAGUUCGUGUUGUUGAAAUGUCACAUUAACAAAAUUACACUUUAUACAGAAUCUAUAGAAAUAUGAAAGCGUGAUAUCAAUUAGGCGGUACUUGGGUUAAUUGUGCCUCCAUCUCAUACUGGGAGUUAGGCCCACAAAAUGAGUGGGACAGAGAACCUAUAUAAUAAUUUCUUUUUUCAAUUAUAGUAUGAAGAUAUGUUAAUAGUACAGAUGUAAUGGAGUGUGAAAAUGGCUUACAUUUAGUCAGGUAAGAAGAAAGAAUAUAAUGGAAUCUAACCGGAGUAGUUCAGCAGCGAAACAAAUUUGAACCCUUUAGUAUGUGGGACAAAUUCUUAUGGCAGACUCUCUAGUGUGUGGGACAUAUUUGGACCAUUUACUUUACAUACCAUUCAGCAAAUCAAUACUUAUGGCAGACACUAUAGUUUGUGGGACAAAUUCUUAUUCUUCAAUUAUUCACCAAAAUCUUCAUGAAUUUCACUCUCAAUUCAAAGAAGGUACAUGUCAACUUUGGCGUACACGUAUGACCAUGACUAUCUAGGUUAAUCUUGCACUCGUGACUUGCAAAUUUUGUUAACUUGUAAAAUUGGUUGAAAAUCUCACUAUCUAGCUCAAUCGUGGGUGCUGUUUAAAUCAAAAGGAAAAGAAAGAAAAAGGAAUUAGAGACACUCAUGAAUGACAAAAAUUAGCAUUCAGAAACAUAUCUUCUCCCAUUUUACAUUUGCCGCUUCCGGAUUGUGGAGAGCUUAGAAAUGUGGUCAAGGGUCACUUACAGAUGUUGUCCGGCCAUGAACAAUACCAUUUCAAUUCUACCUGUUAAGUGGCUAAUUGUGCAUAUAAUUGGUGAAUAUUUUUCCCUUUAUUUUGUUAAAAUAUGGUGUUAAUCGCUAAAUUCCACUCAUAUUUGAAUUUUGGUGUUAUUUGUAGGAAUUGUUGGUAAGAAUGAAGUAAAAGGCGCAUUAAAAGUCGAAUUUUCAGAAGACGUCUUAUUAUAAGACGUGCCCACGCUUUGUCAAAUGCAAAUUGGUGCUUUUAAAGAUUGAUGUCCAGAAGACUCCAUUCUGUUAAGCGUGACCACGUCUUAUUCUACAAGGAAUUCAAGAGUUCGCAGGACAUGAGAUCUAUCUGCCAUUUGAUCAAGAAGUCUGUUACGACUCAUAGUUGUCCACAUUAGUCACGAAAUUGGAGAUCCUAAUUGUUAUGACUUGAUGUACUUUACUUGAAAAACCAAUUAAUAUGUUUUAAUUGGGUAGUUGACUUUCGUAGGAAGUCGGAAGGAUAAGGAAUCUUUCCUUAUUAGAAGAGGAGAAAAACCUUAUAAAAGGGGGGACGGAAGCCUUCAGGGGGGAGCUGGGAUCCUUUUCCUUUUCUUUUCUCUCCAAUAAACCCUAUUUUGUGGCCGCAAAUCCACCAGGAGGAGCGGCUAGUUUCUUUUCUAGUUGAAGGAUAAUCAAAGCUUUGGUUUGACAAUUCUGUGAGAUCUAAUUUCAUUUAUUUGCUUCAUUUAUUUAUGAGAUUAUAUAUAUUCUCUGUUCAUUCAUGAUUAUGAUUAUUUUCUACAGUUAAAUAUUUGAUCAAUAUUAAUUGUCGAAAUAGUCUAUUGCAAUCUAAAAUAUCAAAUCCGUAAUUGUUGAUGGUUUUAGUAUCUGUGGAGCGUAUAUAAUUUGAUUGUAAAAGAGACUUUCGAAUUUAUUCACAGGAGUAUGUAAUCUAACUUAAAUGAACCGAACUUGUGUGUUUGUUGGUUAGAAUUGGCAGCUUCUCUAAUUAUUAAUGCUGUCAAUAGGUUAAUCCUAAGAGCUUGUUUAGGGUUGCCUAAUUGGCAAGAGAAAUAAUCACAGAGCUUGUUGUGGUUAUCGAAACAGUAAGGAGAGGCAGGUUGUCAGAGCGUGUUGACAACUAUAACCAGUUUACUUAUGAAUAAUUGAUUUCACCUUUGCAUCGAUGAUCAGUUAAAUGAACCAAAGUGGAGAUUAGACUUUCGACUAGAGUAUUGCCUUUUAUUGGUUUAGUUUUAUUUAAUUUUGUGCUAUUGUCUUUAUUUUAUUCAAGUGAAUUAUUUAGUUAAUUUCUCAUAAUCCCCUUUUUAUUUAUUAUCUUCAAAAGAAAUAAAUCACCCAGUCCCUAUGGAUACGACCUUACUCACCUCUAUGAUCGAAUUCAUAUUUUUAGAUAGGAACUUUAUUUUUGCUGGUUUGACAAGCCAACAAAUUUUGGCGCCGUUGUCGGGGACUGGUGCCUUGUUGAUUUAUUUUCUUUAAAUUUUUUUUAUUUUUCCUUAUUCUGGUGCUAGUUUAUGGCUGACUAUACUCAACAAUUUGGUGAUAGACAGGAUUUCAUUCAACGGAGGUUAAAAUGUGGGUAUUUCUUCUAUUGAUCAACGUUUACAUUUACUAAUAUUUCUUGUAAAAAAGUUGUUGAAGGGCAAGUACAACAAAAAAAAAAACUUGUGGAAUAUGUUAUACCUUGAAUCAUCCAAGUAACAUGUGUCCCACAUUACAAGAUGGUUUGAAUGCCCAAGUUUAUGCUAUUGGAGGAUUUCCAAAUCCGCCUCAAAUGAGGUAUGAUUCGUAUUCCAACAUGUACACUCAAGGAUAGAGGGAUAACCUUAGCUUCAGUUAUGCAGCGAGGCCACCAAAUUUUCAAUAGUAAUAACCACCUUUUACGUCAGGUAUAUCUCUUGAAGAAAUUGUUAAAUCACUAGCUACUAAUAUACAACAAUUGCAACAGGAGACAAGAAUGAUUAUUCAAAACUUGGAGAAUCAAUUGAGUCAACUAGCAUCUACCAUGAGCCGAUUGGAUUCUCAAAUUUUAGAAGCAUCGCACUCGCAGACCAUUGUCAACUCCAAACAAAAUAUGAGUAAUUACCCUGAGAAGUGAUGAAGGACUGCAAGAGUUUCAAAAAGUAGGAUUCAAGCAUGCAGUCGAAGAGGAAGUUGAGAAAGAAGGAAUGAGAUCCCAAUCUCAAACUUCUUCAACGAAAGAUUCUAGUGAACAACCCCCAACUGUGGUGAUACAUCUUUCAUUCCCUAAUCAAUUUACAAGAUCCAAUGAAGAGGAGGAGCCGAGAAAUUCUGAAAAUGGUUGACAAGGUUGAGAAGCUGAAUUGCACUAAAAAAAUUUGUAUGAAGGAAAAUGCUUCAGCUGUACUGCAACAGAAAUUACCUCCUAAGUGUGAGGAUUUAAAAGUUUUUGAGGUGGAUGGCUUGGAUAAGAUAGGAGUUGCAAUGAUCAAAAUCUUGAACUGAGAAACAAAGUAGCUUGUUUGCUUAAGAAUUACUGGCACGAGAAAGAAAUAAUGAAAUGAGUUAAAAGAUUUUAUCCCCCUUAAUCGAACAUGAUAUCGUCUAGCCAAAGACGUUAAAGCGAGGCGCUACUUGGGAGGCAACCCAAGAGUUUUAAUUUUUAGUCAUUUUGUGUUUUUUAUAUGAUAUUUUUGUGUUAAAGUUAAGUUUAUUUCGUUUCUUUUUGACAAAGGGCUUUUUGUUGCAGGUGUGGACGUGCUCAUGAAGUUUUCGCUUUGAUUGGAUGCAAAUUUCUGGACAGAAGACUUCCUGUUAUAAGACGUGCCCACGCUCUAUGUCCAGAAGGCAUUGUUUGUUUUACGAAUAGAUGGACAGAAGACUAUUUCUUAUACAGCUUGCCCACGCCUUACAACAAAACCUCCAAUAUUGUGAUCCCAAAUUGAACCUCACUACGUGCUUCGUCUCAUUGAUUUUUAAGCAACUUAUUCCCUCCCGAAUGUUCAGUUCAAUAAUCAGGGAAGUCCUCUUUUCUUCUUUUUGCACUUAAGUUCAUCCAUUGAGGACAAUGUUUGAUUUAGGUGUGGGGGAAGGAAUAUUUUAAGUGAAAAAUUAGUCAUAAAAAUUUUUUCAAAAAGUUUUGGAGCUUCUAUUGUUUUUUUAUGAAAGGCACUCAAGAUACAAAUAUGAAUAGUGUAAUGCUACUAGCAUGAGUAUGUUAUUUUCUUGCAAUUGAUUUGAAUAAUGGAUGUGCUAGAUUUGACAUAAUUUUAACCACUUUGAGCUUUUGAGCCUAAUGAGCAAUUCAUUAUAGUGUGCUCUAUUUUCUUUUGUUGAGUGAUAUCACACAUGAUUUGAUAUUCUAGAACUUGCUUCGUUAUGCAUGUUGAGACCACGCUUGAAUUUGAUACAUUAAAAUGAUAAGGGCAAUUAGGCUUAACCUUUUUUACUUUCUAAAUGCCUUUCCUAAUUAUGUUUAUCCAUAGUUAACCCUGUUUGAGCCUCAAUCCUUUUCUUUGUUUAAUAGCCUAAUUUGUUACCUUAAACCUUUUUUGUUUGAACCAUCUCAUUUGAACCUUGUGUCGAAGGAAUACAUUAAUAUUCUCCAUGAAAAUUUUAAGUGUGUUCCAAAAGUACGUUUAUGGUUGCAAGUGUGGUAUUUAUGUUGUGCAUUUAAAAAAAAGAGAGAGAAAUGAAAAAAUACAAAAAAAAGAGAAAAAAAUGAAAAAAAAUGAAAAAAAAUGAAAAAAUCAAAAGAAAAAAAAAAAAAAAUUGUGAAGUGCACUUGUGUUGUUUUGUGGUAGUUGGGAUAAUGCCUAAAUUGCGUUUGCACUUGCCAAGUUGAGUGAAGUUAUUGACACUCCUGGAAGCCAGCUAUACAUGUGAAUAACAAAGGAGUUUGAUUUCAUGCAGAGUAUUAUUGAUAUUUCCUUUGAUAUAUGUACACCUAAAUUAUUCCCUUUUAUCCAACCCUUAACCCAAGCCCUAUUACAAUCCUUAUAAAGAUCAUUUGAUUUUUGCAUUGAAUUCAUUUUAAGUGGUGGAAAUAUGAUAUAUUAGCAAGCUUAUGGUAAUGUCAUUUUAUGGUGUUGAUUUGAAUGUUAAAUAUCCCCUUGAACACUUGAGUGUAGAGUGUAUACACUAGUAUCCAUGUGAGAACUGUUGAAUCUUGUACAUCCUGAUUUUGAUAAAAUUGUUGAGAAGACAUGAUACUUGUUUUAUUAUGCACUGUGCUAUGAAAUAUUUGUCAUCUUGACUGUGAUUCUUGAGUAGUGAAUGCUUGAGGGCAAACAUUGUUUAGGUAUGGGGGAAUUUGUUAAGUGGCUAAUUGUGCAUAUAAUUGGUGAAUAUUUUCCCCUUUAUUUUGCUAAAAUAUGGUGUUAAUCGAUAAAUUUCACUCAUAUUUAAAUUUUGGUGUUGUUUGUAGGAAUUGUUGGUGAGAAUGAAGUAAAAGGCGCAUUAAAAGUCGAAUUUUCAGAAGACGUCUUAUUAUAAGACGUGCCCACGCUUUGUCAAAUGCAAAUUGGUGCUUUUAAAGAUUGAUGUCCAGAAGACUCCAUUCUGUUAAGCGUGACCACGUCUUAUUCUACAAGGAAGUCAAGAGUUCGCAGGACAUGAGAUCUAUCUGCCAUUUGAUCAAGAAGUCCGUUACGACUUAUAGUUGUCCACAUUAGUCACGAAAUUGGAGAGCCUAAUUGGUAUGACUUGAUGUACUUUACUUGAAAAACCAAUUAAUAUGUUUUAAUUGGGUAGUUGACUUUCGGUAGGAAGUUGGGAAGGAUAAGGAAUCCUUUCCUUAUAGAAGAGGAGAAAAACCUUAUAAAAGGGGGACGGAAGCCUUCAGGGGGGAGCUGGGAUUCCUUUUCCUUUUCUUUUCUCUCCAAUAAACCCUAGUAUUUUGUGGCCGCAAAUCCAUCAGGAGGAGCAGCUAGUUUCUUUUCUAGUUGAAGGAUAAUCGAAGCUUUGGUUUGACAAUUCUGUGAGAUCUAAUUUCAUUUGUUUGCUUCAUUUAUUUAUGAGUAUUUAUAUAUUCUCUGUUCAUUCAUGAUUAUGAUUAUUUUCUACAGUUAAAUACUUGAUCAAUAUUUAAUUGUCGAAAUAGUCUAUUGCAAUCUAAAAUAUCAAAUCCGUAAUUGUUUGAUGGUUUUAGUAUCUGUGGAGCGUGAUAUAAUUUGAUUGUAAAAGAGACUUUCGAAUUUUGUCACAGGAGUAUGUAAUCUAACUUAAAUGAACCGAACUUGUGUGUUUGUUGGUUAGAAUUGGUAGCUUCUCUAAUUAUUAAUGCUGUCAAUAGGUUAAAUCCUAAGAGCUUGUUUAGGGUUGCUUAAUUGGCAAGAGAAAUAACCACAGAGCUUGUUGUGGUUAUCGAAACAGUAAGGAGAGGCAGGUUGUCAGAGCGUGUUGAUAACCAUAACCAGUUUACUUAAAUGAACCAAAGUGGAGAUUAGACCUUCGACUAGAGUAUUGCCUUUUAUUGGUUUAGUUUUAUUUAAUUUUGUGCUAUUGUCUUUAUUUUUAUUCAAGUGAGUUAUUUAGUUAAUUUCUCUAAUCCCCCUUUUUAUUUAUUAUCUUCACAAAGAAAUAAAUCACCCAAUCCCUGUGGAUACGACCCUACUCACUGCUAUUCUCGAAUUCAUAUUUUUAUAGUAGGAACUUUUAUUUUUGCUGGUUUGACAAGCCAACACUACCUUCAAACAUCUUUGGCUGGAAAAGAUUAAGGAGCCAAAAAAGGGAAUUUGUUGUGAUGAGAUUAACUGUUGUUAACUUUAAUUAUCUGGCCUUUAAAUUUUUCAUACAUGAUCAAUCAACAUAAAAUAAACACCUCCACUGCAGAAUCUCUUCUUGCUUUCAUAGUGCAGAACUAAGAAAUCUCUGGAGCUCAAAAGAAGAAAGCAUUUAGCCAAUGGGAAUAUAUGAAUGUUUAGUGUAAUGAAUAUGAAAUCCUUGAAGCAUAUCUCACAACAGAAGGAGCCAAAAAAAAAUUGACAAUAACCAACUUCUAGAUGUAUUAUGGCAAAGAAUUCUUAUAAUUACAUCUUAUCCCAUGUGAUUCCCUAUGCCCCAAAACAAUUAACCAGAUAUGCUUAAGUUUAUUAAAGUAUAAGCGACGUCACCAUUCCCGUCCCAGGUUCUUUGUAUUAACAUGUUUCGUGCUUACAUAUAUAUAUGCUAGUGCUUGGGGCCUUGCCCAGAUAUAGUAAAAUUUUGGUUUUGUUGUCUUAGCCGGAAGAAUUUGUGGAUUUUUGGGGGGCCAUGUCUAGUGUAUGUGAGAAUUGUGAUCAGACCUUGUAUUUGCUAGUUUGAGUGAAUAUGGUAUUGCAUGGAAAGCGUGUGAUUGCUGUUUCAAAAAUUUACAUUAGCAGAAAUGUCUUCUUGCAAACUAACAAACAGAUGGCAACCUUCUUUACUUCGAACAAAAGCAUAAGUAAACUAAUUAUCUCCAUCAAUAACAGACUGAGAAGUGAAGACAUUGUUAAUUGUCUUAUUGGUGCUUAGAUUGGUGCUUAUAUUGUUGUUAUAAGAGCUCCUGUUACCAUCAUCGCCAUCAACAUGUUUUGUCUGAUCACAUUGACUAUGGACUAAAGGAUUAACCGUUUCAAGUGUUAUAAAAGGAACAGCAGAAAUCUUACCAAUCGGGCACUUCUGCUUUGCUUUCUUUGCUAUAGCAUAACUUUCACGACGACAAUGAUUUCGUUCCCUUUAAGCUUCCUCAGCCAUGGCAUACUUUCUUCGUUGCUGGAUCUCGAAUGAGCCCUUCACAUCAUUAUCCUUGUCUGAAGAGAUAUUGAUAGAACUAGAAGUCCCAAGCCAUGGAGUAGCCUUCUCAAUCGAUAAUGAUUACAAUCACUUGCAGUUUGACAGUGUACAUAAUUUUACAUUAGUAAUUAUGUAAGUAUAUAUUAUAUAACCAAAAGAAUAAUUUUACAACUACAAAGCAAAGCUAAGUUUUGAACAGAAAAAGAGGAUUACCUAUUGGAACACUCUUAACAUUAGCAAUACUUUCUCCAUCGAUACUAAAAGGAAUCAAAGCUUCAUUGCUUUCAGCAACAGAAAAACCAAGGGAAUCAUGUUUAUUCAUAAGAGAUGAAGGGGGCAACAGAUUCUUGAUUGUAUCAUCUAUGCUCAUAUUCGCAAAAUAGGUGCUGUCAUUAUCCUCAUUGAUAUGGAUAUGUUUCACAGAAGGAGGACUCCUCUCAGCUAAACUAUGCACCAUUCGCAAUGCUUUGACAGCAAUAGUGCAAACUGUAUUAAAUGGACCAUUCUCUUUUUUUCUUAGCUGCAGUACAUCGCUCAAGGCGACAACGAUUUUUUUCACUGUAAACUUCCUCAAGUGUAGCAUAUUUUCUCUUUCGACCCAUUAUGACUGAUGCUUAUAUACUAUAGUUUAACUUAUAUACUAUAUUUUAACUAAUAAGGACCAAACAUGAAUAACUCUUAUGCCAAAAAAAAUUAGUGAAAAAAUCAACAGAUUUCAUGAAAGCCAAAAAAGCACACUGUACUUUAACGAAUAACAAGCAAACAAGAAUAACUUUCAUGCAAAACAAAAUAGCAAAGGACUGCAUACAAGUGAAGAGAAUGCAAAUAAAUGGAAACAAAAAUACAUAAUAUUAGAAGCUGUAGAACCAGCAAAAAAUGUUCACGGGUCUCCAAACAAAUACCUACAAUUAGACGCUCACUAAUUUAAGUUAUGCAUAGUAUAUGAUCUCACUUAUUUUAGUAAAAUAUAUCAAACAUGAAUUAACAAUUGUGAAUAAACCAAACAUGUGAUAUGCAUGAAAAGUCAACAACGAACUACAAAGCAUGAGGAUAAAUACACUACCAAACCAACAGAAAGACAAUCAUACUGAGUCUCAUAUGAAGCAACUACUUUGCUGCCUCCAAAACACAGGACCUUUGGAACAACUAAAUCACAAAAAUGGAGCUAGUAAAGCACCAAUAUAUACACAUAGAGACCAGCUUCGUAACAAGAGGCACCCAAAAUGUAGUGAAAAUAACAAUGGACAGUGCUCAGGUGAUAUCAGGUGUAGCAAAAAUAUUUUCCAGCCAAAGGAAGCUACAAUGGUUGCCCAAAAAAGUUGGGUUCGUACUCGCUGGAAAAAAGAACAACUAACAAACUCCAAUUCCUAACAUGAAAAUAAAAAUUAGUGAAUUACAUGUAAGAAAGGAACAAAAGAAUGACACUGAUAGCAUAGAAGAACAUGGCAAUCAUAGUAUGAUUACCUCCAAUCGUGACUAACCAAAGGAUCUGUGUCUCUUUAAAAGAAGCCAGAAUCACAGAAGCGUCAAAUUCUUGUUUGGAACAAAAAACCAGAGCAACCUGCAAUUACUCAUUUGAACAAAGGGAAAAGCAGCCCACUAUUUUUUACAAUGCAAAACAGCUAGAGGACACCUGGCCAAAUGUUUUCCCGGGAAUAGAUUCACACUUUGAUAAAUUCGAUUUUCAAAGAUCUAAUGAUCCAAAUUGUGUCACACCACUUGAUGAGAUGGUGUGGCACAAUCUAGGCCAUUAGGUAUUUGAAUACUAUGUCUACCUAAAUUUUAGCCUAUAUAAAAAACGUUGUUGCCUAUUGUGAACAGUACUCUUUGGGCAGGUUUAAUUAUAAAUAUGGGCUUUGUGAACAACAAGUAUUUCGUCCGAUUUCUUUGUUAAUCUUGCUUGUCAGAGGGAUGAUUUGGGAAUUUUGCUUCUUUUGAAUUGGCUGAUUAGGGUUGUAAUCGAGUCGAGUCGAGCCCGAGUAUCGCCAUACUCGAGCUCGACUCGACAUGCAAAAGGGUGCUCGAGCUUGAGCGAGUACUAUUAUUGGAGCUCGAGCUCGAGAUUGAUGCUUGCUCACAGAACUCGAGCUCGACUCGCAUGAGCUCGAGUCAAUACGAGCCUUAUCGAGCUCGAGAGAUAGAAAUUUUUAUUUUCUUGACAAUUUUUGAACGAAAAGACAUUAUUACCCUUUAAAAAUUUUUAUAUGAUUUGAAACAUUUCAUAAAUUCAACAACUCUUUUGGGUAUAAGGGUGAUUUUAUAAUAAUAAUAUAUUAAAUAAUUAAAAUUAAAAACUCGAUAAGGCUCGACGAGCCUUCGAGCAAUGCUUCUGGAUGCUCGAACUCGACUCGUUUAUCUUAUCGAGGCGCUCGAGCUCGACUCGAACUCUGUCAACCCGAGUUCGAGUCAAGCUUUUGACCGAGUUUGGUUCGAUUACAUCCCUAUGGCUGAGAUAAAAGUUGGUUUGCUUUGAAGCGGUUAGCGGAGAUUAGUUGAAUCUGUUGUGGCCGUCAGAUGAGGUUUACAAAAGCUUGGACCAUCAGUUGUGCCUUGCAUUUUUUCCAUUGGCCAAAACUUAGGUAGACUUGGUCUUUAAAAACCUAAUGACCUAUAUUAUGUCAUACCAUCUCACCAAGUAUGAUAUAAUACAGGCCUUACCAUCAUAUUAGUGCAACUACAAAAAUUAAAUAAAAAUUACAAAAAUGGGAGAGUGAUGGGAAGUGGUGUCAAACCCCACAAUUAGACCACAUAGCUUUCCUAAUCCAAGAAAGAUUCUUGACAUGAUAAAAUGCUCAACAAAUAUGAUUGAUACCAUUAAGAUAUUCUAGUUACCCGAUGAAUAAUAAUAUAUAAUAUUAGUAGAUAAAAUUAGGGUUUGGGAUCCAAUGUAUCUAAGUUUUACUGGUCUAUGGAGACUAAAUGCCACUAAAAGUUGGGCAUUUAAAAUAUUAAAAAAGGAAUAAAAAAUUCUGAUAAUUAUUUCUUAUAAUUAAAUUAGACUAAAACUUAAAUUUUUUAGAAUUUUUUCAUAAAUAUAGCCCUUAUAAACUAAAGAUUUCAAAAUAAGCCCUGCUUGGAAGCUUGAAAUUUGUUCUUUGAAGGAAAAUUUAACUUUUUAUUCAUUAAGAAUUUGGCAUUGAAACUAUUUUUAUUGAAUUCGAAUGAAAGGUACUUCUUUAUUUAUGUGUAAUAUCUUAAGUAAAUAACUUCUGAAUAUUAACAACCUGAAUCACCUAUUGGUUGAAUAUAGUUUAUUCAAACCUAAAGGACCUAUUUGUAAUUUAAUCAAAAUAUUGCCACCCUCUUCCUUGCGAUGACACAUGUCUAGACAAUGUUAGGACAAGAAUUAGCUGUAAUAAAUGCUCUAAUUGGGAUUAAUCCAGUAGAGGCCUAAACGAUGUCGUUUUGGGUUAUUGAAUUAGUAGUUAGUUAAGUCGGUUAAAUAACAAUUGCUGAUUGUGUGGAUUGGUUAUAAAAGUGGGUCCUACCCAUGUGUAAAAACAGAAUUCCGGUAAUAACAUUUCAACUUCAUUUCCCCUCCUCAAUUCUCUCUCUACUCUCUCUUCUCUGACUCCUUAAUUCUUCUCUCUCAUCCUAUCAAUUCCCAAUUUUCUCUCAUUCAUCAAUUUGAGCUCAGCAAUUGAACCUGAGUUCCUGACAAAUUGGUACUAGAGCUAGAAGAUCCUUGGAAUGUUUACCAGUAGCAAUGGCAGAAAGCACUAGAUUCAGGACAUUAGAGGAGCAAGUAAGGAAACAAGAAAUCAAACUGCAGGAAUUGGUAGAAUCUCUCCAUGCAUCACAGUCUGAGCAGCAAUAGAUCAAGGAUGACCUGAAACUGGAACUAGAAGAAAAUAGCAAACUGAUGGAAGGCUUGCUAACAGGAAUGGAGCAAAACCUCCAUAGGAUCCUGGAGCAGAAGUUGAGCAAUUUGCUGCUGAGAAUGCCUCCUAUGAAAGAGAGGCAACCGAAGGGGAUGGCAGGACAUUGAUGGAUCAACACACACUUCUGCCAACUCCACCAGCUCACCACAGAUUACCAGUGGAAGGAGAAGCUUAAAAGCUCCUUAAGAAGGAUUGGAGUAAGUUUCAGAUUCCAAAUCCUCCUAAAAUUGAUUUACAAUUAUUUUCUGGAGAAAAUCCUAGAGAUUGGUUGCGGAAUAUAAUAAAUAUUUCUUGAACUAUCAAGUUCCAGACGAACAUAAAAUUGAAAUAAUUGAAAUGUAUCUAGAAGGCAAAGCUGACAAAUGGCUUCAAGGUGUAAAAAUUGAGAGACCUAGAUUGAAUUGGGAAGUUUGGGGAAUUGUUAUGUAGGAGGUUUAAUGAUAGAACUUGCAAGGAUAUAGUGGAGAAAUUCAACAAACUACAGCAAGUAGGCAGUAUUGAUGAUUACCAAGAGAGAUUUGAAGAAUUGAAACCUUUGAUGAUGAUCAAAAAUCGAAAUCUGCAUGAGAACUAUUCAUUUCUAGUUUCAUAAGUGGACUUAAGGAAGAAAUUAAGCAUGUGGUCAGGAUGCUGAAGCCUACUACAUUAUCUGAAGCCUUUGAGUUGUCUCAAUGGCAAGCAGUCCAUAAAAAUCCAGAACAAGAGCUCCAAGGAACACUCCAGGUUAUUGGGAGAAAACAGAUUUGGUAUCACAAGGAGUACUACCACCUCUGUUGGAACCAAUUCAUAUAAGGUCCUUACAAAUAACAAUUUUAAGCAUCCUAAGUUCAGGAACUCACUAGGGGACACAAAAGAGCCUAAAAAGCUUUCUGCUCAAGAGAUGCAGUAUAGGAGGAGUAAUGGCUUGUGUUUCAGAUGCGGGGAGAAGUAUGGAGUAGGACACCAGUGCAAAGUAGGGUACUCAAAUUGCAUGACACUGGAUGAGGAAGAGGAUGCUACAUUUGAGGAUGCACUUGGAGAACAAGAUUAACAGACUAGAAAUCCUGGACAACCAUGGAAAUGUCAUUGCAUGCCUUAUCUGAGGCUUUAAAGAGGAAAACUAUUACACUCACAGGUAUUCUAGAUGGAGAAGAAGUGCUGAUAUUGGUAGACACUGGGAGCUCAGAUAGCUACAUCAGCAGUGAGCUAGUAAUUGGGAUGGACAUAAGCUACCAGUGGGUGGAUCUGUGAGAACUCAUGUUUUUAUCCUUAAAAUAGUCAAUUUUAUAAUUAUUUGCCCUAGAUAUAUUUAAUUACCCUAGUAGUGCAUGAAUUUUUCUUAAGUUUCGAUUUUUCGCGCGCGCGUCGUAAGACGCGUAUUUUGCGUCGGAACGAAUAAGUGAAAAUUUAAAAAAUUUAUAUUAGACUAGUAAGAGUGAAUAAUUACCAUAUUAAAGGAAGUACCUUGGAGGAUUAGUGCAUGAGUGUAACAAAACCAAGAGAAAGUGGUAGUACAAAACCCCAUUUGGGCACUAUUAAGAAUUGACUUUUUGCCCAACACUUAUGGCUACUAUUUCAUUCUUUCUCUCCAAGUUUCAUCACACAAACAAACCUCAUCUCUCUCUCCUCACUCCCUCAUUUUUGGCCAGACCAAGGAGAAAGAAAAGGAACAAGAGAAAACUUCAACUUUUGCUCUUCAAUCUUGUUUGAAAUUCAUCAUCCAACCAUCAAACUCCUUGGGUUCUUGCUCUAGCUUGAAAGGAAGAGAGGGGCAGCUGGUUGGGGCCUAUUUUAAGGAGUUUCUUACACCAAAAUAUAGGAUUUCUUCUUGAGUUUUGAAGGUAUAAACAUCUCCCACUAAAACUCUUGCUUUCUUGUUUUAUUUCUUGGUUUUGAAGCUUGUAGCUUCCUUAUUGUUGUUGUUGCUUGGAUUUGGUUGGUUGAAGUGGGCUCUAUGAACUCCCACCUUAGUUAUAUAAGGGUUCCAUGAUGUUUAUGUGUGUGUUUGUGUGUUUGUGAUGAGUUUUACUAGAAGAAACUAGAAGAGGAAAAAGAAAGAGAGAAAACGUGAGAAGAAGUAAGUUGGCCGAAUUGUCCUGUUGUUAUCUUGAUUGUAUUUCGAAAUUUUGUUGGUUGUUUUACUUGAAACUGAUAUAAAUAUGUGGUACAUUAUAUGUGCAAAAUGCCUUCCGAAAAUCAUGUUAUUUGGUUGAUCAAAACUAGAAUUUUCGAAACUGCAAGAAAUCUGGAAAUGGUCAUCCGAAGGCCUGAACAGUGUAUCCUUGAUUGAACAUAACUCUUUGUACAAAAGUCAAAAUUGAGUGCCAUUUCUGCAUUUGAAACUAGACAUUCUUAGCUUUAAAAUGGUAUAAAAAUCACAAUCUAGUUUGUUUGUGUGAACUGCAGUAAACUGAUAAAUCGGCUGUUCUGUUCAGCCUAUAACUUGUGGCUUGAAUUUGAACUAUUGUUAACUGAUUUUGGAAAUGAUUUCUUCUACUGAAAUGUAGCUUUCAGAACCUAGUUUCCAAUGCCACCAACCAUUCUUUAUUUGAGUUUGUAUAGAGUGAGAUAUGGCCUGAUUUAAAUUGCAGCAAAACUGGAAACUGGAAAGUUUCUUCCCUCUUGCUGGUCGAAUGGUCAAAAUUGUUUUGGAAUUCGAAACUUGAUGUCAAUUAUCUCUAAAUUGCUCAUUGGAUGUUUAUGGAACCUUAGAUUCAAUAUUUGAGCUAAUUGAGGUUGAUUGUGUGGGACAAAACAUUUGAAAAGGAAGAGAACCACGGACGGCAGAUUUGCUUUGAAAUUUUCCCGAACUUUGACUAUUUUGUUAACUGUCUUCUCACAUGAGUUUUUGCAUGAAAUUUGGUAGAGAUAUAGUUCACAUAUGGAAGAUUUAGCAUACCAAAUUUGGUGUAUUUUCAAUUCCAUUUCAAUGGCUAAAUGAUACUUCAAAAUAGCUUUUCAAAUCUAGAAAAUGACUAACAGUUUGCAAAACGCGACCAACUUUGAACUGAUGUAUCUCGAUACUCAAAAUUCCAAUUUAGUUCAGUUUGUUGUGUUUGAAACCUUGUUUAGAACUCUUGUGGUAUUAUGAAUUUCAAAGGCUGAUUCACUUUCUGUGAAUUAUGCCGAAUUUCCAAUGUUUGCUGAAAAACCAAGACUGUUCAAACCUGUCUUCUUGGAACUGAAAUUUUGAGCUGAAUUAUGAAUGCUUUCUAUUUGGAAUCGUGGAAAAGUCUUCUGAGAACUUUUAGUACACUGAAUUUAGUUUCCAAAGGUAUAAAGUUUUCCAUUUUUGGACUUACGAAACUCAAGAUACGAUUUUUCAAAGUAAUGUCACUCUAAACUGAAAAAUUUCUGUUUCAACCAAAUUAUUCGUUUAAGAACUUUCUACCUUCCUUCGUGAUUGUUGGACUGUUUUAAAUUUGAUUUCAUGAUUUAAUACAAGGUAUCUUUGGAAUUUUUAACUUUUAUUUCAAAUCUUGGUCUCCGAGGGUUAAAUCUCUCUUGAUGCAAUUACUUGGUCAUAUAACUCUCUUGAUUAAUGGUACUUCUCUUCGUACUUAAAUUAGGAACUUCAACCCCUAUUCUUAUGGCCUUGAUAAUUGUACUAGAGUUCACAAUUAUACAAGUAUUUUAAAAGAAUGAUUUGAAAGGUUUCUUGUGAACUUAAUUAGUAAUGCCCGGAAUACUUUGGCCAAGCUUUCAAGUAAAUAUAUCCAUCUUUCUCGAUUUUCGUGCAAAACUUAGAGAUCUGUUUAAUCUUCAACUUGGAGAAUCCUGGACAUGACUUGAUUUGGAUUAAUAUAUUAUUGGCUAUUUUCAAAUGCUACCCUCGUGGAUUAAGUUAUUAAGUGAUAUUUGCAUUCGAUUUGAACGCGUUAUCUCUUAAGUGAGAGUAGUGGGAAUACUACUCGACCUUGGUUGAAUACCUAGGUGAAUUGUAAUUGUACAUGUCAGGUGAUCAAGAGAAUCCCGAGAAACUCGUUUGAUCUUGCCUCACUUUUGUUUUACACUCUUGAUUUCGGUGAGUGUUCCUUAUGUAUUUAAAUGUUAAGUGGUACCUAUAAUUGCUACUAUGAAAUUGUCCGCCGUUUUAAGGUGAGUGUGUACUUUAUCUCACUCGACCUACUAAAAUGAUAAAUUUUUACCGUUUAACCGUAAAUUUCUACCGUUAACUGUGAACUACUACCGUUUACCGAUUUACUUGAUUACUUGCGCAUGUUAUAAGUACUAAGUUGAACUGGAUCCUACUCUUGGUUACUAACUUGCUCGAGCCAGGACUGGACUCGGUCGAGUAGGUUGGAACCCUGAGCAACCAUUUCGGUAUACUCCAGUGUUACCACUGGAGGGACAAGGUGAUAGCCAAACAACCGCAGAAAUUAUUGGAGUUAUAAUGUGCAACUGACUAAAACAGUUCCACGUGAACACCGAAUCCUUUUACUGUGUUUGUUUCUGUAAAAUGAUAAAUGUCUCAUUUUAAUGUGCCAAUGUGAAAUCUUGAACCGUACAUGUGUUAUGCUCGAUUUACUUGAUUUAUUAGAAUUGCUUAGGUUUUGGAACCUUACUGGGCUGUUUAACUCAUUCCACGCUUUUGUUUUCCUUAACAGUGUUCAAGACCGAGAGUACUCGCGAAUAGUACUAAAUUGUUUUCCUUUGGAGACUCUAAGUUGUAUUAUAGCAGACGACUGUAGUACAUAUUCUUUUGAGUUGUAUUAAGUUUGAAGGUUAACUAAUUCUAUUUUGGAGUUCUUUCAAUGUAUAUUGAAAAUAUUUGAAAUAUUUCUAGUUUUGAAUUAUGGAUUGCAGUGAGCCCCGGCGAGAGUUAGGCAGGCGUUCGCGGAUACCCUUGGGUUCGCCUUGGAGAAGUGGGGGCGUCACAGGUGGUAUCAGAACCACUUCGCGUGGUCUCUGCACGGGGUGAGUGUGGGCCAAGUGGUGUUAUGGUCCUUAUUAUGUGAAUGAGUAAAGACUUAAGUACUCUUCUAGAACUUAAACUGUGAAUCAUGAAUGUGAUAGGUAUAAACCCUUUAUUUUGAUCCUUGGAGAAAAUUAGAUAUGUAUGUUGGGUAGGAAUCUCAAAUGUGGUGAUUUACUCUUGGAACCGGCUGGCUCGAGUUGAAUUAUCUUAUUUCGAAUUCUUGUAUCCGAGUACUUAAGAAUUGAGGGCAAUACUAAGAACUUGAGAUCUCCAUUUGCGGGAAAUAAGAACGAAUCGAUAUUUCACGUGAAUAGUUACAGGAAACCAAUAAUCGUUUGGUUAGGAUGACACAAUAAUUAAGAGAGAGAGGUGGAGAAGAUUGUGGCCCAGAGAAUCCUAGUGUGGGAAUGAAGUUGACUAUGUUAGGGAACGGGAAUCAUCUAGUUCUAAUUAAUCUAGUGAAGCACUAUUUUUUUGAUCUUUUGUAAUGGAACGAUGGGAAUAGCACUUACGAACUUGCGUCUUGGAGAUGUAUGUACUUUUGUUAGUCACCUGUUUACUUUUGUUUACUGACCUUGACUUGAUAUAUACUUUACUUGACUGUAACUUGUGUUAUGAUCUGAUGAACUUUAGUUUGUGUUUGACUUGUACGGUGAUAAUAUUAUUUGUGCAAGUGAUUUCAUUUUCUUUAGAAUUGUUGCCGGUAUGUGUGUGCAGUCUAGUUAUGGUUUAUUGUGAGAUUUAUGUAUGUGCAUCUAUAUUAGCUGUGAACAUGGAAACUAGAGGACAGCGACAGGGACGUCCCAAAAAAACUUGACGGGUAUUUUACAUACGUGCAAGCUAAAAAAUACCGAAUUACACCCGUUCACUGCAAGUAUACAGAUCAACUAGUAGUUUAGGGUAUAUAUCGGGUCGAUCCCACAAGGAAGAGUGAACAAUUACCGGUAUUACUAAAGCUUCUCUAUUAUUUAGACUAUCAAUGAAUGAUAAGAAAUUUAACCUACUGCACUUAUACAAGAAAUUAACAAAUAAAAGCUCCUUAGGUUGUGGUAUCCCUAACUACUCAUGCAAGUGUUAUAUUUGGAUCAUUGAAUACUACAUCUAGGCUAAUUAUGGUGUAAUUUCCUUAUGCAUUUGAAUCCUACUUUCGUAGUGAAUCAAUUAUACUUAUAACUAAUCCAUACCUAUUCUCAUGGUUAUGAAAUUAGCUACAAGUUCAUUUCUUCAGUGAAAUUACAUGAAAUGAAUCACUAAAAACCACAUAGGUGCACCUCUACUUUCGUGAGUGUACUCCCUAUGUUUAGCACUUCUUGAACUAAUGUUAAAUCUCAAUUUUCAUUGCAGAAAUAACACCUUAGAUAAUCAAUUAAUGGUACCAGAUUAAUCAUGAUUUAAGAGCCAAAGUGCUAAAUAACUUGCUCAAAUACAGCAAUCAAAUAGCCAAAUAAUAAACACUAACAAUCAUAGAAGUUCAACCAAACCCAAGGUAUAAACUUUAAAACACAUAUUAAAUAUAAAAUCCAGAACUUGUAUAUUAGCUAAACUUGGAAUCAAAUACAAAAGAUAAAGAGUUGGAAAGGAAAAUAACCCUUGUCACAUGAGCUCUUCCUUGCCUUCUUCAUCUCCAUUCUUCAUCUUCUAGCUAAUAACAAGAAGGAUGAACUAACUACUCUAUACUAAACUAAUCUAACAAUAAGAGAAUGGAAAAACUACAUUUUUGCACUCCAAGCUUCUCCCGUAUGCUCUGCAUGUCCUGGUUGCUCCCUAUAUAAACUGCUCCAAAAGCUCCUUUUCCAUUGGUCCAAACUUGCUGCAUUUGAUUUCCAAAUCUGAAAUUGUUAAGAUAGUCAAUAGCCAUUGUUUUUGACUUGAAAAUAUGCCAACUUUCUUGCCCUUUUGUCUUCUAAAGCAUGUGCACCGAAUUCUCUUGCAGAUUGUAGCUGGAAAGUAGUCAGAACACAAGAGAAUUGACUGAGCAAAAUUGCAGAAUUGCGGCCGGAAAACGCGCCUACACAAAACGCGGUUACAAGUCACGUUUUGUGUACUCGCGUAUUCACUUUGUCCUUACUUCAGCUGCGAUUUUCUCUAUCAUAAAGGCUGAACUGGAUUUUUUGUAAAACACCAAAGUUGUAGCCCUUUGAGUUAGCUUUCCAAUGCUUCAAGAAUCAUCCAAAUCUGAGCUUUGUAGCCUGAGAUAUGAUCGAAAUACUAAACACUGGUCAGAGCUCUGUUUUCCACUUUGGACAGCUGAGUUGAAUUUCGGUAUUUCAACUUUUGGACUAUGAAAACGGCUGAACUGGACUUUGAUGUCUUCAUACCAAAUGUAGAUAUAUCUCUUAGCUUCAAAAUGGUACCAAGAUCACCUUGAUCCGAUCUGUGUAGCUCCAGAUAUAGUCAAAAUACCAAAACGUGUCAGAGUUGUCAAAACCUGACUUUUCUUGAUUCAAAUUGCAUUUUUCCUUUUUACACUUCAUAUUUUAUUUUCACCACUUUAAUCCAUCUUCAAUCAUCCAAAUAUCUUCUCAAUGCACUUCAUUUGAUGAUUGAAUCAUUAAACCUACAAAAUAUGAAGUUUUUACCAUAAAAAUCCAUAAAAUGCAAUGUUUAGCCAUUUUAACAUAAAAUGUAGUUUUUUACCAAAACCUUAGUUAUUUUAGUUAUUAAACUAAAUAAUCAAACCAAAAUUAACUAAUAAAACACACAAAAAUAUACGUAAAAUAAACUCUUAUCAAAUACCCCCACACUUGAACCAUUGCUUGUCCUCAAGCAAUAAAAAUACAAACCAACAAUGAUCCAAAAUUUGAAAAUAAACAUAUGUAGCAUUUCAACUUCAUUUCCUCAAAACAAAGUAAAUAACCAUUAUGCAAUUAUUCAAUUAAGUUCAAGUACUCAUAAUAUCAAGUAAAGGAGAGCCAAUUAUACCGUAUUAUAACAAAUUUAAUCAAUUUUCAUCCUUACCAAUUUCAUACGCAAGUAACUCAUAUGGUCAAUAAUAUGCUUCCUAAACUCAUGAUCAUCUUUUAUUCUUUAAAAGAUAUUUAUUAUAUACAUAGCUAAAUAUUACUUAAGACGUGAGAAUGCUUUUGACGCGAGAUCGACAUUUUUAGAUGAAGAUCACCGGUUACUCAACACUUCACAUACUCAAGUUGCUUUGCAUACUCUUAAUUCAAGUACCGUUUUACGCGAAAGUCGACAUUUGUAGAUGAAGACUCCCGGUUACUAAGUACAAGAAUCAUUGGAGUAGAAGAAUUUUUUUAUUUUCUUUUCUUUUUUUUUUUUUUUUUUUUCAUUUUUUUUUUUUACAGCAAAGAUAAUAAUAAUUCCUCAAAAGAAUAAUCAUGAGAAGAGUAUUGCACUUAUUGACCAUAUUUAUCACUUAACUUAUAAAAUCCAAUAAAGAGAAGAAAUUUCAUCAAAUAUGCAAAAAAAAUAUAGGUAUAAUUUUCUCCACUUUAAAAGAUAUACUUUCCUACAAAUGCAAAAAUUAUAAUCACAUAAUAGUCAUUUCCAAGUUAAAUGAGAAAAGAAGUUUCCAAAUCACAUAUAUUUAUCUCAAAUGUAGAGGAAUUUGAACUACUAAUGGUAUGGAACUUGUUACCCCUUGGAUAAAAUCGAAAAAAUAUGAAACUUUUUGGGGCAAGUUUGCAAUUUUGGACAAGAUUUUAGAAAAAUUUUGAAUUUUAACACAAGUCCAAUAUUUGCAACUAAUAAUUCAAUCACAUACAAUGUAUAUAAUCUCAAUUCUCCCCCCACACUUAACAUACACAUUGUCCUCAAUGUGUAAAAAGGAAAAUCAAGAUAAAAAAAUAAUAAUCCCCUAUUGUUGUGAUUGAAUAUGAAGCUUCAAAAUCCAUUGUCCUUGUCUUCAUCGCUUCAUGAGUUCCAUUGGAUAACCAUUAGUGAUAUAACCUAAAAAUGAAAAUGAGAAACAAAAGUGAUAACAAAGGCUUAAUAAACAAAACGGCGAUCCGUAAUUUCAACCUUUGUUUUGGUGAUGUACCUAUAAAAAUACACAAUAAGCAACUCAAGGUACAAGAAAAUAUAUGAGGAAAAGAAAAAAAGAAUCAAGGAAUCUGCAUUUUUUUUUUUUGCUCCGAAAACGCGACUCAUCAAAACGCGCCACAAGCCGCGUUUUGUGAAGUCGCGUUUCUUCACAUAUCUUGCAGGAUCGAAAACGCGACUGUGUUAAAAACGCGACUUUAGUCGCGUAUUUGAAGGCGCGUUUUUUUUUGAACAGGCUGGAAAACGCGACUUGGUAGAAAACGCGACUUCCUGUCGCGUUUUGAAGGCGCGUUUUCUUCAGUAUAGGCGCAGAAUUGAAAACGCGAUUAUGGAAAACGCGAUUCUAAGGCGCGUUUUCAGCCCAAGUGCGUUUUCUUCUGCGAAAUUUUUGCAGAAAGCCAAUUUUGAAAAAUUACCAUUUGUACCCCAAUCAAAAAUGCAUCAUAGAUCAUUUGUUUGCUAAAAUUCUCAAUGCAUGCACAUGUAAAAUGAUCAAAAUAUGCAUUUUAACCCUUCUAACAAAUCAAAAACAACAAUUACUCAAAUUGAGGGGUUGAGUUCCUUGAUCAAAUUUCGCCUUUUUCACCUCAUUUGGUCACUUUUGCUUCCAUUUCCAAUACCUACAAAUGAAAAAUAACAAAAUAACUCAAACACAUACUUUAAACAUAAAAUCACCAAAAUAACAUAAAUAACAAACAUUGGGUUGCCUCCCAAUAAGCGCUUCUUUAUAGUCAAUUGCUUGACUAUUGACCUCAUUUUUCAAGGAGGCUUAGUUAACGAAUAAUCCACCAUUUUUGGUCGUGGUGGAUCAUUAAAUGGUGACUUUAUAGCAAAAGUCACAUGAUCUAAUGAUAGGAGAAAUGGAAUUGACUUACCUAUCCCAAGUGUUUCAUAAAUAUUACCUUGAAUAUGCACCACUUGAGAACUUACCAACGGAAUGCAUGAGAGUAUCUUGGGCAGCAAUACCCUUAGAACCUAUACUUUCAAUGCACUCCUCAAGAGGGGUGAAAAAUGAGUCAUUAAAACUCACCUCUUGAGGCUCAAAGUUAGUUCCAAAGAUAUUAUCAUGUGAAAUGGAUAUUUGCUCAUUGAAACACAAUUGAGAUUCAUCAUUUUCAUCAAAUGCAAUCCAUUUUCACAUACAACAUUCCUACCAUUCAUGCUAGGAUCAUUUUGCAAUUUAUUAGAAGAAAUAACUUCACACAAUGCAUUCAAUUGCUCAUUUAUUCUGCCAAAGUGAGAAGUUUCAUCUAUUCUUUCCUCAAUCCUAUCAAAACGGUCAGAAGUCAUUAGCUAAUUUUUCUAAAGCUAACUCCCAAGAUGGCUUAGAAUCAUUAGCUACUUUCAUUGCCAACUCCCAAGAUGGUUUUGAUUCAUAUUGGACACAUUCAGGUUGGUAAUCAAAAAUAUGAAGAAUUACUAUAAGUACAUUGAUUAUCCCAACCAUAAGCAAGGAGUUGCCAAUUAGCACUAUAUUGAUCAAAACAAGGAUUGUAAUGCUCUAAUUCAUCAUAAUAAUCCACAUUUUGUGCUUGCAUACAUGUAUUAGUUGCAUGAUAACCUCCACACAAGUCACAAAUCACAUGAUAAGAAUUAAAAGUAUUAACAUUCCUCCCUUGCUCAAUUUCAUGCAUAAUUGUGUCCAUCAUAACAUCAAAUUUUGCCUUUAAGCACCUUAAACCAUCUUCAAAAGACAUACCUUCAGUAAUUUCUUGGUUACCUCUGUUGAAGGAGCUUUGCACUAGGUAACCAUCCAUUGCCAAUCUUUCAUUUCUCAAGCUUUGUCCUCCAAAUUGAUCUAUCCUCCUCAUCACCUAAAAUUGCUUUUAAACAACUUAAGAGCAAAAUUAGUAAGAAGAAUAGGUGAUAAAAUGCAUACACACAGAAAAUACUAAAACAGAAAAUAACAUUCACACAAUAACUAAUAAAAUGUCUAAACUAAUAAAGUUACUCUUCACACCGAUAUUGCCAAAUCUUCCCCGGCAACGGCGCCAAAAACUUGACGGGUAUUUUACAUACGUGCAAGCUAAAAAAUACCGAAUUACACCCGUUCACUGCAAGUAUACAGAUCAACUAGUAGUUUAGGGUAUAUAUCGGGUCGAUCCCACAAGGAAGAGUGAACAAUUACCGGUAUUACUAAAGCUUCUCUAUUAUUUAGACUAUCAAUGAAUAAGAAAUUUAACCUACUGCACUUAUACAAGAAAUUAACAAAUAAAAGCUCCUUAGGUUGUGGUAUCCCUAACUACUCAUGCAAGUGUUAUAUUUGGAUCAUUGAAUACUACAUCUAGGCUAAUUAUGGUGUAAUUUCCUUAUGCAUUUGAAUCCUACUUUCGUAGUGAAUCAAUUAUACUUAUAACUAAUCCAUACCUAUUCUCAUGGUUAUGAAAUUAGCUACAAGUUCAUUUCUUCAGUGAAAUUACAUGAAAUGAAUCACUAAAAACCACAUAGGUGCACCUCUACUUUCGUGAGUGUACUCCCUAUGUUUAGCACUUCUUGAACUAAUGUUAAAUCUCAAUUUUCAUUGCAGAAAUAACACCUUAGAUAAUCAGAAUUAAUGGUACCAGAUUAAUCAUGAUUUAAAGAGCAAAGUGCUAAAUAACUUGCUCAAAUACUAGCAAUCAAAUAGCCAAAUAAUAAACACUAACAAUCAUAGAAGUUCAACCAAACCCAAGGUAUAAACUUUAAAAACACAUAUUAAAUAUAAAAUCCAGAACUUGUAUAUUAGCUAAACUUGGAAUCAAAUACAAAAGAUAAAGAGUUGGAAAGGAAUAACCCUGUCACUGAGCUUUCCUUGCCUUCUUCAUCUCCAUUCUUCAUCUAAUCUAGCUAAUAAACAAGAAUGGAUGAACUACUACUAUACUAACUAAUCUAAACUAAGAGAAUGGAAAAACUACAUUUCUGCACUUCCAAGCUUCUCCCGUAUGCUCUGCAUGUCCUGGUUGCUCCCUAUAUAAACUGCUCCAAAAGCUCCUUUUCCAUUGGUCCAAACUUGCUGCAUUUGAUUUCCAAAUCUGAAAUUGUUAAGAUAGUCAAUAGCCAUUGUUUUUGACUUGAAAAUAUGCCAACUUUCUUGCCCUUUUGUCUUCUAAAGCAUGUGCACCGAAUUCUCUUGCAGAUUGUAGCUGGAAAGUAGUCAGAACACAAGAGAAUUGACUGAGCAAAAUUGCAGAAUUGCGGCCGGAAAACGCGCCUACACAAAACGCGGUUACAAGUCACGUUUUGUGUACUCGCGUAUUCACUUUGUCCUUACUUCAGCUGCGAUUUUCUCUAUCAUAAAGGCUGAACUGGAUUUUUUGUAAAACACCAAAGUUGUAGCCCUUUGAGUUAGCUUUCCAAUGCUUCAAGAAUCAUCCAAAUCUGAGCUUUGUAGCCUGAGAUAUGAUCGAAAUACUAAACACUGGUCAGAGCUCUGUUUUCCACUUUGGACAGCUGAGUUGAAUUUCGGUAUUUCAACUUUUGGACUAUGAAAACGGCUGAACUGGACUUUGAUGUCUUCAUACCAAAUGUAGAUAUAUCUCUUAGCUUCAAAAUGGUACCAAGAUCACCUUGAUCCGAUCUGUGUAGCUCCAGAUAUAGUCAAAAUACCAAAACGUGUCAGAGUUGUCAAAACCUGACUUUUCUUGAUUCAAAUUGCAUUUUUCCUUUUUACACUUCAUAUUUUAUUUUCACCACUUUAAUCCAUCUUCAAUCAUCCAAAUAUCUUCUCAAUGCACUUCAUUUGAUGAUUGAAUCAUUAAACCUACAAAAUAUGAAGUUUUUACCAUAAAAAUCCAUAAAAUGCAAUGUUUAGCCAUUUUAACAUAAAAUGUAGUUUUUUACCAAAACCUUAGUUAUUUUAGUUAUUAAACUAAAUAAUCAAACCAAAAUUAACUAAUAAAACACACUAAAAAUACGUAAAAUAAACUCUUAUCAGACGUCAACCCAGACAAUCCCGAAAUCAAAGAGUAGAUAAUGAUUUUGCUAUUGAUCAAACAUCGAACCAAGGGUUGGGGGAAGAGAUGACUAAAUGGAUUGGUUUUAACGCGUAUGACAGAUGUACUAGAGCUCUUAGUAGUUCAACAGGGCCAGGAGGUUGGACAAAGAAACCAACGUGAAAACCAUGAGAUAGGGGAGGAUCGAGUUUUGGAGCGGUUUCAGAAAUUCUUCCCACCUAAAUUUUCUAGAGGACCUGGCCCAGAAGUGGCUGAAAAUUGGUUAGAAAAUAUAAAGAAUAUAUUCGAUGCCUUGAACUACACAGAAAAAAGAUAAGUCACUUUGUUGUAUUUCAAUUGAAGGAGCAGCACGACCCUGGUGGAAUGUUGUAAGAAACAAGUGGGAAAAAGAUCAAACUCCAAGAAUUUGGAUAAACUUUUGUACGAGAAUUUAAUAAGAAGUUUCUUCCUCCACUAGUCUAAGAAAAAAGAGAAGACGAUUUUAUAAAACUUCGUCAAGGAACUUUGAGUGUGACUAAGUAUGAAACACAAUUCACGAAAUUAUCUAAAUAUGCUCCAGAAUUGGUGGUUACGGAACGAAAGAGAAUAAGACGGUUUAUCCAAGAAUUAAAUUUAGAAAUCGAAGUUGCCCUUGCCGCAGCACAGAUUGAAACAUUUAGCGAUGCUCUUGAGAAAGUACAAAGGGUGGAGAGCAUAAAAUCCCAACUAAGAACCUUUCAAGCAAGGAAAAAAGAUGUAUCCGAUAGUAGUCACUACUUUGAGGUGCCAAGAGAAAGUGGACCGCUACCUAAAGUUAGAAAAGGAAUGGAUGGAGUAAGACUACACGUCCUUCACCACCCAUGAUAAAGAAACCAGAAGAAACUAGGUCACGAGGACCUCCAGUAGGACAGAUACAAUUAAGGGAAACUUCGCAGACAAGUCAAGUCACAACUCCUCGUCUGACCUGUGGAUAUUGUGGAAGGACGAAUCAUACCGAAGAAAACUGCUGGGUGAAGGGGCAAAAGUAUAUGGGAUAUGGGAGUACCAACCAUAAAGUUCACGACUGCCCAAAGGUAUCCACGAGAAACUACUAUUCAACAAAGAAGACAAGCCCAUGGAGGAGGAAACCGACCAAUGGCACCUGCAAGAACACCUGCAAUGAUCACAUAACAAGUAGUGCAUGAUUUAUAGUCAAUUUUAUAAUUAUUUGCCCUAAUUAUAUUUAAUUACCCUAGUAGUGCAUGAAUUUUUCUUAAAUUUUGAUUUUUGGCUCGCGCGUCGUAAGUCGUGUAUUUCGCGUCGGAACGAAUAAGUGAAAAUUUAAGAAAUUUAUAUUAGACUAGUAAGAGUGAAUAAUUACCAUAUUAAAGGAAGUAUCUUGGAGAAUUAGUACAUGAGUAUAUCAAAACCGAGAGAAAGUGGUAGUACAAAACCCCAUUUGGGCACUAUUAAGAGUUGACUUUUUGCCCAACACUUAUGGCUAUUAUUUCAUUCUUUCUCUCCAAGUUUCAUCACACAAACAAACCCUCAUCUCUCUCUCCUCACUCCCUCAUUUUCGGCCAGACCAAGGAGAAAGAAAAGGAACAAGAGAAAACUUCAACUUUUGCUCUUCAAUCUUGCUUGAAAUUCAUCAUCCAACCAUCAAACUCCUUGGGUUCUUGCUCUAGCUUGAAAGGAAAAGAGGGGCGGCUGGUUGGGGGCUAUUUUAAGGAGUUUUUUACACCAAAAAUAUAGGGUUUCUUCUUGAGUUUUGAAGGUAUAAAUAUCUCCCACUAAAACUCUUGCUUUCUUGUUUUGUUUCUUGGUUUUGAAGCUUGUAGCUUCCUUGUUGUUGUUGUUGCUUGGAUUUCAUUGGUUGAAGUGGGCUCUAUGAACUCCCACAUUGGUUAUAUAAGGGCUGUCAUGAUGUUUAUAUGUGUGUUAGUGUGUUUGUGAUGAGUUUUACUAGAAGAAACUAGAAGAGGAAAAAGAAAUAGAGAAAAUCGUGAGAGGAAGUAAGCUGGCCGAAUCUGUCCUGUUGUUAUCUUGAUUGUAUUUCAAAAUUUUGUUGGUUGUUUGACUGUGAAACUGAUGUAAAUAUGUGGCAUAUUGUAUGUGCCAAAUGCUUCCGAAAAUCAUGUCAUUUGGUUGAUCAAAACUAGAAUUUUCGAAACUGCAAGAAAUCUAGAAAUGGUCAUUUGAAGGCCUGAACAGUGUGUCUUUAAUUGAACAUAACUCUUUGUACAAAAUUCAAAAUCGAAUGUCGUUUGUGGCAUUUGAAACUAGACAUUCUUAGCUUUAAAACGGUAUAAAAAUCACAGUCUAGUUCAUUUUGUGUGAACUGUAGUGACUGAUAAAGUCGGCUGCUCUGUUCAGCCUGUUCAUUCGAAUGGAAAUGAGAAGCUGUAACUUGUGGCUUGAAUUUGAACUACUUGUAAACUGAUUUUGAAAAUGAUUUCUUCUGAUGAAAUGUAGCUUUUAGAACAUAGUUUCCAACACCGCCAACCAUUCUUUAUUUGAGUUUGUGUAGAGUGAGAUAUGGCCUGAUUUUAAAAUUGCAGCAAAAUUGAAAACUGGAAAGUUUCUUCCUCUUGCUGGCAGAAUGGUCAAACUUGUUUUGGAAUAUUUUGUUUCGAAAACUUUGAUGUCAAUUACCUCUAAAUUGCUCAUUGGAUGUUUAUGGAACCUUAGAUUCAACAUUUGAGCUAAUUGAGGUUGAUCGUGUGGGACAAAACUUUUGAAAAGGAAGAGAACCACGGACGGCAGAUUUGCUUUGAAAUUUUCCCGAACUUUGAUGAUUUUGUUAACUAUCUUUCCACAUGAGUUUUUGCAUGAAAUUUGUUAGAGAUAUAUUUCACAUAUGGAAGAUUUGGUGUACCAAAUUUGGUAUAUUUUCAAUGCCAUUUCGAUGGCUAAAUAAUACUUCAAAAAUAGCUUUUCAAUCUGGAAAAUGACUGAACAGUUUGCAAAACGCGACCAAUUUUGAACUGAUGUAUCUCGAUACUCAAAAUUCCGAAUUUAGUUCAGUUUAUUGUGUUUGAAACCUUGUUUAUAACUCUUGUUGUACUAUAAAUUUCAAAGGUUGAUUCAUUUUCUGUGAAUUAUGCCAAAUUUCCAAUGUUUGCUGAAAAACCAAGACUGGUUCAAACCUGUCUUCUUGGAACUGAAACUUUGAGCUGAAUUAUGAAUACAUUCUAGUUGGAAUCAUGGAAAAGUGUCUUCUGGAACUUUUAGUACACUGAAUUUAGUUUCCAAAGGUAUAAAUAGUUCCAUUUUUGGACUUGCGAAACUCAAGAUACGAUUUUUCAAAAUAAUGUCACUCUAAACUGAAAAAUUUAUGUUUCAACCAAAUUACUCAUUUAAGAACUUUCUACCUUCCUUCGUGAUUGUCGGACUGUUUUAAGUUUGAUUUCAUGAUUUAAUACAAGGUAUCUUUGGAAUUUUGAACUUUCAUUUCAAAUCUUGGUCUCCAAAGAUUAAAUCUCUCUUGAUGCAAUUACUUGGUCAUAUAACUCUCUUGAUUAAUGGUACUUCUCUUCGUAUUUAAAUUAGGAACUUCAACCCCUAUUCUUAUGGCCUUGAUAAUUGUACUAGAGUUCACAAUUAUACAAGUAUUUAAAAAGAAUGAUUUGAAAGGUUUCUUGUGAACUUAAUUAGUAAUGCCCGGAAUGCUUUGGCCAAGCUUCCAAGUAAAUAUAUCCAUCUUUCUCGAUUUUGUGUCAAAACUUAGAGAUCUGUUUAAUCUUCAACUUGGAGAAUCCUGGACAUGACUUAUCUUGGAUUAAUGUAUUCUUGGUUAUUUUCAAAUGCUACCCUCGUGGAUUAAGUUAAUAAGUGAUAUUUGCAUUCGAUUUGAACGCGUUAUCUAUUAAGUAAGAGUAGUGGGAAUACUACAAGACCUUGGCUGAAUACCUAGGUGAAUUGUAAUUGUACAUGUUUCAGGUGAUCAAGAGGAUCCCGAGGAACUCGUUUGAUCUUGCCUCACUCUUGUUUUACACUCUUGAUUUCGGUAAGUGUUUCUUAUGUGUUUAAGUGUUAAGUGUUACCUAUAAUUGCUACUAUGAAAUUGUCCAUCAUUUUUAAGCGAGUGUGUACUUUAUCUCACUCGACCUACUAAAAUGAUAAAUUUCUACCGUUUAACCGUAAAUUUUUACCGUUAACCGUGAACUACUACCGUUUACCGAUUUACUUGAUUACUUACGCAUGUUGUAAGCUCUAAGAUGAACUGGAUCCUGCCCUUGAUUACUAACCUGCUCGAGCCAGGAUUGGGCUCGGUUACGUAGGUUGGAAUCUUGGGCCACCGUUUCGGUAUACUCGAGUAUUACCACUGGAGGGAUAAGGUGAUGGCCAGACAACCGGGGAAAUUAUUGGGUUAUAAGGUGCAACUGACCGAAUAGUUCCACUUGAACACCGUAUCCUUUUACUGUGUUUAUUUCUGUAAAAUGAUAAAUGUCUCAUUUUAAUGUGCCAAUUUGAAAUCUUGAACCGUACAUAUGUUAUACUCGAUUUACUUGAUUUAUUAGAACUGCUUAGGUUUUGGAAUCUCACUGGAUUGUUUAGCUCAUUCCACGCUUUUGUUUUCCUUAACAGGGUUCAAGACGAGAGUACUCGUGAAUAGUACUAAAUUAUUUUCUUUUGGAGACUUUAAGUUGUAUUAUAGUAGACGACUGUAGUACAUAUUCUUUUGAGUUGUAUUAAGCUUGAAGGUUAACUAAUUGUGUUUUGGAGUUCUUUCAAUGUAUAUUGAAAAUAUUUAAAAUAUUUCUAGUUUUGAAUUACGGAUUGUAGUGAGCCUCGGCGAGAGUUGGGCAGGCGUUCCGCGGAUACCCUUAGGUUUGCCCUUGGGAGAAGUGGGGGCGUCACAGGAUCAACCCUUCUCUGUCAUCAUGGGAAAUGAACCUGUGUCACCAAUAAUGCUAUAUGCAAUGGUGUGCACUGGAGGAUUAACCAACACAACUUCCGGUAUAACCUCAAAGUAAUGGAAAUUGGAGGGUGGGACAUAAUCUUGGGAGUGGAUUAGAUGACACAUUUCAGUCCCAUCGCAUUCGAUUUUCAACAACUCAGGAUAUCACUGCACCAUGAGGGAGAUGAAAUUCACCUGCACGGCCAAGCAGACAACUGUGAUAUGGACUUAAUCAGAGGCAAAGACUUAAGGACAUUUUUGAAUACAAGAGACAGAUGUGCAUGGCUAUGAAUUCUCCACAAGAUAAAGAAGGGGAGUUAGAUCCUACACUACAAGAAAUUGAAGAACUGCUACAAGAAUAUAAGGAUGUAUUCCAGACUCCAAAAUCAUUACCUCCAAGUAGAAGUAUAGACCAUGAGAUACCUCUAAAACCAGAGGCUCAACCAUUCAAACUGAAACCUUGUAGGUACCCUCACUGCCAUAAGAAAGAAAUAGAGAGACAGGUAGCUGAAAUGCUGCAGAAGAGCAUUGUUAAGUACAGUAACAGCCCAUUUGCUUCUCCUGUGUUGCUGAUCAAGAAGAAGGAAGGCACCUGGAGGUUUUGUAUGGACUGCAGAAAGCUGAAUGACUAAUGUAGAUGAGCUGCUAGAUGAAUUAUCAGGACCUGUGAUUAAAACCAAGCUAGAUUUGACUGCAGGAUACCAUCAAAUCAGAGUAAAGCCACAGGACACUUUAAAAUAGUCUUCCAGACUCAUUGUGGCCAUUUUGAAUUUCUGGUAAUGCCCUUUGGGCUCACAAAUGCCCCUGUAACUUUUCAAUCCCUGAUGAACCAAGUAUUCCAGCCUUACCUGAGGAAGUUUGUCCUAAUUUUCUUUGAUGACAUACUGGUGUAUAGUCCUACACUGGAAGAUCAUGCUCAACACCUAAGAACUGUACUGGGAAUUCUGAGGGAUCAUCAACUAUAUGUGAAGAUGUUUAAAUGUGCAUUUGCUCAUAAACAAAUAGAUUACCUGGGACACACCAUUACUGACAAGGGGGUCAGCAUGGAUGGCUCUAAGGUUAGUAGUAUCUUACAAUGGCCAGUACCACAAUCUGUUAAGAAGUUGAGAGGGUUUUUGGGACUUACUGACUACUAUAAGAGGUUCAUAAAAUAGUAUGGACUUGUAUGUAAGCCACUUACUGUGUUACUUAGAAAGGAUAAUUUCAAGUGGAACACACAGGCUCAAUCUGCAUUUGAUCUUCUAAAACAGCUCAUGUGCUCAACUCCUGUUCUUAAGCUGCUAGAUUUCAAGAAAGCCUUUGUGGUGGAAACAGAUGCAAGUGGGAGCCAUUGAGGCAGUUUUAAUGCAGGAAGGACACCUUAUAGCCUUUCUGAGCAGGCACUGUCAACAAGGAAUCUAGGCUUAUCAGUAUAUGAAAAAGAACUGCUUGCUCUGGUCAUGGCAGUCAUAAAAUGGAGGCAUUAUUUGGUUGGUAAUCACUUUAUCAUCAGAACUGAUCACCAAGCAUUGAAGUAUUUGCUAGACCAAAAAUUGAACACUGCUCUUCAGCAUAAGUGGAUAACCAAGCUGAUGGGGUUGGACUAUGAGAUACAGUACAAGAAAGGAACUGAGAAUCAAGUGGCAGAUGCAUUGUCAAGAAGCAUGAGAAUGCCUCCAACCUUUCCUUUACUUCUUGUCUAGCCAUUACUGCUGUUAGACAUGGAUGGCUUGAAGAAUUGCAGAAAAGCUAUGAGACUGAUGCAUAGUGCCAAGAGAUCAUAACUCAGCUAGCACUGGAUCCUAGUUCCCAUUCUGACUAUACUUGGAUAGAUGGAGUACUCAGACACCAAGGGAAGAUUUACAUUGAAAUGCUAAUAACAUUAGAAAUUAGAUCAUCCAAGUUCUCCAUGCUUCAACACUAGGAGGACAUUCUGGACAAAGAAACUGUUGGCAGAAAGUUAAGAUUUUUUUUACCGGCCAGGAAUGAAGCAAGAGGUGGUGUCAUUCAUCCAGAAAUGUGACACAUGCCAGAGGAAUAAAUCUGAGCAUGUCCCCUACCCUGGGUUGCUGCAACCAAUCACCAUUCCUAAACAAGCUUGGUCCCAUAUAUCUAUGGACUUCAUUGAGAGACUGCCCAAAUCACAGGGUUAUGAUACUAUAUUGGUAGUCAUUGACAGGUUCACUAAGUUUGGCCACUUUACCAUGCCCACUCAUCCUUUCACAGCUAGGACAGUAGCUCAAGCCUUCCUGGACAACAUAUACAAAAUGCAUGGACUGCCAGAGUCCAUAAUUACUGACAAAGAUAAAAUAUUUACUAGUGGAUUCUGGAGGAGCUGCUCAAGGUGAUUGGGACAGAAUUACAUUACUCAUCUUCUUACCACCUCAAUCUGAUGGACAAAGUGAACGACUCAACUAGUGUGUGGAGAACUAUCUCAGAUGCAUGACUGGGGAAAUGCCUUCUCAGUGGAGCAAAUGGAUGGCACUGGCAGAGUGGUUUUAGAACUCUACCUAUCACUCCAGCAUUAGUAUGACUCCCUUUGAGGCAUUGUUUGGAUAAAAACCAGUACCCUUACCUCUAGGCCCUUAUCUAGACUCAGUAGUUCCUACAGCCUCUAACAUGAUCCAAGAAAGGAACAAGAUUUCCAAUUGCAUUAGGGAUAACUUAGUCAAGGCUCAGCACAGGAUGAAGUAUUUUGCUGAUCAGCAUAAGACGGAGAGGAAAUUUGCUGUGGGGGAUUGGGUGUUUCUGAAGCUGCAGCCAUACAGACAACAGACGGUGGCAGUUAGGAAGUGCCUUAAGCUAUCAACCAAGUAUUUUGGUCCAUUCCAAGUGGAAGAGAAGAUUGGUUCAGUAGCCUACAAGUUGAAGUUACCAGCAGGCACCAAAUCACACCCUGUGUUCCAUGUGUCAUUGCUUAAGAAGAAGUUGGGACCUAUGCAGGGUAGUUCAACCAAGCUGCCACAGUUAGACACUCAAGAUCAAUAUCCUCUGCAACCAGAAAUCAUCUUGAGAAGAAGGGUCAUUAUGCGAGAAGGUCAACCUAUUGUGCAAUAUUUGAUCAAAUGGAACCAACUGGACUAUGAAGAAGCAUCAUGGGAGGAUAAAUCUUUCAUUGAGAAUCAGUUUCCUACGUUCCAGACUUGAGGACAAUUCUGAUUUUAACAGAAGAGAAUUGUUAGGACAAGAAUUAGUUUUAAUAAAUGCCCUAAUUGGGAUUAAUCCAGUAGAGGCCUAAACGAUGUGGUUUUGGGUUAUUGAAUUAAUAGUUAGUUAAGUCGGUUAAAUAGCAAUUGCUGAUUGUGUGGAUUGGUUAUAAAAGUGGGUCCCACCCAUGUGUAAAAACAGAAUUCUGAUAAUAACAUUUCAACUUCAUUUCCCCUCCCUCAAUUCUCUCUCUACUCUCUCUUCUCUGACUCCUCAAUUCUUCUCUCUCAUCCUAUCAAUUCCCAAUUUUCCCUCAUUCAUCAAUUUGAGCUUAGCAAUUGAAUCUGAGUUCCUGACAGACAGGUGUCACCAAUAUCUAACAUGUGUCAACCAAUGGUGACAUGUGUCACACAACAAGACACAUGUCAUGUUUCCCCAUGACAAGUGUCGCAGCAUUACCUUUCCUAAUACCAACUCAUCCCUCUUCCUUGAUAGAUGUUAUCGCCACAUCAACUCAAGUGUUGAUUAAUUUUCUCCAAGGAAACCUAUAAAUAGCCCUCCAUCUCGUUGUAUGUUAAUAUUUUGGGAACACUCACAUAUACUCGUAGGAGAGGGCAAAGAGAGCGACUUAGAAAGGAAAAAAAUUAAGGCAAUGGAUGUUCUACAAGACAAGAAAAGAAAGGCACAGCCUUGAGAUACUGUAGGAAAAAAGAUCAAAGCCAAGCUAAAGUCUAGAAUAUCCAAUUGAGUGCCUUUUUGCAUUCAUGUAGUUAUAAUAUUGUAUUCAUAUAGACGUUAUAAUGCUCAAUUUUUUGUCAUCCUAUGAACGUAUAGUUUUAGUUCUACAUUCCAUGUAUCUGUUAUGCUGGAUCUGGACUAGGUGAAAAUAAUAAUUGAUAUUCUUGUGUUUUUUAAAUCUACUAUAAUACAUACUCUUAUUUUGUUUAAGAGAUAAAUGAUCAUUUAUGAUGAAUAUUCUAUUGUUAUAUUGUAAAUAUGAUCAUUUUACUUGAUUAGUCGCUAUUGUGUCUUGAACCGUUGAGCAACGAGGGCUAUGUUGAAUGUCAUUGCACACACUAAUUUGCAACCCACUAUUUAGACGAGAUUGUCCACGUAUUGAGUUGGAACUGAAACACACUUCUCAUACUGACCUAUUGAUUGAGAAUAGAAGGAUGAACUCAUGAUGGUGGUAUAAGGUAGAACAUGAUCUUGAUCGGCAAUUAGUGCUAUAUACUUAUUAAGUCGUGAUUUAUCCGUUUUCUUACUUGUUAAAUAUUGUUUAUGCUAGAAGUGGUGGUCUAUUUCUUGGCACCAUUACCUUGUGUUACCUUACCCCAAAUAUUAACAAAGUUUUGCAAAUAAUGCCUUAAAACUUGAGAUGUCAUAUGAGUGAUCUAGCAAUUGUCAGAGUGGAAUUUUGAUGGAGCUUACAUGUAUUUUUUAGGAAUGGAGUGAUUUUUGUAUGUUCUGCUGUGUAUUGCACUCUUUUAAAUCCAUCAUAAAAUUGAACAAAAAGAGUUGUGUUUCAAUAAAUAAACUCUUGUAGCAUUUGAAUGAAUCCUGGCUAAAGCUGGACAGUUUACUAUCAAUGAAUCCUUACCACGGAUGGAGCUGCGGUGUGACAACUGACAGGAGGAGGGCAUAGAAAGGAGUACAACUGGAAGAUUGCUGGAACCAAAAAUAUGAUAUGAAGGUGAAAUAGCAAUAUAAUAAAAGGUAGGAUAGAGAAUGGUACAGAAAAUGAGACAGAAAAUCCAUUGCGAAAUAUUGGGUAUCCGGAAAAAUAGUGAAAAAACAUGCAAUACACUGGAUUUUCAAGUGAUGGCUAGAUAGUUUAGUUAAAUAUCCAUCCAUUGUUCAUCUUUCAGAAUUGAUCAUUGUCAAGCAUGGCACUUAAGUUCCGCCUUUCGUGGCUUAUUCUUCUGCAGGUUUUCAGCAGAUUAACUCACGAGUGCAGUGGCCUAAAACUGUCAAAGAGUACAGCCCUUUUGGUUUUUGGUAAUUCAGCUGUUGAUACAGGCAGCAACAACUAUAUACCUACUAUACCCAGAAGCAAAUAUGAUCCUUAUGGCAUUAAUUUCACACGUCACAUUCCUACCGGAAGGUAUUCAGACGAAAAACUCCUUCCUGACAUUUCUUGCCCACACAAGGCCUCAAAGAUGUUAUUCCUCCUUCUCUGCGGAGAAACUUAUCCGAUGAUGAACUGCUUUCGGGUGUCAUCGGCUGCAGCAGGAUUUGAUGAUCAAACUAAGAGUGUUACCAAUGCAAUUCCAACGUCGAAGCAACCCCGAUUUUUAAGGGAUUACUUACCUAAGCUCGAGUGGAUUGUAGGCAAAAAAGUGCUCAAAGAAUUGUUCGGGAAGCUGUAGUGAUCAUCCAUGGUGGAACUGUUGAUUUCCUUUUCAACUUCUACCUUGGCCAUGCUAACAGACAACUUGAGUUCACCUUAAGUGAGUACCAAAACUUUUUGUUAACCAGUCAGCAACAAUUUCUUCAGGUUAGUCAUGCUUCCAAUCUUUUCUACGAUUUGUGCACGCCCAAAAGAAAUGGUUAAAUUACACCAGUAUUCACCAAACUAUUUAAAGCCAUGAAACGCUUUUUUUUUUGUGGAAAUCACCCAUUGAACUCUUAGAUGAUGCACUGGUUAAUCAUUUUACUAAUUUUUUCUCCAUUGUCUCAGACCGACAUACACUAUGCUGUUCUUUGUCUACCUCAGUUCUUUCUUGUAAAGGAGGCAAAAUAAUGGAUUGACCAAAAUCAAACACUUUCAGAAGUUUAAUGGUUGAAUUGAUACACAUGAUACUUCCAUGAAUAUGUGUGUCUAUAUAUAUACUUGAAUCAUUUGAUGACUUUUGGUGCACUUUCCUUAAAGGAAAUACAUUUUGCGUCUGAAAAAUAUUUGGUGAUGCAAACUACUUUUAUCAGUAUCAAACAGUCUACCAUCUGUAGAAUGUUUGCUCCAUAUCCUUUGUCUUAUACUUUUGGUAUAUAAAUUUAUUCCACACAAGCAUAAAUAUAUUGUAAAAUUUGAUGAUACUGAUCAUUUUGUCCAUCAGUAAAUAUUCCACUAUAGUUUAACCUCUGUGGUGAUACAGGAUUUAUACGACCUCGGAUGCGAAAAAAUGGUGGUAGCUGGUUCAAUUGGCUGUUUGCCAUUAACAAUGACUGUUCGUUUUUUUUAGAGGACAUGUAUAGAACAUGUCAACUCAGAUGCUUCACUUUACAAUGAGGAACUGGUAAAGUUGCUGCAACAAGCACAAGCAAAACUUCAACAGAGCGAAAUUCUCUACUUAGAUACCUACAAUCAAUUGAUGGACAUGAUUUUAAAAAAUACCUGAAAGAUAUGGCAAUGGCAUGAACUUAAACUUGCUUAUGUAUGUGUCAUCAAUAACGGGUAACGGAUGCCAAAAUCACAUGAUUUAAUGCACGAUAGGAUUCUCUGAAACUAAUAGGUUCAAUUCGUGAAGUCACUCAGUUGUGUAAUCCCAUCACCCCAGUAUGUAGGACCCAAUCCCAGUACUUAUUCAGGGAUAGCAUGCAUCCAACUGAUGCAGCUUACUGAUACGUAAUUGAUGAUCUACUGAAGAAACUGGCCCCGAUGAAUUGAUUUCCACUGGAAAGUUCAUCUCCAGCAUGGAAAAGAAGAAUCUGUACAUUCCAAAAUAAGAAUCUACUGAAGAGUGAAGAGAAAAGUUUUUAUCAGUGCACGUCAUUUGAAUUUAGCUUGUCUUUGGGGUUGACAAUUUAUUGUAUAGCCUGUAUAAUGCUACCUUAUUUUACAGCUCAUAAGGUGCUUUGUUACCUUAAAUCCCUCAUUAGGAGCCUAAAAGUUUGUUACUAUUCAUUACGUUCAUUUGGAACGAUUAUGCAAGUGGCAGGGUUUGUAUACAAACUUAUUGUUAGACCUAUGCAAAUGCAAACGUGUUGCAUGCAUUGUCCUAUAGAUCAUUGGCAACCAUGGUUCAAAGUCACGGUCGCGGUCGCGGUCGUGGCCCGGAACGUUCGACAUUGGUUUCGGCAUAUCAGUCGCGGUCUCGGUGAGACGCAAAUUUUAAAGUAUUUAAUAUUCUAAAAAUUGUUAAUAAUAUAAAAAAGUAUGCUAAAUAAAAAUAAUUAAAAAAUAGCAAAAGAAACGGCCAAGUCAAUCCGUCGCGGUGUGACUCAGCUGAUUUCUCGUCUUGACUCGAGAUAACUCGGUGUGACUCGGCCGAGUCAAUCCGUCACGGUGACGACUCGGCCGAUUUCUCGGCGAGUCAAGUAUUUCGGUAUCGUUUUGUCACGGUAUCGUAUCGGUAGGGGCCGAGACGGUGACGACUCGGCCGAGACUUCGAACCAUAAUGGCAACAAUAAGAUAUUACUGUUCUUUUCUUAAUCUGAUAAGGUACUCAUGAUAAAUCUUGUAGAACACUCAUGAAGAAUCUUACUCCGUAGUCUGUACUAAGCAUUAAACAAACACGUCAGCAUCAAGUUAUGGAAAAAAUGCAGGUAUCAGUAAACGAAGAAAAGUGAAACAACAGAACCUGCAAUGAUCUUCAGAAGGUGACUUUUCAUUGUCAACAGAAAUGAUAUUGCAAUUCAACAUGAUUUGAUUUAUUUAACCCCCAUUCACAUGGCGAAGGUCUAUGGUGAGAACAAUCAAUUGCAACCUCUCAUGUUUGAUGGUUAUGGUGCCGGGUAACAGGGAGUAGCAACGCAGUGUAGACUGGAGAGGCCACCAUAUAUACUUCUGAUUGAGCUUAAUAGUCAUCUCCCCACUUUACCAAUCCUAAAGAUGAAUAGGGAACUUAGUAACCUUCUGAUUGUUUCCCAUCUUCAAAGCCAAGCAGACGUAAAUUCCUUAAUCACAUUCUCGUUGAGGAGAUCUGUACCUUUCUCCAAUUCCGUUUGAUAAAUAUGCUGAACCCGAUUUUGCAUAAGCAAGAAAAUCAUCCAAACUCAUCAAUUUGUCAGUCAUGAAUCGAAAUGGCCCUGUGUGCUUAGCUCCAUCAACUGGGAAAAAUGGAAAUUCAAUGCUCUCAUACAUGUCUUAUAGACUAUGUUUCUGCUAGGGUGCCAGUAAGGCCAAGAAUCAACAAAGUAAAACUUAUUGAAAACUGCAUCAACUCUAGCAUUCACCUGUAGGGUAGUGUAGCACCAUGCUGCUAUAACUCCCCGUGGCUUUCAGAUCCGAUUGCACUUGCUGGUAAAAGUUGGGCCGAUCAGACCAAUGGAUGGCUUGGCCAAUAGUCACAAGGUCGACGGUGGCUCGUUUGGGGAUAUCCUUUUCCAGCUUUUCAGCAGACGUUGUUGGAGAUGUACACUUGUAUUGCACAUUUGGGAGCCUAGGAACAAAUUCAAGCUGCUUUUGGCUGGUAUCAGUGACGAUCACAUUCUUGUAUAUCUUUGCUAACUGAAACUCAUCAAAUUAUGUUAUAAUCUACUGAUUAACCAGGCUUUCUACUUUCUUGAAAGAAAGCAAAAGCCAUUGGUGUGAAAACAAUUAAUUAUGGAAGAAAAGGCUACUCACAAAUGAUGCGGCCUGUCCAUUACCAAUGCCGGCAUGUCUUGGAUGCAAUAAAGUGAAACAAUUCUUCUGGAUAAUUUGGGCGGGAUAAAGUAAUGCUUUCCCUGUUUAAGGCACAAAUGCGCCAUUUUCUUUUUCUCCUUUCUCUUUUUCAAUUUUCGGUAGUCUCAGACAAACAGAUCUAGAGGCAUACAUCUCUUUUAAUGGGGACUUUCAAAAUCGAUUCACGGAUGCACGGAUGAGAUUGAUUUGGACUGGUUUAAUUCGAGUAUAUUCUGUACAUAUAUCAGCUGGAAGUUGCAAUUAAAUGCUUAAUUUCUGUACAUUUUAGAAAACACCAUGUACAUAUGUUUUACUAAUAAGAGGGACGCAGCAUCAAAAUAUUAACAGCAUGGUGAUUAUAAUCGAGUGUUGACUUGAUGGGGGACAAUAUUAACAUAUUAUUGCUUAGUUGGUUAAAGCAUUAGCCAAAAUGACAUGUUUCUUGAAUAACCACGUUGACCCUGUCCUCCACAUUUCAUGAUUUUCCUCAUUUGAUUUGCUGUCCUAUACAUUUUUAUAAUCAUGUUGACCCUGUCUCAAUUUGCUGUUGUUUUCACCCAUUGAAUAAUGAUGUUGGUCAACUCCUUCAGUUCAUCAAUGACAACAUCCAACAGAGAAAACCAAGUUAAUUGCAAGAACCAAGUAAUUUCAUAAUUUGAUUAAGUAUUUAUGAGUGUAACUUCGUUUUGUGAAAGUUUUAAGUUUCCCUUGGCUUAAUCCCAUUCCUAUAUUUCUUUCUUUAAGUACACAUUUUCAUCGUUAGAGGUUAUUCACUGACGACCAUCAGGUCCGUUGGAUUUCAUUGUUUGAAGAAUUCAUGAAAAAUAUUACUGCAACAGUUAUACAAAAGCGUGGAUACCAGACAAAAAGUGGUUGUAAACUUGUUUUGAGUCUCUUUCAAAUACUAUUUGUAAAAGUGGAAAUCCAGAUGCAGGAAAUUGAAGAGCAGCAGAGAAAGGUUAAAUAUCUAUUGUGCAAUUAGCGAUAAAACCUAACCAUUCCACUGAAGAAAAUGUCUGGUGACAGAGGACAAAAGCUAAAUUUACUGAGGCCUUAACCUUAAUUUCCGCCAGCAAAUGAUAUGGGAUUAAUUAUCUAUUAUGAAGUAUGAACCCAGGAGAAGCCAAAUAAUUUACUUUCCCACUUUGCCAAUCCUGAGAUAAACAGGGAAUUUAACGCUCUUUUGAUUGCUGCCAUCUUCAUUCCAAGCAGACGUAAAUUCCUCAAUCACAUCCUCGCUCAAGAGAUCGAUACCCUUCUCCAGUGCUGUUUGAUAUGCUGAACCUGAUUUUGCAUACCGAAGAUAAUCAUCCAAUCCAUCAAUUUUUGAGUUAUGAAUUCAAAUGGCCCAGUUUGCUCAGCUCCAUCUACUGGCAAAAAUGGAAAUUCCAUGCUUUCAUACUUGUCAAACACCAGAUUUCUUCCAGGGUGCCAAUAAGGCCUGGAAUCAACAAAGUAAAACUGUCUAAACACAGCAUCAACCCUAUCAUUCACCUGUGGGGUAGUGUAGCACCAAGCUGCUAUUACUCCUUGAGGUUUCUUCAGUACCAAUUUCACUUGCUGGAAGAAAGUAGGAAGAUCAAACCAAUGGAUGGCUUGGCCAAUGGUCACCAGGUCCACAGUAUCUGGUUUAGCAACAUCCCUUUCGAGCUCUUCAGCCGACAUGGCUGGAGAUGUAGAACGAUAUCGAACAUUUGGGAGCUUGGGAGCAUAUUGAAGUUGCUUUUGGCUAGUAUCAGUGGCAAUUACAUUCUUGAAUAUCUUUGCUAGCUGAAAUCAUUUAACAUAAAUUAUACAAUGCAUUCGGGCUUUUAAUUGGCCUUUCAAAUUGCAAGAAAAAGAGUUGCCUCAUGUGGCGAAGACGAGAGAAAUUGUGCUUACAGAUAAUGCCGCCUGGCCACUGCCAGUGCCCACAUCCCAGGCAAGGUCAUGGUGGGGUGUCUUGGAUGCAAUAAAAUGGAACAAUUCUUGUGGAUAAUUCGGCCUAGAUACAGAGUAUUGCUCUGCCUGAUUGAGGAACAAAUCUGCCAUCUUUUUCCUUUUUCUUUUUUCCUGAAUGUCUGGGGUGAACAAAUUUGAACAGGUAUUUAUCUCCUUAUAUAGUCCUGGAGUGACAUGCCUGCCUAACUAAUAAAUACUAGUCUACAACGUCAAAGAACAAGUAAUCAUGUGAUUGAAAGUAGAAGAGGAAGAGAGAUAUAAAAAGAACAAAUUUGCUCGUCAACAUGUAAACCUGAAAGCACAAAGCAAAGUUCGUUCUUGACACCUGAAAUUGAAAGGGACAUCAAACUUUGUUGUUAUAUGUUAAGCAAGAGAUACUAGAAAAUUUUAUUGAUCGUUAUUUUUGUUUGGGUAUUUACUCUUUGGUAUCUCAGCACAUGAAUGCAGAGAGCGGACGAAAUCUGCUUCAUACUUGUCAAGAAUCUUGCGUAAUCCAUUACGUGCAAUUCCUAGGUUUUUUCUUUUUUUUGGUCAAAAAUUUGUAAUUCGUUGUUUCCGACUGCUGAGUCUGCUAUUAUUGUUGUACACUUAAUACUUCAUGGAUGAGGAUCCUCUACAAAUACUAGCCUCAAUUGUAUCGUGCAGUGUAGAUACUAGUACAACAAAAAUAAACACUAAAACAAUAAAAGUAAACACUAACAUAACGACAUGUAAAAACAUAAUAAAUUUUAAGGCACAAAUUUCAAUGAAAGAGAAAAUUUAUAAUUAUGCUUUUGCUUGUGUUAAUGUCUACAUUUAUUGUUUUAAUAUCCUUAGUUACUCUACUAGUGACUACACUUAUAAACCCAAAAGUUUACCAUCCUCUUCGUGCCACUUCAUUUGAGUUUAUUUAUUGUUUGGGGUUGAUUGUUUUAUAGUAUAGCCUAUAUGGUACUUUAUUUUAUUCCCAGAAUUUGAACGGCCCAACAGGUGCUUUGUUACCAAUUUAUUUAUUACUUCUAUUCAUUAAGUUCAUUUGGAAAUGAUUAUAUUGGUGAUAGGAUCUGUAUACAAACUCAUUUUUGAAAACCUAUGCAAACAUUUACAUUGUCCUAAGAUACUAUUCUUUAUUUAAAUUUGAUGAAGUACAUACUGAUGCAAGUCAUCCUCCUAGAACACUCAAAUAAGGAAUUUUAUUCCACAAAAGCAAGAAGUUCUGGAAAAGAAAAAAUGCAACCUAUAUUGCAAUUCAAAAAGAUAUCAUUUAUUCAACCGAUAUCAUGAAUUCCCCCCGGGUUGGGGGGGGGGUUGUUGAUGGCUAUGGUCGAUGCUAGAUGGGGCAUAACAAUGCGAUGGAGAGUCCACUCACUAUACUUCUGAUCGAGACUAGUACUUCAUUUUCCGACUUUACCAAUCCUGAGAUAAACAGGGAACUUAGAAACCUUCUGAUUGUUGCCAUUUUCGGCCCAAGCAGACCGAAAUUCCUCAAUCAUGUUCUCACUCAUGAGAUCCACACCUUUUUCCAGUGCUGUUUCAUAUGCCGAACCUGAUUUUGCAUAAGCAAGUAACUCAUCCAAACUCAUCAAUUUUUCAGUCAUGAAUUCAAAUGGCCCUGUGUUCUCAGCUCCAUCCACCGGCAAAAAUGGAAAUUCAAUGCUCUUAUACUUGUCGUAAAUUAAGUUUCUGCCAGGGUGCCAGUAAGGCCUAGAAUCAACAAAGUAAAAUUUAUUAAAAACAGCAUCAACUCUUGCAUUCACUUGUGGGGUAGUAUAGCACCAUGCUGCUAUUAUUCCCUGUGGCUUCUUUAGAACCAACUGCACUUGCUGGUAGAACUUGGACGAUCAAACCAAUGGAUGGCUUGGCCAACAGUCACAAGAUCCACGGUGGCUUGUUUUGCGACAUCCCUUUCCAGCUCUUCAGCAGACAUUGUUGGAGAAGUACACUUGUAUUGCACAUUUGGAAGCCUAGAAGCUAAUUCGAGCUGUUUCUGGCUGGUAUCCGUGGCAAUCACAUUCUUGUAUAUCUUUGCUAGCUGAAAUUCAUCAACUUACAUUAUAGUCUGCUAGCCAGGCUCGUCACUUUCUUGAAAGAAAACAGAAACCAGUCAAAUGAAAAACAAUUAUUAUGGAAAGAGGACUCAGACUCACAGAUGAUGCUGCCUGUCCAUUGCCAGUGCCGGCAUCCCAGACAAGGUCAUGGUGCGGUGUCUUGGAUGCAAUGAAGUGGAACAAUUCUUCUGGAUAAUUUGGCCGGGAUUGCGAGUAAUUCUUUCCCUGUUUAAGGUACAAGUAUGCUAUUUUCUUUUUUCCCCUUACUUCGGUAGUUUAAGAUGAACAGAUCUACAGGCAUAGAUCUCUUUAUAUGGGGACUUUCUGAACCGUUCAAGUGUUCUGAGUUGAGAUUGACUUGAAUCUUUGUUUACACUUUACAGAUCUACAGCCAUCUUUUUUCCCUUUUUCUUUUCUAUUAAGGUCUGUGAUGAACAGAAUUGAGCACGUAUGCCCAUGUAAUUUAAUGGUCUACAGCGUUAAAGAACCAGUUGAUCAUGUGCCUGAGAAAGAGAGAAUUGAAGAAGAAGGGUAUAAAAGGACAAAUUUGCUUGUCAGAUGCAAACCUAAAAGCACAGAGCAAAAAUCCACUUUUGAAACCAGAAAUUGAAAGGGGCAUCAGCUUAAUUGCCGUGUGCUAAAUGCAUCGGACGUCAAUAAUGGCGGCUGUUUCGUAUGCCUCAAGAUUCUUCUGCUGCUUCCGUAAUGCAUUACGUGUAAUUCCUAGCAGGGUAACAUAUAGAAAAGCUCCUUGAUAUUAAACAAGCAUACAAAAAAGUCUUCUAUAGUUUCAAAACUUACAUUUCGAUACCUCAUGCUUUAAGCUAAUUUUAAAAAACUAUAGAAAUCGUCUGAAUUAACGAGUUUGAAAUACACGCGCUUCUUUUGAGAGUAUUUGUACUAAAAAUAUAUAAAUUUUUGUUGAUAUACAUAUUAUACCCUUAAAGUUAUAAUACAGAAAAGCUCCCUGUGGUUAAACAAACAGACAGAAAAGUCCCUUAUGAUUUCAAAUCAUACAAUCCAGUACCUCGUGGUUUGAACUAAUGUGAAAAUUGAUAAAAAAUCAUUUAAAUUAACGAGUUUGAGGUUGCUUGACAUGAAAAAUAAUUUUUUAAAUCAAAUUUUUAGCUGAUAUACCUAUUAAACCCUUAGUACUCAUAAAAUUUCCAAAAACAACCCAAAACUCCAAAUACAACUCACUUUAUUUCUAUACAUAAAAUAAAUAAAUAAAAAUUUUCAAAUAACCUUAUUUUUAUACACAAAAUAAAUAAAUAAAUAAUUCCAAAUACAACUUGCCUUAUUCCUAUGCACAAAAUAAAUAAAUAAAAGUAAGAUGUAACCAUAAGGGGCUUUUUCGUAGGUUGGCUUAACCACAGGGGUUUUUCUGUAAAUUUGCUUAAUAUGAUCGUUGUUAGAAGGUCUUUUAUUGUUUAUAUAUAUUAGGAUAAUUAUGUCAUUUCAUUCGCCUCCGUUAGUUUUGACAAUUUUUGUUCCUAUUUCAAAUUAGUUCAAACCAUGAGGGGUCAAAAUGUAUGAUUUGAAACCAUAAGGGGUUUUCCAUAGGUUAAUUUAAUCACAAGGGGCUUUUUUGUAUUUUACCCUUCCUAGUACUACUAUUCUUGUGCCCUUAAUAGGAUUCAUAGCGACCUUUGUCCCAUUGGUCCGUUGGCCACCACCAAAGAUUUUAAAUCUUGGUUGGGUGGGAGGUCAAGAGUUGCCUCCCAUUAAUGUGCUACUAUAUGUGGUUUCUUCUAAAUCCAUACAGGUGCGUAGUGCACUCAUUUGAUUCGAUGGUAGUUUAGUCCCCAUCGGUUUCUCUGGACCCGUUGGGCCUCCCCCUAGUAUAGGUAUAGUAAGAGUAGGAGUAGGUUAGACUAACUGUUGCCGUCUAAUUAAUAAAAAAAAAAGGAUUAAUAGCAAAGUUGUGUCAUCUAUGCAUGGUAGGAAGAAGCAAUAGAAAUGGGACAACACAACUAGGUGCGCCAAAACCAACUACUUUUAGAGUAGUUGGCCACCCAAAAGAGCUUUAAAGCUCUACUUGGGUGUAGGCCAAGGGAUCUGUUGAUCUACAUUCUAAUAUUCAGAUUUUUCUGAAAAUUUCACCAGCAGGUGCGUAAACCGGUGGUAGUUCACCAGGUGUCCCUUGACCUCUUUAGCUCCCUCCCUUCCCUUAAUAUAGAGUAGGAGUAGGUGUAGAAUGGAAUCUAUCGUCUCGACACAAAAAAAAAAAAAAAAAAAAACUAGAUGGGCCAAGUAAUGGACAGUUAAGGGCAAAAAAUACUAGAUGGACCAAGUAAUGGACAGUUAAGUUAAAUGCAACAACCGAACACAGGCCACAACCGGAUGUUGUACAAGGGAUCACCUUAUGGCUGCAAGUGUAUCAUCUGAAAUGAACUCAUGCUCCUCUAUGCAUUUUUGGUGCUUUGCAUUACCCCAGGAAAUGAAAGUAAUUUGAAUGUAGCUCCAAGCUUCCAAUUUGGCGGCAACUAGCGAAAAAAAAUAGCUCGAAGACCAAUUAGUAUUUGUGCGCGCUAUUAAAAAAAUGGCAAAAUAAAAGCAAAUAAAAAAUUUGGCAGUACAUGGAUAUGUUGAAAUAAAUAAUCGAAUCGAAAUUCGAAUUAACCGGUUGAUGACCGACUAUUUAUGUAGAAUUGAAAUUACAAUGUAAUUAGUGAUUGAGUUGAUGAAUGAUUAAAUUUUAUUCAAGUGAGAAAGUUAGGACAAAUAUUCUCCCAAGCAAUUAUAGAGAUGAGGGAAAAUGUAAUUAUGUAAUUAAGAUCAAAGUUUCGAGUGAACCAAAGUUCAAGUUGAACCCGAAUACAAAGGUAAGGUACAAUAUGGAUGAGAGAUCCUAAACAUAACAUAAAUAGUUUAAAGCAAACUGAAAUAUGAAGCGAAAUCAAUUAAAGUUGUUAAUUGAUGUAGCAAGAAUAGAGAUGAGAGGAUAUGUAAUUAUGACAGAUUGUCGAAACCUGUGCAAUAAUAAAAACAUGCUCAAACUAAAAGUAAUUUCUGUAGGUAGCGGUGAGCAGGGUCGAAUCCACAGGGAUUGGAAGUAAUUGUUUCUUUUCAAAUUCACAGUGACAAGGGGGUGUUUUUCUGCAGACGGUGACAAUCAAAGAAAUUCAACUAAAAUCUAAGAAGCUACUAGAAAUUAAAUAACAAAUUACUAAAAUCAAAUGGGUAAUAAUUAAGGAUCUAACCAAGAAAUAAUUUCAGCAAUGGUUCACCUAAUUGAUCAUCGAUGCAAAGCCAAUUCCAAUUAUUUACCAAUAAAUAGGUUAUAACUGCCAAACAAGCGAUGACAGUCAACCCCUCCUUACUGUGUCGCUGAUUAAGGUACGCCCGUUAAUCACUACUCUAAUUGAGAAAUAAUUCUAGAUACGCCCAUAAGAUUUAAUUCCCCAAUUGCCUUACGUAUUAGAGGAGCCCUAUUCUAACCAAAUAACGCACUACCAGGGUUAUUUUAGGUUAGCCCGCGUAUUCCCCUGACACAAACCCAAUCAUGCCAGUUAUCACUAUUUUGGGACAAUUAAACAAUUACGGAUUUAACGUCCCAAUUGACAAUAGAUUAUUAAAUUAACCAAUUAUCCGGAUCCAAAACAAUCAAUUAAUUAAAUAAUCAUAAGCACUACAAUCAAGGAAUAUGCGAAUACCAAUAAAUAAAAGAAAAAGAUGAAAUUAAAUCGAUCUCACAAUUUUUAGGCGAACCAAAGCCUCCGUUGUUCCUUGACUAGAGCGAAAAAAAUUAGUUCAUAUUGGAUCCAAAAAACCCACACAAAAUUGAAGAGAGAGCAGCGGCCAUCAAUUGGGUAAAUUCACAUCGUUGGAAUACUGUCGAAAAAGUGAAGGUAGAGGAAAUAAUUCGUGGCUUUGUUUUUGGUCUUCACAUCCGAGGAAGAAAGGCCAAUAUGAAUCCAAAAGGAAAGUCAAAAUUCCUAAGCUACGCUACAAGACGAAAAACUAAAGAAGACCAGAGGAUAGUGCUCCUCUCCUGCAAUCUUAAUUCCUAUUCUAUCUAAAUGCUCUCCAAUGUGCGGCGGCUCUCCUUCCGGAGAGGAAGAAGCCUCUGGACGCCCUCUCAGGUUUGCUUUCUUUUUCCUUUUUUAGUUGCUGUCUUCGGUCAAAAUUACCAAAAAGGUCUUGCAUCUCCUUGUUCCAAGAAUGUCCUUGAUUGCCUGCUAUUCGAACUCUUUCCCGAUGACUGUCAAAUUGGCCUUGAUUGUGAUAUUUUUGUUCUACUCCCUGAAAUAAAUACAAAAUACUAAAAGUGAAUAGAAUCCAACAAUUAAUCCACACCAGAUCAGGUAAUAGGGGAAAUUAAUAAUAAAUUAAAUAGUAAAAUUGCAACCUAUCAAUUCCCCCCACACCUAAACCAUGCUUGUCCUCAAGCAUGAUAACAGCAAACAAACCCAAUGUUUGACAAAGACUAUUGCCCUAUCUACCAUAUUGCCAAGACACCAAGAAAAACAUAGAUCGAGUCUCAGUGAUCAAGAUCCAAGAAACAUCACUCCGGUUAGCUUCUAAACUACAAACUCCUCCAAUUUCAGGUUAACUAAUCUAAGAAAAAGGAAUGACACACAACAUUUAUCAGCAAAUGGUCCAACUAUUAACCAAAAUCUCAACAUUAAAUCCAUAAAUCGGCAAGCUGACUUUUAUUAUACACUAACGCAACAUUCACUUUUUUUUCAUGUUUUUCUAUUUUUCUUUUUUUUCUCUCUUUUUUUUUAAUAGUACUCCCUCUGUCCCGAAAACUUUGUCGUGCUUUGGGAGCUGAACUUUUUAUGCGCCAGUGUUAAGUUUCAGAUUUGUUUUCCGAUUUUGCCACUAGAAUGUGUGGUCAUUAGUGGUUAAGGAGACAAAAAUGACAUGUGGGGCCAAAACUACUUACAAGAAAUGCAAUCGCCAACAGAGAGUGAUUCUCACGCAUCACUUUAAACCUUGUGUGUAUCUCACGGAUGUCUUGCAACUUGAGUUGCAAGCAAAUGAAAAUCAAAGGGCCCCACUAAUAAAAGUAAAGAGUGAGGGAAUCUUGAAGGGUAAAAAUUGAAACAAGAGAAUUUUUGUUUUCCAUUUUGAGUAUGUGACAAACAUUUUGGGACAGACCAAAAUGGAAAGCAUGACAGUUUCAAUGGGACGGAGGGAGUAACACAAGACUUAGUCUCUGGCCAUUGAAACUUUUUGACGCGAACUCCGACAUUUGUCAGAUGAAAGAACCCGGUAACUCAGCUCCUAUCGCCACGUGACCACGCACUCAUAGCAAUUACUACUUUUUGAUGCGAGAAUCGACAGUUUUGGUGAAGAUCUCCAGUUACUCAGUAGUAAAUACUAGCGGAGUACAGUCAACUCUUAUUCACAGCCAAAGAACACCAAAAAUUCAAAAUAACACAAAAAUCAAAAGAAAAUUUGUUGCCGCUAGCCUCAUUUUCAAACAUGGAGAACUAAGGUUAAUAACCGGACCAAUUCACAUGAAAAUGCCAACAAUCAUUCCCUAUGCCAAGGAAAGUUAACUAAAAAUUAUAAAAGUCACGCAGUCGUCGAUAUUCACCACAGAGAUGUUCUUGAAUUCAACCACAUUAACUUGAUACCCUUUUUAUUAAAAACUUGGCAAUAGCAGAAUUAGAGACAACAAUCCAACAUCAAACUUUGGUAUUCACAUGAGAGCUAAGCACUAAAAAGAAAGAAAGAGACUAAACGAAAGAUAGACAAAUAACAAACUAGAAAUAAAGGAAAAACCCCUAAAAACUAAAAACUACUAAAAACUAGAACCACAACUGAUCCCCCCACACCUAAAUGACACAUUGCCCUCAAUGUGACGAAUAAACAGUAAUAGCAAGAAGAAGGGCAACGGUACUUCCCUGAGAUCGUCAAAACAUCGGCGAGUGAGGCCCAAAAGGAGGAGGAAAGACGACGUGCUGCAUAAAUGCCGCUAGUUUCUGGGCAAUAUUGGCCACAUUGGCGUCAAUAUUCUUCACUCCAGCAUCCAAAGUGUCAACCUGCUAACAUUAGCAAUUGAUCCAAGAAAUGGCAACUCCAGCAAAACCAGUUCAGAAGUUGGACAGAAAUAACUCAAUCACAAAUGCCCAGUGGUCACAACUCGAUCAAUUAGGCAACCAAUAACACAAGAUUAACAAAUGUUAAACAACCACCAUCGCCAGUACCACCGGUGAAUGCACAGGGAGAAAUUAAACCAAAUGGCUAGCCCAAAUCACUUGAUAAAUCCAAACACACCACUCAGUACCAAGGAAUAGUAGAGAUUAGAACGGGAAUCAAUUGACAAGUAACUCCUUAAAUCGCCCCCAAAUAAUGCACCAAUUUUACUCAACGGGACAAGGGAUAGUGCUAGUGCUCGAAUAAAUCAACAAAUGUCUCCAAUUCAAGAAAUCAACAACUCAACUUAACAGCACUGAGGAAGCUCGCAACGGCUACUAGAAUGUCUCACGGAGCAAAAGAACCACAAAGCCUUCAACGGAGCCCCAAAAAUUGACAACUAAGAAUGCGAAAGACUAAAGGGCAACUCGGAAACAGAGGGACUCAGAGGUACCUGCCCACUGCCCAACGGUGUCGUUGGUGGCAGUGGGUACGGAACCGGCAAGGGCGGGGCGGCGGUCGCGACUAGGAGAGUAGGGGCUGCGAUGAGCUGGUGGAUGUGUACAGGCGAGGUGGAGAGGCGCGCGAGGCUUGUUACUGCGACGAGCUGGAUUGGCUGCACGGCUGGAGUGCGACGGCGACGAACGAGGUGGAUGAAUCGCGCGCGGUGGAGAGGAGGAGCGGCCGCCGCUGUUGGCGGCCGUGGGCUGAUAGAGUCGGCUGUGGAUGACACACGACACACGAGCAGCGGCGGUGGUGGUCGUGUGACUGUAGGCCGAGGCAGCGCGCGUCGUCGCUCGGCAUUGUCGUCGCGCGGUGAAGGAGAUGGCGGUGGGCGUGAUGUGUGCUCGGCCGAAAAAGAGGAAGAAACAGGGGAAGAAAGAAAGAAAAUAGAAAGAAAGAAGAAGAAAGAAAGGAAAGGAAGAAAAAGAAAGGAAAGGAAGGAAAAGAAAAAGAAAAUAGUAUUUGUGUUUUUUAUUUUUUUUCUUUAUUUUUUUUUGCUUUUUCGUUUUAUUUUUCACUUUAGAAAUUUUUUUUUGUUUUUAUGGAAAGACUCCCUAUUUUUUCUCCUUGUUACUUACUUGAAAAUUUUUUUUUUUGAAAUUUUUUUUUAAAUAUAUCAUUAUUUUUAUUAUUAUUGACAAAAUUUAUUUUUGGACUUCAAAAGUAGGGAUUAACAGAAAAUCAAUAAUCGUUCUUGAGUUUUUUUUGAAUACUUACCUUUCCGCGAACAUGACGCGGGCACGUCAUGAAGGCACGGAAUUUGGAGCUUUCCAGGUUACUUGACGCGGGCACGUCAAGAGGGUAGGAACCCUUUUUGACGAAUCUGACCGUGGGCUCUUCAUACGUCAUGACGCGGGCACGUCAUGAGGGCAAGAACCCCUUCUGACGAUUUUGACCGUGAGCUCUUCAUACGUUAUGACGCGGGCGCGUCAUGUCAAAGGGAUGCCUGUGGAUCAUCAAAAACGAAAAUUAAAGUCAAAAAUCAGUCAAAUCCAAGGAAAAAUAUAUUUAAACUGACGAACAAAAAAUGAACAAAUAACUAAAAGAAAUCGGGUUGCCUCCCAAUGAGCGCCCUUCUUUAAUGUCUUUGGCUAGACAUUAUCAUGCUUUGUUCAUGAAGGAUAAAAUCUUGUGGCUCGUCUUAAUGCUUCAUCCUCUGUAUAGUCCUGAUAGCCAUCGUAAAUAGAGUAAUCCUUGGUCACAUGAGUUACAGACAUCCAUGAACUAGUAAAUUGCGCUAAACAAGUCAACGAUAACUUGCAUUCUCCAUUCACUCCUCCCUCACUUGCAUUUAUUGGUUCAAGAUAUCUUGCCGUCGCCACUCUUAAUUUAUUCCUGUCAUGAAAUUCAAAAUUUUCUGUAUAAUAAAGUCAAUUUCAUUAACAGGAAUUGAAUAAUAAGAGUCAGGAGAAUAUUGAUGAAGGAGUGGAGGAGAUGUCACCGCAUUUGGAGAUUGUUCACUGGAUUCAUUCACUGAAUGAGUUGAUCCUGGAGUCUCAUUUCUUGCACUUCAACUUCCUUUUCAACUGCAUCUUUAAACCCAUUUUUUUGAAACUCUUGUAGUUCCAUGUCUUUUGACCGCGAUAAUUGCACUCUCAUCUUCUUCAAGGUUAAUAUUGAUUUGUGAGGGCAAUUCUUCAAGGUGAGAAGCUAAUCGCGCUAUCCUGGAUGUCAAUUGGUUCAUUUGAUCCGUCAGGUUACGCAUGCUCGCUUGUGUCUCCUGAUGAAAUCAAUAUGUAUUAGUAGCAAAUAAUUCAAUCAAUUCCUGAAAAAACAUACCUGACAUGGAUGAUGGUUGUUGAGACUCUUGCUGUUGAAAACCUAUCGGCCCGGUCGCGUAAUUAAAAUUGGAAUCAUCCCACCAUCCUUGAUCAUACCUAUUUGGGUAAGGGUCAUACCACGUUUGAAAUCGAGGUGAAAAAUCUCCAAAAGUAUCAAUUGGAGCACUUAGAUUAUCUUGAAAUGCAGGGCGUGUGUCGGUUGAAUAACUUGAGGCAAAAUAAGUUCCACAAUUUGCAACAGUCCAUUGAUCAUUAGGAAAAAUCUAUCCAGAAACUCUCUAUGUGGGAGCUUUCUCUCUCUAAAACAGAGAGCUUUUUCUCCUCUGUGUGGGAGCUUGGAAAUUUCAAAACAAAAAGCCCGCCCAAAUUGAAUUUACACUCUGUUCAUUGAAACCAAGCAUACUGAAUCCAAAAACAACACUAAAUCUUCACCUGAAACCCGUAUCUCAGAGCUAAAGUGACAACUCAGAAGUAGAAGCAGGAGCUAGCUGAGAGGAAUCAACGAAGACAAUAUGGUUAAUGGAGAGCAUCUAUGAACUCCCAAAGUAAGACAUACUGACACUGGAGUCAUCAAAGCUGGCCUGACGAGAGCUAAGGCAGCUUUCUCUUUACUCAGGUUAGGCCUGCGAAGCCCUAAAAUUCCAGGUUUCACAGUCCUUAACUACUCUACUAGAUUUCAUUCAUCUGCAUAUGCAUAAGCAUUUCGUAGGUUGUCUUUGUUUUGCCUAUCUGGUAAUGCACUUACCUAGUGAAGACAGUAGUCUGGCGUUCUUUCUCGCUGGUUUUGUCAGGUUCUAUCAUUUGCUCACAUUAUUGGUAGAGGAAUACCUCUUAGAUUCACUAGGCUCCAUGGCUGAUGAACUGGAGGAAGUUUUAAAGAAAUUUGCUUUAUCUAUCUAGAGAAGGAGGGCGAGCAUGGUUGGAGUUGGAUGAUAUCAGUCCAGGGAUUACUGAGUGCAAAAAUAGUAUCAUUGGAAAGAUUAGAGGAGAAAAUGUUGCAAAUUUUACUGGAGUAAAGAAUUUCGUGACUGCAGCUUGGGUUACCCAAAAGAUCUUGCAAUGGCAGAACUAUGGCCUAACUUGUUUCAGUUCUUCAUUCCAGAUGAGGAGAGUGGCUUGAGAAUCCUUUGCGGUGGACCAUGGUUGAUAGAUAGCCAGAUACUGAUACUAAAUAGAUGGGAGGCUGGAAUUGAGGAAAAUACUGAGGCCUUCACAGGUUGCUCCACUAUGGCAUACAAGUAUGGAAUUUGCCUAUUCACUGGAUAUCUAAAGAAGCUUGGGAGGAAGAUUGGGAAAGUCUUCAAGGAGGUGAAGCGAGGUUCUAGUCUCCCACACAGUGGUAAGAAAGGGAAGCAUCUAAAGAUGCUAGUGAGUGCAGACAUGACCCAACCACUUCUAAGAGGUACAGCAGUGAAGAUGAAUGGAGUGCUAAAAUGGAUUAACUUUAGGUACGAAAGAGUGCCUGACUUUUGCUACAAGUGUGGAAUUGUUGGUCACAGUGAAAAGAAAUGUAAGAACGAGGUGUACAUUCAGAAGGGGCAAACGAGAAUCAGUAUGGUCCCUGCUGCGUGCACAGAGUGGGAAAGGAUCCCCACAAAAAGAGAGUAAAUCCAGUUCAUACAACCCGGAUAGACAGGUCUGGAAUUUCCAAAAUGGGGAAUGGAUUAAGAAGAGCAGUGGGAAAAAUGCAGAACAAGAAGCUAAUCUUACCAGGUCUGAGAGUACCAAAUUCAUAGCUUUGCCCAAGAGUACAGUCACUGUGGUGGACUAUAAUGAAAGGCCUGGGGAGAGGAUAGAGGAAUCAGGCAAGGAAGAUGAGGAGCUCCUGGAGGCUCAAGAGGCUGAUGGGGACAAAAGUGUGGAGGAAGGGGUUACAAAUGAGGAUAAGAUGGAAGCAGACUCAACAGAGUGUGAGAUGGGGAUCACAUUCCUAGCUGAAACGAAUCCAUCCAAAUCAGGAGGACUAGGGAUUACGAAUCCAGAAAAGAGAAUGGUGGAAAGGAAGACUAAGCCUAUAGACAUGAUGGUGGAUGAGGAGGAUCCAGUCCAGGCUAAGGGAAGUGGAAUAAAGGGGAGAGAAAAGUAAGGCUAUGGUAUAAGAAGAACGACAGAGAUAGGCUACCUCUAAAAGAGAUUCAGAAUCUAGAGGUCAGAAAAGGUGUUAACACUAAGAGGAAACUGCAAAUUGUUGAUGAGGUAACGCUGGAUAUGGAACCUUCUGAGCUAAAUGCUAAAAGGAACAAAUAAGAGAUGAAUUGGCCUUCAAUGGUCAGAUGCUAAGGGGGAAGAGACCAGCCCAUCUUGGUCUCUCAACCUUAAAUGAGGAUCAUGGUGUGGAACUGUCAAGGUGCAGGAGCCCUUGACAGUUCCCCAUUUGAAGGAGGAAAUAGACUCCUCUCCCUAGUAUCAUUUUUCUAAGUGAAACAAAAAACAGAAACAGGUAUAUGGAAAAAGUAAAAAAAAUUCUGAAUUUUGAAAACAGCUUUUGUAGUAGAGGCUAUGAAUAGAAGUGAUGGGAUGGCUCUUUUUGGAAUAAUGAUGUCAAGGUUUCAGAAGUACGAGGCACAGCCUUUACCAUUGAGGCUAAGGUGGAGGAUGAAGAGAAAAAGGAAACCUGGUGUUUAUUGGAAUUUAUGCAAGCUAUGAUAGUCAAACAAGGAAAGGGCAGUGGGAAGUCUUGAAUAGAAGGAAAGCAGGAUGGGGUGAAAAAUGAUUAUCAUGGCGACUUCAACGACAUCACCUCAAAUGAUGAAAAAUGGGGUGGAAGGAGGAGAGAGAAUAGAAGCUUCCAAGACUUUAGAAAGUUAUAAAUGAGAAUCAAUUAAUGGAUGUUGGGUUUGUAGGGAAGUCGUGGACUUGGAGCAAUAACUGGUAAUGGGAAUGGCGAAGUAAAAGAGAGGCUAGACAGAGGCUUAUGCUCCACUGCAUGGUCACAGUGUUAUGAGGAUGCUAAGUGUUCACACAUUGAAUCGCAUGCCUCUGAUCACAGCAUGUUGGUAUUAGAAACUGAUAAGGAAGGAAAAUAUGGAAAAAGAGAUUUCAGUUCGAUAAAAGAUGGCUCCAACAUGAUGAGAUUGAGAAAGUGGUGAAGGAGGCUUGGAAUGCCCAGUGCGAUGGAACUAGAUGGUUCAAGGUGAAACAGAAAAUAAAGAAUUGUAGAGUUGAACUACUUAAGUGGAGCAGCAGUAAGAAAGGGAACUCAUUAGAAAGGAUAAAUUGGUGCAAAAACCAGAUUGAGGAAAUUAAGGCAUCAGAGGCUGAAAACAAAAGGCAGAGGGUGCAGGACAUGAAAGAACAGCUGAAGUUGGCUUAUGAGAAUGAAGAGGCGUAUUGGAAUCAGAAGGCUAUAGUACGAUGGCUAAAAGAGGGUGACAAAAACACUCAAUUCUUCCAUGCAACAGUUAAGGGGAGGAGGAAAAGAAAUAGACUUCAGAAAUUGAAAAAAUCAAAUGGAGAAUGGACUAUAAAUGAUAAAGAGUUGGAUAAGGAAAUAGCUAACUAUUAUGGAGAUUUGUUCAAGAGUUCAGGGUCGGGGGAGCUGGAGGACAUCUUAGAGGGGAUUCCUGCCUCCAUUACUGAGCAAAUGAAUAGAGACCUGACCAAAAAAGUAGAGGAAGAGGAAAUCAAGGCUGCUUUCUUCUCUAUGGAUCCUAAUACGGCUCCUGGAAGUGAUGGCAUGUCUCCACUCUUUUUUCAAAAAUUCUGGAGCAUUAUUAAGCAGGACCUGGUAAGUGCAAUUCAAGGUUUCUUUCACAAUAGUGUAAUUCUCAAAGCCAUAAAUCACACGGUCAUUUCUUUGAUCCCUAAAGUGGACUGUCCUACUGAGAUCAAACAGUUUAGACCUAUAAGCCUGUGCCAAGUGGUCUAUAAAGCCCUUGCUAAAAUUCUUGUCAAUAGACUAAAGCCAUUCUUGUCUAGAUGUAUCAGCAAAAACCAAUCUGCAUUUGUUCCAGGUAGGCAAAUUAUAGAUAAUGUCAUCCUAUCUCAUGAAUUGAUGCAUUUCUUGAAAAACAAAAGACAUGGUAGAGUUGGUAUGAUGGCUGUGAAACUGGAUAUGUCAAAGGCCUAUGACAGGGUGGAGUGGGACUUCCUGAAAGCUAUAAUGGAAAGAAUAGGGUUCUGCCACAAGUGGAUACAAUGGGUUACUGCUUGCAUAAGUUCAGUGACUUACUCAUUCAAUAUAAAUGGUGAACAGAAGGAGUUCAUAACCCCAUCCAGAGGCAUAAGGCAAGGCGAUCCACUCUCACCAUACCUGUUUCUAAUGUGCUCAGAAGGAUUAUCUAAUCUGCUACAGAAAGCUAAGGUGGGAAAGGAGCUAAUAGGAAUCAAAAUUAGUAGAGGGGCACCAGCAAUCACUCAUCUGUUUUUUGCUGAUGACUCUCUAGUAUUUUGCAAAGCUAAUAGGCCAGAAGCUGGGAAGCUCAUGAAGAUCCUCAAAGUCUAUGAAAAGGCAACAGGUCAGCAAAUUAACACGGACAAAUCCUCAGUUUUCUUCAGUAAAAAUACAACUCAAUUAGUGAGGGAGGAAGUCUGUCAUACAAUGGGGUCUAUACAGCAGAUAGGACAAGGUCAAUACCUGGGCUUACCUAUGAUCAUAACAAAAUCUAAGGAGCAGGUGUUUGGGUUCAUUAAAAAUUCUAUUGAUAAAAAGCUGCAGGGAUGGAAAAACAAGCUACUAAGCCAGGCAGGGAAAGAAGUGAUGUUAAAAGCAGUAGCCAUGGCCAUGCCAAUUUACACCAUGUCGUGUUUCAAAUUGUCUACCAAGCUGUGCAGAGACAUUAGUGCUAAAAUGGCAGAUUACUGGUGGGGGAGUCUGAAGGGAGGAAAAGGAUGCAUUGGAUUGGCUGGAAGAAGCUGUCAGAUAGGAGAAGUAGUGGAGGAAUGGGCUUCAAGGACUUGCAAAUUUUCAAUAGAGCUCUGCUGGCCAAACAAGUUUGGAAGUUAUUAACACAACCAAACUUGUUAGUCAGCAGAGUUCUAAAGGAAAAAUACUACCCCAGACAAUCACUCUUCUCCAGUAAGGUCCCUCAGAAUGCCUCCUGGAUAUGGCAAAGUUUAGCUGCUGUAAGAGAAGAAGUCCAAAAUGGAGUCAAGAGGAAAAUAGGGAAUGGCAAAGGAACACGAAUUUGGGAGGAUGACUGGAUUCCAGAGAGCCCAGAUGGGAAACCAACAACAGGAAGGCCUCUAGGGUGUCAACUUCAGCAUGUAUCAGACCUCAUCACCCAUAACAGAUGGAAUGCCGUCCUGAUAUUCAGAAUCUUUAAUCAGCAAGAUGCAGAGAGAAUUCUGAAAAUACCUAUAAGCCUAACAGGGAAAGUAGAUAGCCAUUACUGGAUGCAUUCUCAGAAUGGCCAAUACACAGCUCAAUCUGGGUAUAAGAUGUGGAAGAAGGAAAAGGAACUGGAGAGUGCAAGAAGGAGGGAAGAUGCUAGUCCAAGCUAUGAAGGAAAUAUCAGAAGAGUCUGGAAAACUCUAUGCAGCAGAAGGUGAGUCAGAAAAUGAAAGUGUUCAUAUGGAAGUGUUUGCAUGGGGGACUUCCCGUGAGAGGCGAAAUAUAUAGAAGAACAAGACAAGGUGUCCCUAUAUGCACAGGGUGUGGGGAAAAGGAAGAAACAAUCGAACAUCUUCUGUUCCAAUGCAACAGAGCAAAGGAAAUAUGGAAAUUUUCACCAGUUCAGUGGGAUGGAGUACAGCUAACAUCAGACUGCUUCAUCAAAUGGUGGUCUGCAAUCAUAGAAGCCCAACAUGAAAGAGGAGGGGAAGAUCAGGUGAAUCUAACUAUAAACAUUCUCUGGCAAAUCUGAAAAGCCAGGAAUGAGAGGGAAUUUAAUCAAAAGGAAAGGGAACCUCAUAAGAUAAUACAGAAAGCCAUGAAAGAAUGGAUGGAGUUUGAUGAGGCUAACAAAGGGAAGGUGAAUAGGAAGAACACUCAGCGAACAGAAGUUCAAAAUUGUACUGAGCAAUUGCAGGGUCAAAGAGAGAUCCAAGCCAGCCUGAUGAUCAAGGUCCACACUCAUCAAGAUGCAAGACAAAAAAUGGUGGGGAUUGGAGUCUCAGCUACUGACUCUUCAGGACGUCUUCAAGCAUGUUGGGCAAUGAGAGAAAGAAUGUCUGCAGAACCAAUACAAGACCAAGCUGGUGCGGUAAGACUUGCACUUCUGAAUGCGAUCAGCCAAGGAUGGAGGAACAUUAGAGUGGAGCUGGAAAAUAGGGUGCUGGUAGAGUGCAUAAAAAACACUCGACAGCAACCAUCUGAUGGCUACUCUAAUAGAAGACAUCCAGUGCAUAAGUAAUCUGUUUCAAAAUUGUUCCUUCUCUUUUGUUAGUUCAGGGUUUGUGGGAUGUAUCAAGUUGAGCAUGCAUGCUCUAAACAUCUGUGUAGAUGAAGAAUGGGUGAAUCCCAAUCUUAGGUGUUAGGCACCAAUGUUUUUGUAGGACCUUUGUCCUCUUGCUUGGACCUUUGUCCAAAUAUUGUAAAUUUUCGGUUAUUUCUAUAAAGCUAACGUUUCGACAAAAAAAAAAUUGAUCAUUAGGAAAAACACGAGUCUCAUAACCCCAUUCAGGAAUAAAGUCCAGUCUAUCAUCAAAAUACGGAAUGAUAGCAGCCAUAAACUAAAAAAAAAUAGAAAAAAACAAUUAAAAAAAAAUAUCAAAACAAGAUGAACUCAAAAAGAAACAAAUUAAUCCAGCACCAGUCCCCGGCAACGGCGCCAAAAAUUGACAGGUUGUCGAAACCUGUGCUAUAAUAAAAACCUGCUCAAACUAAAAGUAAUUUCUGUAGGUAGCGGUGUGUAGGGUCGAAUCCACAGGGACUGGGAGUAAUUGUUUCUUUUCAAAUUCACAGUGACAAGGGGGUGUUUUUCUGCAGACGGUGACAAUCAAAGAAAUUCAACUAAAAUCUAAGAAGCUACUAGAAAUUAAUAACAAAUUACUAAAAUCAAAUGGGUGAUAAUUAAGGAUCUAACCAAGAAAUAAUUUCAGCAAUGGUUCACCUAAUUGAUCAUCGAUGCAAAGCCAAUUCCAAUUAUUUACCAAUAAAUAGGUUAUAACUGCCAAACAAGCGAUGACAGUCAACCCCUCCUUACUGUGUCGCUGAUUAAGGUACGCCCGUUAAUCACUACUCUAAUUGAGAAAUAAUUCUAGAUACGCCCAUAAGAUUUAAUUCCCCAAUUGCCUUACGUAUUAGAGGAGCCCUAUUUCUAACCAAAUAACGCACUACCAGGGUUAUUUUAGGUUAGCCCGCGUAUUCCCCUGACACAAACCCAAUCAUGCCAGUUAUCACUAUUUUUGGGACAAUUAAACAAUUACGGAUUUAACGUCCCAAUUGACAAUAGAUUAUUAAAUUAACUAAUUAUCCGGAUCCAAGACAAUCAAUUAAUUAAAUAACCAUAAGUACUACAAUCAAGAAAUAUGCGAAUACCAAUAAAUAAAAAAAAAGAUGAAAUUAAAUCGAUCUUACAAUUUUUAGGCGAACCAAAGCCUCCGUUCUUCCUUGAUUAGAGCGAAAAAAAUUAGUUCAUAUUGGAUGCGAAAAACUCAGACAAAAUUGAAGAGAGAGCAGCGGCCAUCAAUUGGGUAAAUUCACGUCGUUGGAAUACUGUCAAAAAAGUGAAGGCAGAGGAAAUAAUUCGUUUUGUUUAUGAUCUUCACAUCCGAGGAAGAAAGGCCAAUAUGAAUCCAAAAGGAAGGUCAAAGUUCCUAAGCUACGCUACAAGGCGAAAAACUAAAGAAGACCAGAGGAUAGUGCUCCUCUCCUGCAAUCUUAAUUCCUAUUCUAUCUAAAUGCUCUCCAAUGUGCGGCGGCUCUCCUUCCGGAGAGGAAGAAGCCUCUGGACACCCUCUCAGGUUUGCUUUCUUUUUCCUUUUUUAGUUGCUGUCUUCGGUCAAAAUUACCAAAAAGGUCUUGCAUCUCCUUGUUCCAAGAAUGCCCUUGAUUGCCUGCUAUUCGAACUCUUUCCUGAUGACUGUCAAAUUGGCCUUGAUUGUGAUAUUUUUGCUCUACUCCCUGAAAUAAAUACAAAAUACUAAAAGUGAGUAGAAUCCAACAAUUAAUCCACACCGGAUCAGUAAUAGGGGAAAUUAAUAAUAAAUUAAAUAGUAAAAUUGCAACCUAUCAAUUCCCCCCACACCUAAACCAUGCUUGUCCUCAAGCAUGAUAACAGCAAACAAACCCAAUGUUUGACAAAGACUAUUGCCCUAUCUACCAUAUUGCCAAGACACCAAGAAAAACAUAGAUCGAGUCUCAGUGAUUAAGAUCCAAGAAAAAUCACUCCGGUUAGCUUCUAAACUAUAAACUCCUCCAAUUUCAGGUUAACUAAUCUAAGAAAAAGGAAUGACACACAACAUUUAUCAGCAAAUGGUCCAACUAUUAACCAAAAUCUCAACAUUAAAUCCAUAAAUCGGCAAGCUGACUUUUAUUAUACACUAACACAACAUUCACUUUUUUUUUCAUGUUUUCUAUUUUUCUUUUUUUUCUCUCUUUUUUUUUUAAUAGUAACACAAGACUUAGUCUCUGGCCAUUGAAACUUUUUGACGCGAACUCCGACAUUUGUCAGAUGAAAGAACCCGGUUACUCAGCUCUAUCGCCACGUGACCACGCACUCAUAGCAAUUACUACUUUUUGAUGCGAGAAUCGACAGUUUUGGUGAAGAUCCCCGGUUACUCAAUAGUAAAUACUAGCGGAGUACAGUCAACUCUUAUUCACAGCCAAAGAACACCAAAAAUUCAAAAUAACACAAAAAUCAAAAGAAAAUUUGUAGCCGCUAGCCUCAUUUUCAAACAUGGAGAACUAAGGUUAAUAACAAGACCAAUUCACAUGAAAAUGCCAACAAUCAUUCCCUAUGCCUAGGAAAGUUAACCAAAAAUUAUAAAAGUCAUGCAGUCGUCGAUAUUCACCACAGAGAUGUUCUUGAAUUCAACCACAUUAACUUGAUACCCUUUUAUUAUUAAAACUUGGCAAUAGCAGAAUUAGAGACAACAAUCCAACAUCAAACUUUGGUAUUCACAUGAGAGCUAAGCACUAAAAAGAAAGAAAGAGACUAAACGAAAGAUAGACAAAUAACAAACUAGAAAUAAAGGAAAAACCCCUAAAAACUAAAACUACAAAAACUAUAACCACAACUGAUCCCCCCACACCUAAAUGACAAAUUGCCCUCAAUGUGACAAAUAAACAGUAAUAGCAAGAAGAAGGGCAACGGUACCUCCCAGAGGUCGUCAACACAUCGGCGAGUGAGGCCCAAAAGGAGGAGGAAAGACGACGUGCUGCAUAAAUGCCGCUAGUUUCUGGGCAAUAUUGGCCACAAUGGCGUCAAUAUUCUUCACUCCGGCAUCCAAAGUGUCAACCUGCUAACAUUAGCAAUUGAUCCAAGAAAUGGCAACUCCAGCAACACCAGUUCAGAAGUUGGACAGAAAUAACUCAAUCACAAAUGCCCAGUGGUCACAACUCGUUCAAUUAGGCAACCAAUAACACAAGAUUAACAAAUGCUAAACAACCACCAUCGCCAGUACCACCGGUGAAUGCACAGGGAAAAAUUAAAUCAAAUGGCUAGCCCAAAUCACUUGAUAAAUCCAAACAUACCACUCAGUACCAAGGAAUAGUAGAGAUUAGAACGGGAAUCAAUUGACAAGUAACUCCCUAAAUCGCCCCCAAAUAAUGCACCAAUUUUACUCAACGGGACUAGGGAUAGUGCUAGUGCUCGAAUAAAUCAACAAAUGUCUCCAAUUCAAGAAAUCAACAACUCAACUUAACAGCACUGAGGAAGCUCGCAACGGCUACUAGAAUGUCUCACGGAGCAAAUGAACCACAAAGCCUUCAACGGAGCCCCAAAAAUUGACAACUAAGAAUGCGAAAGACUAAAGGGCAACUCGGAAACAGAGGGACUCGGAGGUACCUGCCCACUGCCCAACGGUGUCAUUGGUGACAGUGGGUAGCGGAACCGGCAAAGGGCGGCGGCGGCGAUCGCGACUAGGAGAGUAGGGGCUGCGAUGAGCUGGUGGAUGUGUACCAGCGAGGUGGAGAGGCGCGCGAGGCUUGUCACAGCGACGAGCUGGGUUGCCACGGCUGGAGUGUGACGGCGGCGAACGAGGUGGAUGAAUCGCGCGUGGUGGAGAGGAGGAGCGGCCGCCGCUUAGCAACCGUGGGCUGACAGAGUCAGCUGUGGACGACGCGCGGCACACAAGCAGCGGCGGUGGUGGUCGUGUGACUGUAGGCCGGGGGCAGCAUGCGUCGCUCGGCAUUGGUCGCGGUGAAGGAGAUGGCGGUGGGCACGAGGUGUGCUCGGCCGAAAGAAAAGAAGAAACAGGGGAGAAGAAAGAAAAAAAGAGAAAGAAAGAAGAAGAAAGAAAUGAAAGAAAGAAAAAGAAAGAAAAAGAAAAGGAAAGGAAGGAAAAGAAAAAGAAAAUAGUAUUUGUGUUUUUUCUUUUUUUUUUUUGCUUUUUCGUUUUUCUUUCAUUUUAGAAAAUUUUUUUUUUGUUUUUAUGGAAAGACUCCCUAUUUUUUUCUCCUUGUUACUUACUUGAAAAUUUUUUUUUUGAAAAUUUUUUUUUGAAUAUAUCAUUUUUUUAUUAUUACUGACAAAAUUUAUUUUUGGACUUCAAAAGUAGGGAUUAACAGAAAAUCAAUAAUCGUUCUUGAAUUUUUUUUGAAUACUUACCUUUCCCGCGAACAUGACGCGGGCACGUCAUGAAGGCACGGAAUCUGGAGCUUUUCAGGUUAAUUGACGCGGGCACGUCAAAAGGGUAGGAACCCUUUUUGAUGAAUCUGACCGUGAGCUCUUCAUACGUCAUGACGCGGGCACGUCAUGAGGGCAAGAACCCCUUCUGACAAUUUUGACCGUGAGCUCUUCAUACGUCAUGACGCGGGCGCGUCAUAUCAGAGGGAUGCCUGUGAAUCAUCAAAAAUGAAAAUUAAAGCCAAAAAUCAGCCAAAUCUAAGGAAAAAUAUAUUUAAACUAACGAACAAAAAAUGAACAAAUAUCUAAAAGAAAUUGGGUUGCCUCCCAAUGAGCGCCCUUCUUUAAUGUCUUUGACUAGACAUUAUCAUGCUUUGUUCAUGAAGGAUAAAAUCUUGUGGCUCGUCUUAAUGCUUCAUCCUCUAUAUAGUCCUGAUAGCCCUCGUAAAUAAGUAAUCCUUGAGCACAUGAGUUACAGACAUCCAUGGACUAGUAAAUGGCGCUAAACAAGUCAACGAUAACUUGCAUUCUCCAUUCACUCCUCCCUCACUUGCAUUUAUUGGUUCAAGAUAUCUUGUUGUCGCCACUCUAAUUUUAUUCCUGUCAUGAAAUUCAAAAUUUUCUGGUAUAAUAAAGUCAAUUUCAUUAACAGGAAUUGAAGAAUAAGAGUCAGGAGAAUAUUGAUGAAGGAUUGGAGGAGAUGUCACCGCAUUUGGUGAUUGUUCACUGGAUUCAUUCACUUGAAUGAGUUGAUCCUGGAGUCUCAUUUCUUGCACUUCAGCUUCCUUUUCAACUGCAUCUUUAAACCCAUUUUUUUGAAACUCUUGUAAUUCCAUGUCUUUUGGCCGGAUAAUUGCACUUUCAUCUUCUUCAAGGUUGAUAUUGAUUUGUGAGGGCAAUUCAUCAAGGUGAGAAGCUAAUCGCGCUAUCCUGGAUGUCAAUUGGUUCAUUUGAUCCGCUAGGUUACGCAUGCUCGCUUGUGUCUCCUGAUGAAAUCAAUAUGUAUUAGUAGCGAAUAAUUCAAUCAAUUCCUGAAGAAACAUACCUGACAUGGAUGAUGGUUGUUGAGACUCUUGCUGUUGAAAAUCUAUCGGCCCGAUCGCACAAUUAAAAUUGGAAUCAUCCCACCAUCCUUGAUCAUACCUAUUUGGGUAAGGGUCAUACCACGUUUGAAAUCGAGGUGAAAAAUCUCCAAAAGUAUCAAUUCGAGCACUUAGAUUAUCUUGAAAUGCAGGGCAUGUGUCGGUUGAAUAACCUGAGGUAAAAUAAGUUCCACAAUUUGUAACAGCCCAUUGAUCAUUAGGAAAAACACGAGUCUCAUAACCCUAUUCAGGAAUAAAGUCCAGUCUAUCAUCAAAAUACGGAAUGUUAGCAGCCAUAAACUAAAAAAAAAAUUAGGAAAAAAUUAAAAAAAAAUAUGAACACAAGAUGAACUCAAAAAGAAACAAAUUAAUCCAGCACCAGUCCCCGGCAACGGCGACAAAAAUUGACAGGUUGUCGAAGUCUGUGCAAUAAUAAAAACCUACUCAAACUAAAAAAAAUUUCUGUAGGUAGCGGUGAGUAGGGUCGAAUCCACAAGAAAUGGAAGUAAUUGUUUCUUUUCAAAUUCACAGUGACAAGGGGGUGUUUUUGUGCAGACGGUGACAAUCAAAGAAAUUCAACUAAAAUCUAAGAAGCUACUAGAAAUUAAAUAACAAAUUACUAAAAUCAAAUGGGUGAUAAUUAAGGAUCUAACCAAGAAAUAACUUCAGCAAUGGUUCACCUAAUUGAUCAUCGAUGCAAAGCCAAUUCCAAUUAUUUACCAAUAAAUAGGUUAUAACUGCCAAACAAGCGAUGACAGUCAAACCCUCCUUACUGUGUCGGUGAUUAAGGUACGCCCGUUAAUCACUACUCUAAUUGAGAAAUAAUCCUAGGUACGCACAUAAGAUUUAAUUUCCCAAUUACCUUACGUAUUAGAGGAGCCCUAUUCCAACCAAAUAACGCACUACCAGGGUUAUUUUAGGUUAGCCCGCGUAUUCCCCUGACACAAACCCAAUCAUGCCAGUUAUCACUAUUUUGGGACAAUUAAACAAUUACGGAUUUAACGUCCCAAUUGACAAUAGAUUAUUAAAUUAACUAAUUAUUCGGAUCCAAAAUAAUCAAUUAUUUAAAUAAUCAUAAGCACUACAAUCAAGGAAUAUGCGAAUACCAAUAAAUAAAAGAAAAAGAUCAAAUUAAAUCGAUCUCACAAUUUUUAGGCGAACCAAAACCUCCGUUGUUCCUUGACUAGAGCGAAAAAAAUUAGUUCAUAUUGGAUGCAAAAAACCCACACAAAAUUGAAGAGAGAGCAGCGGCCAUCAAUUGGGUAAAUUCACGUCGUUGGAAUACUGUCGAAAAAGUGAAGGUAGAGGAAAUAAUUCGUGGCUUUGUUUUUGGUCUUCACAUCCGAGGAAGAAAGGCCAAUAUGAAUCCAAAAGGAAAGUCAAAGUUCCUAAGCUACGCUACAAGACGAAAAACUAAAGAAGACCAGAGGAUAGUGCUCCUCUCCUGCAAUCUUAAUUCCUAUUCUAUCUAAAUGCUCUCCAAUGUGCGGCGGCUCUCCUUCCGGAGAGGAAGAAGCCUCUGGACGCCCUCUCAGGUUUGCUUUCUUUUUCCUUUUUUAGUUGCUGUCUUCGGUCAAAAUUACCAAAAAGGUCUUGCAUCUCCUUGUUCCAAGAAUGCCCUUGAUUGCCUGCUAUUCGAACUCUUUCCGAUGACUGUCAAAUUGGCCUUUAUUGUGAUAUUUUUGCUCUACUCCCUGAAAUAAAUACAAAAUACUAAAAGUGAGUAGAAUCCAACAAUUAAUCCACACCAGAUCAGUUAAUAGGGGAAAUUAAUAAUAAAUUAAAUAGUAAAAUUGCAACCUAUCAAUUCCCCCACACCUAAACCAUGCUUGUCCUCAAGCAUGAUAACAGCAAACAAACCCAAUGUUUGACAAAGACUAUUGCCCUAUCUGUCAUAUUGCCAAGACACCAAGAAAAACAUAGAUUGAGUCUCAGUGAUCAAGAUCCAAGAAACAUCACUCCGGUUAGUUUCUAAACUACAAACUCCUCCAAUUUCAGGUUAACUAAUCUAAGAAAGAAGAAUGACACACAACAUUUAUCAGCAAAUAGUCCAACUAUUAACCAAAAUCUCAACAUUAAAUCCCUAAAUCGGCAAGCUGACUUUUAUUAUACACUAACACAACAUUCACUUUUUUUUCAUGUUUUCCUAUUUUUCUUUUUUUUUCUCUCUUUUUUUUUAAUAGUAACACAAGACUUAGUCUCUGGCCAUUGAAGCUUUUUGACGCGAACUUCGACAUUUGUCAGAUGAAAGAGCCCGGUUACUCAGCUCCUAUCGCCACGUGACCAAGCACUCAUAGCAAUUACUACUUUUUGAUGCGAGAAUCGACAGUUUUGGUGAAGAUCCCCGGUACUCGGUAGUAAAUACUAGCGGAGUACAGUCAACUCUUAUUCACAGCCAAAGAACACCAAAAAUUCAAAAUAACACAAAAAUCAAAAGAAAAUUUGUAGCCGCUAGCCUCAUUUUCAAACAUGGAGAACUAAGGUUAAUAACAAGACCAAUUCACAUGAAAAUGCCAACAAUCAUUCCCUAUGCCUAGGAAAGUUAACCAAAAAUUAUAAAAGUCACGCAGUCGUCGAUAUUCACCACAGAGAUGUUCUUGAAUUCAACCACAUUAACUUGAUACCCUUUUAUUAUUAAAACUUGGCAAUAGCAGAAUUAGAGACAACAAUCCAACAUCAAACUUUGGUAUUCACAUGAGAGCUAAGCACUAAAAAGAAAGAAAGAGACUAAACGAAAGAUAGACAAAUAACAAACUAGAAAUAAAGGAAAAACCCCUAAAAACUAAAAACUACAAAAAACUAUAACCACAACUGAUCCCCCCACACCUAAAUGACAAUUGCCCUCAAUGUGACAAAUAAACAGUAAUAGCAAGAAGAAGGGCAACGGUACUCCCAGAGGUCGUCAACACAUCGCGAGUGAGGCCCAAAAGGAGGAGGAAAGACGACGGCUGCAUAAAUGCCGCUAGUUUCUGGGCAAUAUUGGCCACAUUGGCGUCAAUAUUCUUCACUCCAGCAUCCAAAGUGUCAACCUGCUAACAUUAGCAAUUGAUCCAAGAAAUGGCAACUCCAGCAACACCAGUUCAGAAGUUGGACAGAAAUAACUCAAUCACAAAUGCCCAGUGGUCACAACUCGAUCAAUUAGGCAACCAAUAACACAAGAUUAACAAAUGCUAAACAACCACCAUCGCCAGUACCACCGUGAAUGCACAGGGAAAAAUUAAAUCAAAUGGCUAGCCCAAAUCACUUGAUAAAUCCAAACAUACCACUCAUACCAAGGAAUAGUAGAGAUUAGAACGGGAAUCAAUUGACAAGUAACUCCCUAAAUCGCCCCCAAAUAAUGCACCAAUUUUACUCAACGGGACUAGGGAUAGUGCUAGUGCUCGAAUAAAUCAACAAAUGUCUCCAAUUCAAGAAAUCAACAACUCAACUUAACAGCACUGAGGAAGCUCGCAACGGCUACUAGAAUGUCUCACGGAGCAAAUGAACCACAAAGCCUUCAACGGAGCCCCAAAAAUUGACAACUAAGAAUGCGAAAGACUAAAGGGCAACUCGGAAACAGAGGGACUCGGAGGUACCUGCCCACUGCCAACGGUGUCAUUGGUGACAGUGGGUAGCGGAACCGGCAAAGGGCGGCGGCGGCGAUCGCGACUAGGAGAGUAGGGGCUGCGAUGAGCUGGUGGAUGUGUACCAGCGAGGUGGAGAGGCGCGCGAGGCUUGUCACAGCGACGAGCUGGGUUGCCACGGCUGGAGUGUGACGGCGGCGAACGAGGUGGAUGAAUCGCGCGUGGUGGAGAGGAGGAGCGGCCGCCGCUGUUGGCAACCGUGGGCUGACAGAGUCAGCUGUGGACGACGCGCGGCACACAAGCAGCGGCGGUGGUGGUCGUGUGACUGUAGGCCGGGGGCAGCAUGCGUCGCUCGGCAUUGGUCGCGGGUGAAGGAGAUGGCGGUGGGCACGAGGUGUGCUCGGCCGAAAGAAAAGAAGAAACAGGGAGAAGAAAGAAAGAAAAGAGAAAGAAAGAAGAAGAAAGAAAUGAAAGAAAGAAAAAGAAAGAAAAAGAAAAGGAAAGGAAGGAAAAGAAAAAGAAAAUAGUAUUUGUGCUUUUUUCUUUUUUUUUUUUGCUUUUUCGUUUUUUCUUUCAUUUUAGAAAAUUUUUUUUUGUUUUUAUGGAAAGACUCCCUAUUUUUUUCUCCUUGUUACUUACUUGAAAAUUUUGUUUUUUGAAAAUUUUUUUUUGAAUAUAUCAUUUUUUUUAUUAUUACUGACAAAAUUUAUUUUUGGACUUCAAAAGUAGGGAUUAACAGAAAAUCAAUAAUCGUUCUUGAAUUUUUUUUGAAUACUUACCUUUCCGCGAACAUGACGCGGCACGUCAUGAAGGCACGGAAUCUGGAGCUUUUCAGGUUAAUUGACGCGCGGGCACGUCAAAAGGGUAGGAACCCUUUUUGAUGAAUCUGACCGUGAGCUCUUCAUACGUCAUGACGCGGGCACGUCAUGAGGGCAAGAACCCCUUCUGACAAUUUUGACCGUGAGCUCUUCAUACGUCAUGACGCGGGCGCGUCAUAUCAGAGGGAUGCCUGUGAAUCAUCAAAAAUGAAAAUUAAAGCCAAAAAUCAGCCAAAUCUAAGGAAAAAUAUAUUUAAACUAACGAACAAAAAAUGAACAAAUAUCUAAAAGAAAUUGGGUUGCCUCCCAAUGAGCGCCCUUCUUUAAUGUCUUUGACUAGACAUUAUCAUGCUUUGUUCGUGAAGGAUAAAAUCUUGUGGCUCGUCUUAAUGCUUCAUCCUCUAUAUAGUCCUGAUAGCCCUCGUAAAUAAAGUAAUCCUUGAGCACAUGAGUUACAGACAUCCAUGGACUAGUAAAUGGCGCUAAACAAGUCAACGAUAACUUGCAUUCUCCAUUCACUCCUCCCUCACUUGCAUUUAUUGGUUCAAGAUAUCUUGUUGUCGCCACUCUAAUUUUAUUCCUGUCAUGAAAUUCAAAAUUUUCUGGUAUAAUAAAGUCAAUUUCAUUAACAGGAAUUGAAGAAUAAGAGUCAGGAGAAUAUUGAUGAAGGAUUGGAGGAUGUCACCGCAUUUGUGAUUGUUCACUGGAUUCAUUCACUUGAAUGAGUUGAUCCUGGAGUCUCAUUUCUUGCACUUCAGCUUCCUUUUCAACUGCAUCUUUAAACCCAUUUUUUUGAAACUCUUGUAAUUCCAUGUCUUUUGGCCGGAUAAUUGCACUUUCAUCUUCUUCAAGGUUGAUAUUGAUUUGUGAGGGCAAUUCAUCAAGGUGAGAAGCUAAUCGCGCUAUCCUGGAUGUCAAUUGGUUCAUUUGAUCCGCUAGGUUACGCAUGCUCGCUUGUGUCUCCUGAUGAAAUCAAUAUGUAUUAGUAGCGAAUAAUUCAAUCAAUUCCUGAAGAAACAUACCUGACAUGGAUGAUGGUUGUUGAGACUCUUGCUGUUGAAAAUCUAUCGGCCCGAUCGCACAAUUAAAAUUGGAAUCAUCCCACCAUCCUUGAUCAUACCUAUUUGGGUAAGGGUCAUACCACGUUUGAAAUCGAGGUGAAAAAUCUCCAAAAGUAUCAAUUCGAGCACUUAGAUUAUCUUGAAAUGCAGGGCAUGUGUCGGUUGAAUAACCUGAGGUAAAAUAAGUUCCACAAUUUGUAACAGCCCAUUGAUCAUUAGGAAAAACACGAGUCUCAUAACCCUAUUCAGGAAUAAAGUCCAGUCUAUCAUCAAAAUACGGAAUGUUAGCAGCCAUAAACUAAAAAAAAAAAUUAGGAAAAAAUUAAAAAAAAAUAUGAACACAAGAUGAACUCAAAAAGAAACAAAUUAAUCCAGCACCAGUCCCCGGCAACGGCGACAAAAAUUGACAGGUUGUCGAAGUCUGUGCAAUAAUAAAAACCUACUCAAACUAAAAAAAAUUUCUGUAGGUAGCGGUGAGUAGGGUCGAAUCCACAAGAAAUGGAAGUAAUUGUUUCUUUUCAAAUUCACAGUGACAAGGGGGUGUUUUUGUGCAGACGGUGACAAUCAAAGAAAUUCAACUAAAAUCUAAGAAGCUACUAGAAAUUAAAUAACAAAUUACUAAAAUCAAAUGGGUGAUAAUUAAGGAUCUAACCAAGAAAUAACUUCAGCAAUGGUUCACCUAAUUGAUCAUCGAUGCAAAGCCAAUUCCAAUUAUUUACCAAUAAAUAGGUUAUAACUGCCAAACAAGCGAUGACAGUCAAACCCUCCUUACUGUGUCGGUGAUUAAGGUACGCCCGUUAAUCACUACUCUAAUUGAGAAAUAAUCCUAGGUACGCACAUAAGAUUUAAUUUCCCAAUUACCUUACGUAUUAGAGGAGCCCUAUUCCAACCAAAUAACGCACUACCAGGGUUAUUUUAGGUUAGCCCGCGUAUUCCCCUGACACAAACCCAAUCAUGCCAGUUAUCACUAUUUUGGGACAAUUAAACAAUUACGGAUUUAACGUCCCAAUUGACAAUAGAUUAUUAAAUUAACUAAUUAUUCGGAUCCAAAAUAAUCAAUUAUUUAAAUAAUCAUAAGCACUACAAUCAAGGAAUAUGCGAAUACCAAUAAAUAAAAGAAAAAGAUCAAAUUAAAUCGAUCUCACAAUUUUUAGGCGAACCAAAACCUCCGUUGUUCCUUGACUAGAGCGAAAAAAAUUAGUUCAUAUUGGAUGCAAAAAACCCACACAAAAUUGAAGAGAGAGCAGCGGCCAUCAAUUGGGUAAAUUCACGUCGUUGGAAUACUGUCGAAAAAGUGAAGGUAGAGGAAAUAAUUCGUGGCUUUGUUUUUGGUCUUCACAUCCGAGGAAGAAAGGCCAAUAUGAAUCCAAAAGGAAAGUCAAAGUUCCUAAGCUACGCUACAAGACGAAAAACUAAAGAAGACCAGAGGAUAGUGCUCCUCUCCUGCAAUCUUAAUUCCUAUUCUAUCUAAAUGCUCUCCAAUGUGCGGCGGCUCUCCUUCCGGAGAGGAAGAAGCCUCUGGACGCCUCUCAGGUUUGCUUUCUUUUCCUUUUUUAGUUGCUGUCUUCGGUCAAAAUUACCAAAAAGGUCUUGCAUCUCCUUGUUCCAAGAAUGCCCUUGAUUGCCUGCUAUUCGAACUCUUUCCCAUGACUGUCAAUUGGCCUUUAUUGUGAUAUUUUUGCUCUACUCCCUGAAAUAUACAAAAUACUAAAAGUGAGUAGAAUCCAACAAUUAAUCCACACCAGAUCAGUUAAUAGGGAAAUUAAUAAUAAAUAAAUAGUAAAAUUGCAACCUAUCAAUUCCCCCAACCUAAACCAUGCUUGUCCUCAAGCAUGAUAACAGCAAAAAACCCAAUGUUUGACAAAGACUAUUGCCCUAUCUGUCAUAUUGCCAAGACACCAAGAAAAACAUAGAUUGAGUCUCAGUGAUCAGAUCCAAGAAACAUCACUCCGGUUAGUUUCUAAACUACAAACUCCUCCAAUUUCAGGUUAACUAAUCUAAGAAAGAAGAAUGACACACAACAUUUAUCAGCAAAUAGUCCAACUAUUAACCAAAAUCUCAACAUUAAAUCCCUAAAUCGCAAGCUGACUUUUAUUAUACACUAACACAACAUUCACUUUUUUUCAUGUUUUCCUAUUUUUCUUUUUUUUCUCUCUUUUUUUUUAAUAGUACACAAGACUUAGUCUCUGGCCAUUGAAGCUUUUUGACGCGAACUUCGACAUUUGUCAGAUGAAAGAGCCGGUUACUCAGCUCCUAUCGCCACGUGACCAAGCACUCAUAGCAAUUACUACUUUUUGACGCGAGAAUCGACAGUUUUGGUGAAGAUCCCGGUACUCGGUAGUAAAUACUAGCGGAGUACAGUCAACUCUUAUUCACAGUCAAAGAACACAAAAAAUUCAAAAUAACACAAGAAUCAAAAGAAAAUUUGUAGCCGCUAGCCUCAUUUUCAAACAUGGAGAACUAAGGUUAAUAAACGACCAAUUCACAUGAAAAUGCCAACAAUCAUUCCCUAUGCUAGGAAAGUUAACCAAAAAUUAUAAAAGUCACCAGUCGUCGAUAUUCACCACAGAGAUGUUCUUGAAUUCAACCACAUUAACUUGAUACCCUUUUUUAUUAAAACUUGGCAAUAGCAGAAUUAGAGACAACAAUCCAACAUCAAACUUUGGUAUUCACAUGAGAGCUAAGCACUAAAAAAAGAAAGAAAGAGACUAAACGAAAGAUAGACAAAUAACAAACUAGAAAUAAAGGAAAAACCCCUAAAACUAAAAACUACUAAAACUAGAACCACAACUAUCCCCCCCACACCUAAAAUGACAAUUGCCUCAAUGUGACGAAAAAACAGUAAUAGCAAGAAGAAGGGCAACGGUACUUCCCUGAGUCGUCAACACAUCGGCGAGUGAGGCUCAAAAGGAGGAGGAAAGAUGACGUGCUGCAUAAAUGCCGCUAGUUUCUGGGCAAUAUUGCCCACAUUGGCGUCAAUAUUCUUCACUCCAGCAUCCAAAGUGUCAACCUGCUAACAUUAGCAAUUGAUCCAAGAAAUGGCAACUCCAGCAAUACCAGUUCAGAAGUUGGACAGAAAUAACUCAAUCACAAAUGCCCAGUGGUCACAACUCGAUCAAUUAGGCAACCAAUAACACAAGAUUAACAAAUGUUAAACAACCACCAUCGCCAGUACCACCGAUGAAUGCACAGGGAAAAAUUAAAUCAAAUGGCUAGCCCAAAUCACUUGAUAAAUCCAAACACACCACUCAAUACCAAGGAAUAGUAGAGAUUAGAACGGGAAUCAAUUGACAAGUAACUCCCUAAAUCGCCCCCAAAUAAUGCACCAAUUUUACUCAACGGGACUAGGGAUAGUGCUAGUGCUCGAAUAAAUCAACAAAUGUCUCCAAUUCAAGAAAUCAACAACUCAACUUAACAGCACUGAGGAAGCUCGCAACGGCUACUAGAAUGUCUCACGGAGCAAAUGAACCACAAAGCCUUCAACGGAGCCCCAAAAAUUGACAACUAAGAAUGCGAAAGACUAAAGGGCAACUCGGAAACAGAUGGACUCAGAGGUACCUGCCCACUGCCCAACGGUGUCGUUGGUGGCAGUGGGUAGCGGAACCGGCAAGGGGCGGCGGCGGCGGUCGCGACUAGGAGAGUAGGGGCUGUGAUGAGCUGGUGGAUGUGUACUGGCGAGGUGGAGAGGCGCGCGAGGCUUGUUACUGCGACGAGCUGGGUUGCCACGGCUGGAGUGCGACGGCGGCGAACGAGGUGGAUGAAUCGCGCGUGGUGGAGAGGAGGAGCGACCGCCGCUGUUGGCGGCCGUGGGCUGACAGAGUCGGCUGUGGACGACGCGCGGCACACGAGAAGCGGCGGUGGUGGUCGUGUGACUGUAGGCCGGGGCAGCGUGCGUCGUCGCACGGCAUUGGUCGCGGUGAAGGAGAUGGCGGUGGGCAUGACGUGUGCUCGGCCGAAAGAGAAGAAGAAACAGAGGAGAAGAAAGAAAGAAAAGAGAAAGAAAGAAGAAGAAAGAAAGAAGAAAGAAAAAGGAAAGGAAAGGAAGGAAAAGAAAAAGAAAAUAGUAUUUGUGUUUUUUCUUUUUUUUUUUUGCUUUUUCGUUAUUUUUUCAUUUUAGAAAUUUUUUUUUUGUUUUUUUGGAAAGAGUCCCUAUUUUUUUCUCCUUGUUACUUACUUGAAAAUUUUAUUUUUUGAAAAUUUUUUUUUGAAUAUAUCAUUUUUUUUUAUUAUUAUUGACAAAUUUUAUUUUUGGACUUCAAAAGUAGGGAUUAACAGAAAAUCAAUAAUCGUUCUUGAUUUUUUUUUGAAUACUUACCUUUCCAGCGAACAUGACGCGGGCACGUCAAGAGGGUAGGAACCCUUUUUGACGAAUCUGACCGUGAGCUCUUCAUACGUCAUGACGCGGGCACGUCAAAAGGGCAAGAACCUCUUCUGACGAUUUUGACCGUGAGCUCUUCACACGUCAUGACGUGGGCGCGUCAUAUCAGAGGGAUGCCUGUGAAUCAUCAAAAACGAAAAUUAAAGCAAAAAAUCAGUCAAAUCCAAGGAAAAUAUAUUUAAACUAACGAACAAAAAUGAACAAAUAACUAAAAGAAAUUGGGUUGCAUCCCAAUGAGCGCCCUUCUUUAAUGUCUUUGGCUAGACAUUAUCAUGCUUUGUUCAUGAAAGAUAAAUCUUGUGCCUCGUCUUAAUGCUUCAUCCUCUACAUGGUCCUGAUAGCCCUCGUAAAUAGAGUAAUCCUUGGCACAUGAGUUAUAGGUAUCCAUGGACUAGUAAAUGGCACUAAACAAGUCAACGAUAACUUGCAUUCUCCAUUCACUCCUCCCUCACUUGCAUUUAUUGGUUCAAGAUAUCUUGCCGUCGCCACUCUUAAUUUAUUCCUGUCAUGAAAUUCAAAAUUUUCUGGUAUAAUAAAGUCAAUUUCAUUAAUAGGAAUUGAAGAAUAAGAGUCAGGAGAAUAUUGGUGAAGGAGUGGAGGAGAUGUCACCGCAUUUGGAGAUUGUUCAUUGGAUUCAUUCACUUGAAUGAGUUGAUCCUGGAGUCUCAUUUCUUGCACUUCAGCUUCCUUAUCAACUACAUCUUUAAACCCGUUUUUUUUUAAACUCUUGCAGUUCCAUGUCAUUUGGCCGGAUAAUUGCACUCUCAUCUUCUUCAAGGUUGAUAUUGGUUUGUGAGGGCAAUUCUUCAAGGUGAGAAGCUAAUCGCGCUAUCCUGGAUGUCAAUUGGUUCAUCUGAUCCGUCAGGUUACGCAUGAUCGCUUGUGUCUCCUGAUGAAAUCAAUAUGUAUUAGUAGCAAAUAAUUCAAUCAAUUCCUGAAGAAACACACCUGACAUGGAUGAUGGUUGUUGAGACUCUUGCUGUUGAAAAUUCAUUGGCCCGAUCGCACAAUUAAAAUUGGAAUCAUCCCAUCAUCCUUGAUCAUACCUGUUUGGGUAAGGGUCAUACCACGUUUGAAAUCGAGGUGAAAAAUCUCCAAAAGUAUCAAUUGGAGCACUUAGAUUAUCUUGAAAUGCAGGGCAUGUGUCGGUUGAAUAACCUGAGGUAAAAUAAGUUUCACAAUUUGCAACAGCCCAUUGAUCAUUAGGAAAAACAUGAGUCUCAUAACCCCAUUCAGGAAUAAAGCCCAGUCUAUCAUCAAAAUACAGAAUGUUAGCAGCCAUAAACUAAAAAAAAAUAGAAAAAUAAAAUUAAAAAAAUAUGAAAACAAGAUGAACUCAAAAAGAAACAAAUUAAUCCGGCACCAGUCCCCUGCAACGGCGCCAAAAAUUGACAGGUUGUCAAAGCCUGUGCAAUAAUAAAAAUUUACUCAAACUAAAAGUAAUUUCUGUAGGUAGCGGUGAGCAGGGUCGAAUCCACUGGGACUGGGAGUAAUUGUUUCUUUUCAAAUUCACAGUGACAAGGGGGUGUUUUUGUGCAGAUGGUGACAAUCAAAGAAAUUCAACUAAAAUCUAAGAAGCUACUAGAAAUUAAAUAACAAAUUACUAAAAUCAAACGGGGUGAUAAUUAAGGAUCUAACCAAGAAAUAAUUUCAGCAAUGGUUCACCUAAUUGAUCAUCGAUUCAAAGCCAAUUCCAAUUAUUUACCAAUAAAUAGGUUAUAACAGCCAAACAAGCGAUGAUAGUCAACCUCUCCUUACUGUGUCGAUGAUUAAGGUACGCCCGUUAAUCACUACUCUAAUUGAGAAAUAAUUUUAGGUACGCCCAUAAGAUUUAAUUCUCCAAUUGUCUUAAGUAUUAGAGGAGCCCUAUUCUAACCAAAUAACGCACUACCAGGUUUAUUUUAGGUUAGCCCGCGUAUUCCCCUGAUACAAACCCAAUCAUGCCAGUUAUCACUAUUUUGGGACAAUUAAACAAUUACAAAUUUAACGUCCCAAUUGACAAUAGAUUAUUAAAUUAACUAAUUAUUCGGAUCCAAGACAAUCAAUUAAUUAAAUAAUCAUACGCACUACAAUCAAGGAAUAUGUAAAUACCAAUAAAUAAAGAAAAAGAUGAAAUUAAAUCGAUCUCACAAUUUUUAGACGAACCAAAGCCUCCGUUGUUCUUGACUAGAGCGAAAAAAAUUAGUUCAUAUUGGAUGCGAAAAACCCACACAAAAUUGAAGAGAGAGCAGCGGCCAUCAACUGGGUAAAUUCACGUCGUUGGAAUACUGUCGAAAAAGUGAAGGUAGAGGAAAUAAUUCGUGGCUUUGUUUUUGGUCUUCACAUCCGAGGAAGAAAGGCCAAUAUGAAUCCAAAAGGAAAGUCAAAGUUCCUAAGCUACGCUACAAGACGAAAACUAAAGAAUACCAGAGGAUAGUGCUCCUCUCCUGCAAUCUUAAUUCCUAUUCUAUCUAAAUGCUCUCCAAUGUGCGGCGGCUCUCCUUCCGGAGAGGAAGAAGCCUCUGGACGCCCUCUCAGGUUUGCUUUCUUUUUCCUUUUUUAGUUGCUGUCUUCGGUCAAAAUUACCAAAAAGGUCUUACAUCUCCUUGUUCCAAGAAUGCCCUUGAUUGCCUGCUAUUCGAACUCUUUCCCAAUGACUGUCAAAUUGGCCUUGAUUGUGAUAUUUUUGCUCUACUCCUGAAAUAAAUGCAAAAUAUUAAAAGUGAGUAGAAUCCAACAAUUAAUCCACCCCAGAUCAGGUAAUAGGGGAAAUUAAUAAUAAAUUAAAUAAUAAAAUUGCAACAUAUCAAAUUAUCUAAUCAAGAUCGAGUUUGAGUAAACCAGAGUUCAAGUUGAACUUGAAUACAAUCAUAAGCUACAAUCUGGAUGAGUGAUUGUGAACAUCACAUAAAUAGGUUAAAUCAAACUAAAAUCUGAAGUGAAAUCAAUUAGAAUUGUUAAUUGACGUGGGUGGUUAUUGGAAACAUAAUGGACACAGUGGCUUUAUAACCAGAAUUAAGAUUGUAGAUGAGUUAUCGAUGAUAUAAUUGAGGAAGCAACUUUUGAACCAGAAUCGAGAUUGUUGAUGAGUGAUCAAAAUUAUAAUUGAUAUAGUGGCUUUUUUAGAAUCGAGAUUACAGAUAAAUGAUAGAUAUUAAUCUUAAUCUAAAUGUAAUUGAAGUUGAGAUGAAAAUCAAUGAUAACUAAUGAUUAAUUACCUGUCAUAUAAUCGAAGUUGAGAUUAAAAAACAAUAAGUUAGGAUUACAAGUGUAGAUUGUGUUGGAUCCUUAAUCCAACAUUGGACUUAUAUGUGAAUAAUUAUGUGUUGUAAACUGUCAAUUAAGAUUAAACCCAAUUAAAGUAAUCAAUAUAGUUUGGGUUUAAUGUAUCUAAUAGGGUGUGGGCCUUUAAUGUAUAGAGACUUAAGGGCUCCUAUUUCUAUGAUGGGCUGAAAUAGGGUUCCAAAGGGUAACAGGAAUGUUACCUAUAAAUAGGGUCAUGGUCCCCAAGUCACACGUAUUCUUAUUUUGUCGUAUUCUCUAGUACCACAAAUAUAGUUCUUCCCUGAUAUCCCAUUGUCAGGAAAGAUACCAGAGAGAUACUAAAGGGCUCUCUUUAGAUUUGACAAAUACGUGUUGACCUGGAAGGCCACCCAAAAUCUCUAAGGAUUCAAGCACCAGUUUGUCAACAUGAAUCAAGGUACGCUUCCGCAAUUUUGUGUUAAUUACUUCUUAAUAAUCGCCAUAUAUAUCUUGGGUUUAACAGGUGAUGAUUUUCACCAAUGGUUAAAUUCAGAUAACCACCCUAACAAGUGGUAUCAGAGCCCAUAUGGUUGAUUAUUAGAAAAUAAUUUGGAUUUAGUAAUUCAUAAAAAAAAAACUAUGAUUGAUGUAGUUUUUCGUUUGCAUGGCUGAAAGAUUUUGUCCCGUGGUUGGUUAAUAUGCGCGUGAUUCGGCUUUGUGUUUUGGUCUUUUAUGAGUCGUUGUUUUUCAUGAAUCAAGUCAUGUUCCAUUGCCGUUCAUGUUCAGCCUUCAUGUCAUGGAAAGUCAGCUUGCAUGAAUAGAUAUUUUAAUGAAAUUCAUGUUGUUAUAUUGCAUUCAGUGGGCUCAACGGAUUGUUAGACACUAAUCAAUUGUUUUGCUAUGAUUACUGUGCUAAAAGACGAAAGCCAAAAUAGCUUUUGCUGUGACUUUUCAUUGUCUCUUCGGUCAAGCCUCACUGCAACCGAACUUUUGGUUGUUUGCUGUGAUGAUUUGGUUUGGUCAAUUUAAUAUUUAUUAUAUUGAUUCAUUUGUCAAUAAUUGGUUUUCAAUUGUUCAAUUGUCAAUAAUUGGACUCCUUGGCCUGUUUCAUUGUUUAUGAAUAUGUAAGUAUUUAUGUUAAGAAAAUUAGGAUUUCUUUAAUUUAAGUGAACCCUAAUAAAGUUAAAUAGGACAUUUAAACCCUAUAAAAUCCAUAUGUGUGGCCCAUUAAAUAUGUAGCUUUUAUAAAGCACUUAUGAAUUUCAAGAAAAUUUGUUGGGCUUGAAUGUUAAUUUUGGGUCAAUUUAUGGAUAUGGACCUUUGGUCCAAUAAGUCAUGAUUUAAUUUGAUUGAUUUGACCAUGUUUGACCACAUUUUGACCAAAGUUGACUUUUAAUCAAAAUUUUUAUUUAAUUUGGAUAAUUUUAAAUUUGAAUAUUGGUAUGAUUAUAUAUAUUUUGGAAUAAAUUAUUUGAAAUAAUAUGCCACCAAAGUGACCUCUAUUAUGGAAAUUAAUUUAUUUUAAAAUAUAAUUAGUUGGGUACUAGUAAUUUUAUGAAUAUUGAUAAGCCUAAAGGAAGGUCAAUAUUUAAUGAAAUUACAUGUGCACUUGUGGUAAUAAACAUGUGAUAAUUAUUCGGUUUUACAUGUGAAUUAUAAAUUGGCCCAAAGAAAAAUUUAUUUUUUGACAUGUUAUUAUUGUCAGUGUUUAUUACUGCGCCAAGAUAUCACUUAGAAGUUAAUAUUUUGUCCAAAGAUAAAAUAUUAAUGGAAUAUCGGUAUCUUGAGAUAGGGUUACCAUUAUUUAAAUUUAUUAUUAUUUUGAUUUAUGUGAGCAUAGUUUUAAUUAUUUUAUGUUUUCUAUUCAGUUGCAAAUGAUCUUACAAGUAUUACUACCAACAUCAAUGAUAUUCUUAUGUUGAAUGGCACAAAUUUCAAGUCCUGGAAAGAAAAUCUCUUGAUAGUACUUGGAAUAAUGGAUAUUGACCUUGCAUUAAGGGAUGAUUCUCCCCUACCUCUUACAGAUCAGAGUAUUUCUGAUGAAAAGAGGGAUAAGGAAAGGUGGGAGAGAUCAAAUCGCUUGUGUCUGAUGAUCAUUAAGAAAGCCGUUCCAGAAGCAUUCAGAGGAACAAUAUCAGAAACAAAUGUAACCGCUAAAGAGUUCCUUCAGGACAUUGAAAAAAGUUUUGUCAAGAACGAAAAGGUUGAAAUUAGUACGCUCUUGACACGCCUAGUUUCAAUGAAAUAUAGUGGUAAAGGCAAUAUCAGAGAAUACAUUAUGGAAAUGUCUCAUCUUACUUCAAAAUUAAAUGCACUUAAAUUGACACUCUCUGAAAAGUUACUAGUGCAUUUGAUUUUAAUAUAUCUUCCUACACAAUUUAGCCAGUUUAAGGUGAGUUACAACUGUCAAAAGGAGACUUGGUCUCUAAAUGAACUCAUCUCACACUGUGUAGAGGAAGAGAAAAGGUUGAAGCAAGAGCAGAUAGAAAGUGCCCAUUUGGUGUCAACCACUAAUAAUAAAAGCAAGGGACUUAAGAGAAAGAAGGAAAAAGAGCUGCAGGUACAGCGCCACAAAAGAAACAACAAAAGAAAUCAGAUAAUCAGGGAGAGAAUAGUUAUUUCUUCUGUGGAGCUUAAGGGCAUCAAAAGAAGCAUUGCACCAACUAUCAUGCUUGGCGUGCUAAGAAAGGUAUGCUUCUUAAUUUGGUUUGUUCUGAUGUUAAUUUAACUUCGGUACCUAGACACACAUGGUAGUUAAUUCUGGUGCAACAACUCACAUCAGUGUAUCUAUGCAGGGUUGCCUGAAUUGCCGAAAAUCUAAUGACAAUGAAAGAUAUAUCUACGUGAGCAUGGCAAAACAGUCCAAGUUGAGGCAAUUGGAGUUUUUAGAUUAUUGUUAAAGACCGGAUUUUAUUUGGAUUUCAAUGAAAUAUUUGUUGUAUCGUCUUUUAGGCGGAAUUUAAUUUCUAUUUCUGCUUUGGACAAAUUUGGUUAUUCCUGUUCAUUUGAAAUGGAAAAUUUGAAUUAUUUCAUGAUUCAAAAUUGGUUGGUUCUGGUUCUUUAAUGCACUACGAUAAUCUAUAUUUAAUUGAUACAAUUGCCUCAUUUAAUGAAUCUCUGCAUUUGAGUACUAGAGGAGUAAAGAGAAAAUUAACCAAUGAGAAUUCAGCCGCAUUAUGGCACAAGAGAUUGGGACAUAUCUCCAAACGGAGAAUAGAAAGACUUGUAUCAAAUGAAAUUCUCGACCCCUUGAAUUUCACAGAUUUUGAUGAUUGUUAACUGUAUAAAGGGGAAACAAACCAAUAAAAGGAGAUUUGAAAUCAAUAGGUUUUCAGAAGCUUAGAACUUAUACAUACGGAUAUUUGUGGGCCAUUUCUACAUCUGCUUGGAAUGGUCAACAAUAUUUUAUAACGUUCAUAACGAUUUUUCAAGAUAUGGCUACAUAUAUUUCAUUUUUGAAAAGUCACAGUCACUGGACGUGUUCAAAAAUUUUAAGGUUGAAGUUGAGAAUCAACUCAACAAAAGAAUUAAAAGCGUUAGAUCUGACCGUGGUGGUGAGUACUAUGGUAGAUAUGACGGUUCAGGUGAACAAUGUCCAGACCAUUUGCUAAAUACCUAGAGGAAUGCAGUAUCGUCCCACAGUACAUUAUGUCAGGUUCACCCAGUAUGAAUGGUGUAGUUGAAAGACGAAAUAGAACGCUUAAAGACAUGGUAAGAAGUAUGAUAUGUCACUUUACCUUACUAGAGUCACUCUGGGGAGAAGCACUUAAGACUGCAGCAUAUAUCCUUAACAGAGUUUCAACUAAAUCAACUAUCAAAACCCCUUAUGAGUUUUGGACAGGGAAAAAGCCCAGUUUAAAGCAUUUACAUAUUUGGAGAUGUCCAGUUGAGGCAAGGCCUUUAGGCCAAAUGAAAAGAAACUGGACUCAAGAACGAUUAGUUAUUAUUUUAUUGGAUACUCUGAAAGAUCCAGAGUUACAAGUUUUAUGAUCCCACAUCUAAAUUAAUUUUUGAGACAGGAAAUGCCCGAUUCUUUGAGGAUGUCGAGUUUGGGGAGAAAAUACAGUAAGGGACAUUGUCUUUAAAGAAAAAUAUAUUAAUAUUCCCACAGGUGUCAUUGCUCUUGCUCAGGACCCUAUCCCUGAACUUGAUCAUGAUAUGACAAAUCAAGACAAUGUCGAAGAGCAAACUGUUCCUCUCCAAGAACCAGUGUCAUUAAGAAGAUCCACUAGAGAAAGGAGAAGUGCAGUGCCAGAUGAUUACAUUAUUUUUCUCCAAGAACAUGAGGAUGACUUUGGAUUAAUGGAAGAUGAUCCAAUCAACUUCCGUCAAGCCAUGGAAAGUUCAAAUUCUCAAAAGUGGAUCGAUGCCAUGAAUGAGGAGAUUAAAUCCAUGAACGACAACGAUGUUUGGAUCUUGUCCCAUUGCCAGAAGGAGCGAAACCCAUUGGUUGUAAAUGGAUAUUUAAAAUCAAAAGGGAUUCGAGAGGCAAUGUGAAAAUAUACAAAACUCGUCUUGUCGCCAAGAGAUUUACACAAAAAGAAGUAUCGAUUAUAAAGAAACUUUCUCUCCAGUCUCUUCAAAGGACUCCUUUAAAGUUAUUAUGGCAUUGGUGGCGCAUUUCGAUCUUGAGUUACAUCAGAUGGAUGUAAAGACAGCGUUUCUCAAUGGUAACAUUGAUGAGACAAUUUAUAUGAUACAACCAGAAAACUUUGUAUCAGGAGAUCCAAAGAAUAUGGUUUGUAAACUUAAAAAAUCCAUCUAUGGGCUCAAACAAGCGUCUCGACAAUGGUAUUUCAAAUUUCAUCAAGUGAUUAUCUCAUUUGGUUUCGAGAUAAAUUUAGUGGAUGAUUGUAUAUACCAUAAGUUCUGUGCGAGCAAAUAUAUUUUUCUGGUAUUGCAUGUUGAUGAUAUUUUGCUUGCCAGCAACGAUAUUGAUCUAUUGCAUGAAACCAAGAAAUUUCUAAUUAAAAAUUUUGAGAUGAAAGAUCUUGGUGAUGCAUCUUUUGUGUUAGGUAUUCAAAUACACCGGGAUCGAUCUCGGGGUAUUUUAGAACUAUCACAAAAGGGCUAUAUUGAAAAGGUUUUAAAAGAGAUGGCAUGCAAAAUUAUAAAUCAGGUGACAUCCCUGUGACUAAAGGAAACAAAUUUAAUCUUGAACAGUGUCCCAAUAAUGCUUUUGAGGAAAAAGAAUGCAAAAUUCCUUAUGCAUCAGCAGUAGGGAGUCUAAUGUAUGCUCAAGUAUGUACGCGUCCGGAUAUUGUGUACAUUACUGGAAUGUUGGGUAGAUAUUUGAGUAAUCUAGAUUAGAUCAUUGGUAAGCAACCAAACGGGUCUUACGAUAUCUACAGAAAACAAAGGAUUACAUGCUCACGUAUCGGAAGUCAGAUGAGUUAGAGAUCAUCGGGUAUACUGAUUCCGAUUAUGCUGGAGCAAAGAUACUAUGAAAUCAACGUCAGGAUAUGUCUACUUGUUGGUUGGAGGUGCCAUAUCCUGAAAGAGUGCUAAACAGUCCAUCACUUUGGGGGGCAUUUAACCUUCACUAGACCCGCUGAUCAGCUGAGAUAUGUUAAGGUCUGUGAGAGGAGUAUCAUAUCCUGCAAGUGUUGUAAGAAACUUGUUAUGAUUGCCCUAGGUCUACGGGAGGAGGUCGAGCAGAUGUUUACCGCCAUCGGGUGACGUUCUUAUCUUGAUAUCUUCUAUCCCACCUUAAAUUUUACUCCACUUUCGAGUUUGAGUUGCCUACGAGGUACACCGUUAAGACCCCAAAUGUCAUUCAUUUCCGUCUAAUGGGUCAGGAGUUCAAUUUCUCCAUUACACAAUUUAACAUUUAAUCUGGCAUUAUUCAUUACUCGGGAGUAUGCGGAGACUAGGGAGUACGCUGAGAGUGCCUGUGACUACGUGGAGCCAUUUCUAUCCUCCUACCACGAUGUGUGGAGGGACAUGUCUAUCGACAGGCACUGUUAUGACCCUUCUCGGUCUAGGAGCUCCUAUCUUAAGGACCCGAGUGCCCGAUAUGUUCAGCGAUUUCUGGCCUACAGUUAUUUGGGUCGCAAAGAUAGCUCGGGUGUACUCUCCCGACCCGAUUUCUUCUUCAUCUGGUGUAUGAAGAACAAUGUCAAUAUGAAUCUAGGGUGUUGGUUAACGGCACAGUUCAAGACCGUUUUACCAAAAAAGAACAAACCCCUGAUCCUCGGUCCUACAUCACACACUUGCAGUACAGUUGGGGUUCUUAAUCUGGAGAACCACGACCUUCAUUUGGCGUUUGACAUGAAACUUCUCAAUGUGGAGAGCUUGGAGAGGAUGGGCGUUCUUGAGUACGUCAAUGGUUCAUACCGGUUCACUCCUCCGGGACCUCCUCGCGCUCCCCGCGCUCCCCCCGCGCCCCUGGUUUGCUUGUUCGUCCUCGAUUGGCGAUGACGACGGCCCGUCUACCUCCGCUCCGCCUCCUCCAUCCCCAGGGGCUGCUGAAUGGCAACAAUUCCGGACGUAGGUUCAGAAUUUGGAAGCUCAGAUGACCAACAUCGAUGCUAACGUGCAUAGCAUGGCGCAGCAUUUGGCAGCAUUCAUGCAUCAUGCGGGUCUUACGCCUCAAUUUGGUUAUCACCCACCACUUUGACCCGACUUCAGGGAAGUUUUGUUACCCUUUCUCCUACUUUUGAUGCUUAUUUGCUACAUUGAGGGCAAUGCAUCAUUUAGGUAUGGGGGGAUCAGUUGUGGUUCUAGUUUUUAGUAGUUUUUAGUUGUUAGAUGUUUUUCCUUUAUUUCUAGUUUGUUAUUUGUCUAUCUUUCUUUCAUUUUCUUUCUUUCUUUUUAGUGCUUAACUCUCAUGUGAAUACCAAGGUUUGAUGUUGGGUUAUUGACUCUAAUUCUACUAUUGUCAAGUUUUAAUAAUAAAAGUGUAUCUAAUUAAUGUGGUUGAGUUCAGAACGUCUCUUUGGUGAAUAUCAGUGAUUGCUUGACUCUUUUGAUUUCUUUGUUAACUUUUCUAGGUAUAGGGAAUGGUUGUUGGCAUUUUCAUGUGAAUUAGUCCAAUAUUAACUUUAGUUCUUCAUAUUUGAAGAAAUGAGGCUAGCGGCUGCUAUUUUUGUUUUCUUUUGCUAUGUUAUUUUGAGUUAUUGUGUUAUCUGGCUGUGAAAUAAAGUUGACUGUACUCCGCUAGUCAUUACUACUGAGUAACUGGGGGUCUUCACUAAAAGUGUUGAUUCUCGCGUCAAAAGAUAGUAAUUUCUAUGAGUAUGUGGUCGUAUAGCGAUAGGAACUAAAUAAUCGAGUUCCUUCAUCUGAAAAAUGUUGGAGUUCGCGUCAAAAGGCUCCAAUGGCUGGAGACUAAGUCUUUUGUGCUAUUUUAAACAAAAAAAAAAGAAAAAAUAAAUAAUGAGAAAAAAGAGUAUAGGUUGUGUUAGUGUGUGAUAGAAGUCAACUUGCCGACUUAUGGAUUUAAUGUUGAGAUUUUGGUUAAUAUUUGGAGCAUUUGUUGAUAAAUGUUAUGCGCCAUUUCUUUUUCUUAGAUUUGUUAACUUGGAAUUGAAGGAGUUUGUGAUUUAGAAACUAACCUGAGUGAUGUUUCUCGGAUUUUGAUCACUGAUGCUUGAUAUAUGAUUUUCUUGAUAUCUUGGUAAUAUGGUAGAUAGAGCAAUAGCCAUUGUCAAAUAUUGGUGUUUGUUUACUAUUCUUAUACUUGAGAACAAGCAUGGUUUAGGUGUGAGGGAAAUUGAUAGGUUACAAUUUUUUUAUUUAUUUUAUUAUUAAUUUUCCCUAUUACCUGACCCGAUGUGGAUUAAUUAUUGGAUUCUAGGCACUUUUAGUAUUUUACAUUUAUUUCAGGGAGUAGAACGAAAAUAUGAUAACAAGUGCCAAUUUGAUAGGAAAGGAGUCCAAGUAACAGAGCUUAUCCCAGGGGCAUUUUUGGAAAAAGAAAACUUUUUCCCAUUUUGGUAAUUGCUGACCCGAUAUGGAUUAAUUGUUGGAUUCUACUCACUUUUAGUAUUUUACAUUUAUUUCAGGGAGUAUAACGAAAAUAUGAUAACAAGUGCCAAUUUGACAGGAAAGGAGUCCAAGUAACAGAGCUUAUCCCAGGGGCAUUUUUGGAAAAGGAAAACUUUUUCCCAUUUUGGGUAAUUGCUGAAGAGGGCAGCGGACGGCAGGGACUUCAUCAUUCCUUGGAGGGCAAAAAGCCGCCGUACAGGGCGAGACUUAGGAAAGCAUUAGAGUAGCUAGGUAUUAGAUAGAAAGGAGAUUGAGGAAUGAAGAACUGGCACUAUCCUUUUAGCUUUUCUUUUGGCUUUUCCCUUGGGACGUGGGUGGAUUUCUCCUACGCAUGACAGGAGCAAGAUUGGGAGAACUUUGACUUUUCUUCCUUUUAGCUUUUAGUAGUUCCUUUUCUUUCUUCGAAUGUCAGACGAAGUGAAUGAUUAAUCAAUGGCCGCGGCUUUCUCUUCAAUUUUGUAUGGGUUUUUCGCAUCAAAUAUGAACUAAUUUCUUCACUCUAGUUAAAGAGCAACGGAGGCUUUGGUUCACCUAAAAAUUGUGAGAUCGAUUUAAUUUAAUUUUUUUCUUUUAUUUAUUGGCAUUCGCAUAUCCCUUGAUUGCAGUAUUUACGAUUAUUUAAUUAAUUAAUUGUCUUGGAUCUGGAUAAUUAGUUAACUUGAUAAUCUAUUGUCAAUUAGGGCAUUAAAUCGGUAAUUGUUUAAUUGCCUUGAAUUAGUGACAACUGGCAUGAUUAGAUUUGUGUCAAGGGGAUACGCGGGCUAAUCUGAAAUAACCUUGGUAGUGCGUUAUUUCGUUAGAAUAGGGUUCCUCUAAUACGUAAGACAAUUGGAGAAUUAAAUCUUACGGACGUACCUAAGAUUAUUUCUCAAUUAGAGCAAUGAUUAACGGGCGUACCUUAUUUACCGACACGGUAAGGAGGGGUUGACUGUCAUCACUUAUUUGACAGUUAUAACCUAUUUAUUAGUAAAUAAUUGAAAUUGCCUUUGCAUUGAUGAUCAAUUAGGUGAACCAUUGCGGAAGUUAUUUCUUGGCUAGACCUUUAAUUAUUAUUAAUCUAAUUUCAGUGAAUUGUCAUUUAAGUUCUAGUUAGCUAUUUAUUUUUAUUUGAAUUCCUUUGAUUGUCAUCGUUUACAUAAAAACACCCCUCGUGUUACUUUGCAUUUCGAAAGAGACAAAUAUCCCCAAUCCCUGAGGAUACGGCCCUACUUGCCCUGUUUACAAAUUAAUAAUUAUUUGUUAAAAAGCAUUCCAUUCGGGUAUAUCGGAUCAAGCAAACUCUUUGGGAAUAGGGUGAAUCAAGUAACCCAUUGCACAGCUAGAGUCCCUGUUCCAGUACUUGGAAUUGAAUUUUGGUUAUUUUAAUUGGCAAUUAGAUUUAUUUUUAUUAUUGUACAGGCAUCGACAACCUGUCAGCAAGAAAGAACCCCAGGAACAUUUUGCGACCUGCUGCCAGUCCUUUUACUGAACAAAAUGAGCACCUUGGGUCUAAUACAUUGAAAGAAUUCGAGUCAAAGCCUGGAUCCAUUCUCCUUUCCCACACAGAUGAGCCUGGAUCCAUUCACCCUUACCAUGGUCGUGAUGCUAAUUCAAAGGAGGAGAAACCACAAAUGAAAGAUUUUGAGUCAAAGCCUAAAUCCUUUUUAAUCCUUUACCGUGGUGACAAAGCUAACUUGCAGGAGGGAAAACCGCAUAUGAAAGAUUUCGAGUCAAAGCUUGAAUCCUAUUUAAUCCUUUACCGUGGUGACAAAGCUAACUUGCAGGAGAGAAAACCGUAUAUGAAAGAUUUCGAGUCAAAGCCUGAAUCCAUGUUGAUCCUUUA
rnacentral:lncRNA from 1 species